ACAUUGUAUAUUAGAUGCACCAUAAAUUUUGAAGGGAUUAGCAAAGUUAUCCGAACCUAAAAUAGGCACGUGAUGAUACUUGUCAAAGCCUCUGCACAAGAAAGUUUAACCCAACCCAAAUUCACAAUUAUGAAAGUAGAGAAACGGAAGAACAAAGAUUAAAAAAUGAAGAGAGAUACGAGUAAGCUUGGAGUCCGUCAGUACUAUCUCUAUCUCCACAACGUCAUUGCUGGAUGAAAACAAGCUGCAAGUUGCUACUCGAUUCAAUACCUGCACGUGGUGCAGAAAAAUAAGAAAAAAAGAUAAAAGUAAGGGAUUGUAUGAAAUCACAUGUACUCAGUAAGGAUCAUUGAUAACCGACCCUAAUUCAAACUUAUAGUGAGAAUCACCACCCAAAGUUUCCCCCAAACAAUCUAUAUCUCACAGCUAUAUCCUUUCAUCCUAUCAAGGUAAUCCAACACAACUGUCAACGGAUUCACCAAAAAUAAGGUAGACACAUUAACUAGUAAGUCAACACUAUUCAUUUAUAUUGAACAAGGAAAAUCAAUUAUAAUCAAUCAAGUAAUAUGAGAUAAAAUAGGGAGAGAGUGAACAUAUAUACAAAUGUAUCUUAUACUACCAACAGGGACUACACAUCUAUCUCUCUUAUUAAGCAUCAAUCAUAUCACACGUCUCAAACAUUUCAACCUUCAAAUUCAGUAAAUGAUGAUAUAAGAUAAUAUAAUAAAGUGAAUUGAAUGCUUAAACACAAUAUCAUAAACAAAGGUCUUAACACAGAAAUACAUUACAAGCGUAAAUACUAAUACAAUAUCAAACCAAACCAAGGAUGAUAAUGCAGUGCAAUAUAGCAAUGAUGAUGGGAAGAUGAUGAAAUUUUUUGAAAGUCAUUGUAUAACUUUUUGUAUAUACCCACCGAGCUCGCAGCUAUCAAGUAAGACGUAUCAUGGGUUCGCAACCCAUAUACUUAUAUAAUCUCAAUCUCAUGUCUCAAAUCAACCUUACUGGUACAUUCCUUGAUAUAGGCAUUUUAUAGGUAUCUCAUUUUCUUAUAAAAAUUAGAAUGUAUCAGUGGUAUCAAUUUCUCAAGAAUAUGCAUAUGUGACAUGAUGAUAUAAGCUCACAACUAAUUAGUAUGAAUAUUAAAAUUCAUUCAAUGCAUGUAUAAGUGAGCUCAUAAUCAACUCAAUAUAUCAAUAAUUCAUGAUAUCAGUUUUCACUUGACACCACCAAAAUAAAUAGUCAUGCAGUCAUAAAUAUUAGCAUUUACAACUCCUCACUCGGAUAUCGCUACAAUAAUAAUGCAAUUAAAUGCUCAAAUAAAGCCUAAAAUGUGAUGAAUCGACAAAUUAUGACUCAUAUACCCUAAAAAUUAGGAUAAAACAUGUCCUCAAUGUUAUAUUAAAGUAUUUUUAAUAUUAAUUUAUUUUAAUUUUAGGAUAAAGACCUAGAAGUGAGCAAAAUAGCAAAAAGAGGCAAAAAAAAUAGAAGAUGGAAGCAAAAAUCUCGGAAAGGCAUACAAAGGAAACUUCGUUGCAUCGCCGAAGUGAUCAACGAAUCACCAAUCAAGCAUCCCCAUUAUUAAAUCUGAUAGAAAAAAGCCAAGAAAAAGAAAAGCAGAAUGGCGAUGCAAAGAACAUAUUGGCGCAUCGCCGACUUGCUCGGUGGACCAAGCCUUUCGCCACCAAAAGAAGCAAAAGUCAACCCUUGAAGCAUGAUACAUUGAUAAAUCAGUAAAUCAUAUGCAAUUCGGCCCAUUGCCGGCCUGUUCGGCGAUGAACUCUACUCAGUCGAUUUGUCAUGUGUUGAUAAUUUUGUAAUUAAGUUGCUCGAUUUUCUUGGUGCUAUUUAACUUUUUCAUGGCCAUUGAAAUCUGAUCUCUUGAAUUGGUUCGUUCAUUGUUAAGAAGGAGCUAAAUUUGGGAUCUUUCAUAGUCUCAAAAAUUACUAUCUGGACUAAUCAAAGCCAGACCUCCCUUGCCUUUUCAUGUUUGAUCACUGAGUUAUGUCUCCGUUAAAAUGUACCAUUCAUCAAGAAAAAGUAUUUCGAAUACAUCCCUGUCUCCACAGUUGAUAUUACGAGUAUAGAGUUAGUUGAUGAGGUUAGCAAGAAGAAAGUUCAGGAGGAAGGUGCCCUAUUGAUUGAUUUGACUUCAGCUGAUAGUGGUGUCAGCUAGCCUUCUCCUAUGUUUGUUUCAUAUUCCACCAUUCUUGAUUCCACGCUCACCCCCGCUACUACUUGCCAGAUACAUGUACAUCUUCAUGGCCACUUAGACCUCGUGGUCCCUCCACUGUUGCGGGUUCCUCGAGAGCCUCAUUUACUUAGGAUGACAUUAUUAGGAUGGGUUAUAUGACCUAUACAGGAGAUGAUAAGUUGUCCAGACUUAAGAAAGAUAUUCAAAUAUAAUUGCUAGUGCUUUGAAAGUUGAUGUGGACCCAGUACUUGAGGAGAUGUGUAGUUUUCGGGAGACUUUGAGACAUUUUGGGAAGAAGCUGGAUGAGUUGAGUAUCCCUCAAUAGUCUGUUCCACCAAAGGUUAUUUCAGCAUACUGGGUGAGUUACUUCCCCUUUGAAACAUGUAAAUGAGGUUUGAUUCCCCAAUGUGAAUGACUUAUGGGGAGCUUCAUCUGAGACACCAACCCCAAAACAUACACUUGUUCAUGAGACUACACUGAUAAUUGAGGAGGAGGGGGUAGAUGAGUUAGACCAUGCUUCAGGUGAUGCAGUGGUGUCAUAGAUGAUUACAUCGAGGAUGAGGUUCAGAUUGGUAUUCAAGUUGACCCAUACGUAUAAAGAAUGCUGAAAGACAAGAGACCGCAGAUGUUAUACUUGUUGCUGCUAUAGAGAGGUUGGUUCGUGAGACUUUACAAUUGAGACCUCUAGCUCAGUUAUUACUGUAGAGACUGAUGUUGUACCAGAUCCACCCUGUAAAAUAGAUAAAACUAAGCCGAGCACUGAUGAUAAAACAGUGUCCACCUUGGGGAGCCCUUCACUGCCUGAGGCUUAGCCGCAUUUAGGGGGACACUCACACUCUCUCUCUACAUUAUAUUUAGUUCUAUCGUAUUGGGAAUAAUUCAUACUUUACAGUUAGGGUGGAGUGUUAUUUAGUUGGAUCUAUAAUAUGGGUGCCCAAUUCUCAUUUGGAUAUUGUUUCUAUUUUUGUUCCUUUUAUUCUGGAUUGACAGUUGGAUACUCAUUUUUUAUUUUUAUUCAGGUUGUAAUAAUUAGAUAUUGGUGUGUUGGAUUUUAUUUUAUAUUUUGGUGUUUUAGAUUCCAUCUGAGGUGUGAUGUGUUUGUUUUACUUCUUUAUUAUCUCAUUUUGAUUUUUGGAUUAGUAGGUGUAGUUUCAUUACAAAUAAAAAUUCAUUUUAGCAUGUCUUUUUAAGAGGAAAGUUUACUAGCAAUAGUAAAAUUUGACUCAAAUGGUACACUUGGUUAGAUUUUUUACACACGUAAUUUUUGAAUUAAUUUUUCAUCAUGAAGUGUAUUUAAAUGUUUUCUUGAAUAUGCCCAUAAAUUAUUUUCAAUUGAUCUAGUUAACCUAGUUAGGCUCUCAUUUUUGUGUAAGCUCUUAUCUCAUUUUGACUACUUGAAUAGACCCUUGAUAUGUGCUAUGAAUCUGAUACGAAAAUAAGGAGGAGUACUUCGAGUAUGCGAUUGAAUUCCACAUGUAAAAAAUGUUUUGAUUUGAUCUUGUGCAUCAAGGCCACCUAAAACUUGCCCAGUUGCUCCAUUUUGAAAACAAGGAGUGUGCAAUAUUAUAGAUAUGAUAUUAGUCCAUUAAUUGAGAGCAAAUCAUCAUUUUUGAUCAAAAUUGAGCCAUCGCUUGGUAAGUAAGUGACUAUUUUUGUCCAUCACUGAGCCUUGAAACCCGUUUUCUAGAAUAACCUUGUUACAAGCAGAAAUUCUUUUCUCUCAAACCCCUUUCUCGAACUAAAACUAUUCAAAAUGUACAAGUAAGGUAAAAGGACACCUUAGAUCAAAAGCCUAAGUUGGGGGUGGAGGAGACUUCAAAAUGUACAUGUGCUUGAUAAUUCAAAAUGUGGAAACCGCAAACAUCCUCUUUCAAUUAUCCUUGUACUCUUGGUAUAUAUAUAUAUACACACACACACAUACACAUCUAUUUGUAAUUAUAUUUUUGUUGUAAAUAUGUGUAGUUAUUUAAAUUUUAAAUGGAUAGGAAAAGCAAAAUAGUUUGAAAGCUAUUGAAAAAUUGGUCCUAAAAAGUGUUACAAAGAUCAACCCUUGGAAAAAUAGAUGGAUGGAGGUCUCUCAAGAUGCUUUCUUGAGGUAGAGCAACUGUAACCUUCACCUUCCUUACCUUAUCCAUUGCCUAUGCUACAAGCCGAACUAAGACCUAGGUGAUCUUUAAAUUUAUAUGUUUUAACGUGGUUAAAUAAAGAUUAUGGGCAAUCCUAUGGUGUGGUAAUUGUGUUUUUGAUCUUCUUUUGAAAAGUGAGUGAUUCGUGUAGUCCCUAGAGUUGUUGAUAAUCAUGUUUGAGUGAAUGAACUUCUUUGUGUAAGAAUAUUUAAUUGUCAUACUUUAAUAUUUUUCAACCUUGGUUGAUAUCUAUGAGUAUGUGCUUGGCUUGGUAAUAUUUGGCCAAUGUUUGAUAUUGUUGUUGACAAUUAAGAUCUUGAUAGGCGAAACAUGAGCCUUGGUUUUCAAAAUCAUGAAGAAAAAACGCUUUCACAAAAGAAGUAUGAGUCUAAGCUCUCAAAUUGUACUAUUUGUAGGCUUGGUAGUUUUGUUGCGUGUGCAUUGAUUUACUCAAGGACGAGAAAAAAUUUAAGUUAGGGGUAUCAACGAGUUGACAAAUUGUGACUCAUUCAUCAUAAAAAUAGGAAAAAAAUAUGUUCUCAAUGCUAAACUGAAGUGUUUUUAAUGUUACUUUGUUUUGAUUUCAGGGUAAAGGUCUAGAAAUAAGCAAAAUAGUAAAAAGGAGCCCAAAAAAUAAAAAAGAUGAAAGAUGGAAGAAAAAAUAACACAAAGACAUAAAAGAGACACUUCAGCGCAUUGCUAAAGUGAUUGAUGGAUCACCAAUCAAGCAUCUCCAUCACUUAAUAUGGUAAAAAAGACCGAGAAAAAGAGAAGCAAAACGGUGAUGUAAAAAACAUACACAGUCUACUUGAUUGAUGGACCACACCUUGUAUAGCCAAAAGGAGCAGAAUCCAACCCUUUGAACAUGAAAUGUUGACAAAUUGGCGAACCAUAUGCAAUUUGGCACAUCGCCGACCUGUUGGGUGAUGGACUUCGCUCAACCAAUUUUUCAUACAGUGACAAUUUUGUAAUUAAGUUGCUUAAUUUUCUUGAUGCUAUUUAACAUUUUUUUGGCCAUUGAAACUAACUCUUGAAAAUUUGAAAUAUAAUCAAACCGUAAUCUUGGAAAUUAGUACUUCUUGCUCAGAAUUGAGAUUUUUUCUUGGAAGUUUUUAGAUUGCUUGGCAAAUAUGGAUGGAGAAUUUGGUAUAAUUUCUUCUUCUUUUACUAUGAGUUGCUAAAUUUUCAUAAUUGGGGUUAUGCAUAAUGAAAGUUGAUUGUGCAAGGAUAGUGAUUAUUUACCUUUGUAUUAGAUUACGUGUUAUAAUUUUAACUAAAUUUCUAUGCUUUAAUUUAUAGAUUGAGGUUACAAACUUAGUCUAUGCUUGGAUAGUUUGUAUAGCCUGAAAUGUGGUACAAAAGUAAUAAGAUUUGACUAAAGAGAGUUGAGUUACAAUCAUUUAAGUGGUAAUUCUAGUGAUAGAUUAUCCAUGUCGAGGCUAAUGAUUAUUCCGUAGAGACAUUUGGGUGUUUGACAGAAACUCUUGUGAAAUUUGGUUAUGGAUUAAUAAAUCAUUUCCAAUAUCUAAAAGCAGGCCUAGUCAUAACUAGCAAACAAUCUUAGGUGUAUUUUCACUCAUACGUAGUGCAAUAUUUCCCAAGAAGGUAUAGCCUCAAGUGCUUUAACUCACUUGAUUAGAAUCUUGUUGCUUUUACCUUUGACAAACCAAGUGUUACUAUUAAAUUAUUACUAGAAAUCGUUCAAACACAAACAUUCCCAAUUUUACUUUCAUAUUUAAUUUUAACAUUGCGUGUAAACCUAGAGUAGCUUGUGACGCUUGAGAGCAAAGCAAACACUCAUUUUCUGUGGAUAUGACCUCGAUUUUUGUUGGUUAAGAAAAUAUAUUGACAACAUCCGCUAUACUUUAAUAGUAUAAUUUGAUCGUUAUCAAAAUGUUAAGCCAAGCCCUCACUCGAGUGACAUAAUGAUAGAUAAGAUAUUUUAAUGCACAGAAAGGCCUAUGAUUACAAGUCAAUCCCCACUCAGAUGUCAUGAUAAUAAAUAAGGCAUUUAAUACACAAACAUGACCAAUAACAUCAAGUCAUGCCCCCACUUGGACAUCACAAUAAUAUAUACUUUAAAAUCAACAGACAAUAUGCAUAUAAGCCUCCACUCGAGCACACACGAUCAUAAAUAAUUACUCAAGUCACCCCCCCCCCCCCCCCCCCACAUAGGCAAUACAAAAUAACAACAAUUCCAAUAAUAAUAUAUUGUGGAACUACCCAGACCUAAUUUGGUCCAUUCAUUAAGUUUUAUCAACUAUACAAGUCUAUUCAUACUUUACAUAUCCUCUAAAACCCCAAUCAUUUCAUCAAUAAUAACGAUAAUAACAUAAUUACCCUUUAACAAGGCACUAAAACACAAUAGUCACAAUAAAGUCCACUAACAAGAUUCAAGCUCGAAAAUUAGACAUUCAAUAUCAAUUAUUUGAGAAUUACUAGGUUAGCUAUCUACAUUAGGUAUAUUUACAAGUAGUAAUACUAAAUAAUCAAGACAAUAAUCUAACUACAAUCCAUCAAAGACUUUGGUACCUGCAGAGAUACUUGUCAUUUCACCUAAGUGGGACUCUCAAUACUAAGCGAUACAUAAAAUACAAUAAACAAGCAUACAACACAUAAACACUUUGAAAAAAGUCAUGGUACAUCUCAACUUUCUUUAAAUGAAGAUCCACAAGCCCAAGAAGCCCAACUUUCUCGAAUUAAUACCAAAAGCGUUCAAUCUAAUCAAAUAUGUCAUCUACAAUUCAAAAUAAAAUUAAUGAUACACGUAUUUUAAGAUGGAUCCAAAAUGGAUUCAAAAAAUGAGUUAAAAAACAUAAAAGGUAAAAAUAAAAUUUUAUUUAAGAAUAAAUUUGUCCACAAUCAUAGGAGUCUAUGAUUGAAAACCCACACAAAAAUAAGUUUAAAAUGAGGUUCAAAUCAAAGAAAAAUUAUUUUAAAGCCUUACCGAUAAAAACUCCAAAAUCUCCUUUUGAAAUUAGGAGAGAAUGGAUUGAUAAAGAAAUCAAUGAAAAAUGAUUUAGGAACUUACACAUAGAAGAAUUCUCAAAAGACCCUAUGAAAUCGCUCAAGACCGAGCUCUCAAAGGUGAAAUAUGGUGAAAUGAGGUAUUGAAUCGAGAUGGCGAUUAAAUUCUAUCCAGGUUAGAAAUGACCUUCAUGAACGCGGACCCCAAGCCACGAACGCAAAGGUUAACAUGACUCGAACCCUACGAUCUCAUACAAGACAUCGUGAACUCAAUGAAGAAACAGACCUUGCCCACUAGUUGUUUGUAGUGAUCGGGGAACCCACCGUCGCGGUUGACAGGAAGGGGAAACUUGCACUUUGCGAAUGCGACGCGUUCAUCGCAAACACAAAGGGAGGAAAAAACUACUUCGUGAAUGUUAUAGAGGAGGUCACGAAUGCGAAGGAGAAGGUUCAUGCACCAGCAACUGCAGCAUCAACAAAAUACAAGGAUUGAAAUCUUCCAAACGGAUACCUGAAAUUCGUUUGGGACCCAACAAAAAUAACCCAAUCAUGAUACUAUGCUAUUUUUGACAUUCUAAACUCACUGACAAUAUUAUAUUUUUGAAAGAUCAUUUACAACAAAUUAACUCUGGGGACCUUAGAUCAGACUUAACUAAUUUUCAAACAGAGGGUAGAAAUGCAAAAUAAAGGUUCGAGAGUCGAGAUUCAAACUAACCGCGCUACUAAUACAAAAUAGAUACUCUGAAACUAAUGAAACUGUUAGAAUCGUCAUUCGAGGCUCGAAUCACAAAUAUUGACCUAAGUCAAAUCUAUCCUUUUAGGCAUACUAAAAAACACAAACUUCAAUAAAAUACUUCCGAAUGCAUCGGGAAUCAUGUCAACCAUCUUCGCAACUCAUAAAUCAGAUAAGACAACUCAAAAAGGGGCAAAAUGAUCAAAACAAAGAAAAAUCUAAAUUUCAAUGCGAGGGUCAUUAUAAAAGUACAUAAUUUUAUUGGGCACAUUUCUUAUUUUUACUAGAUACACUGAUAUAACCAAAAAAAUUUGGAUACGAUACCUAUAUGGAGAAAUUAACAACACACUUAAUUUUGUUGUAUACAUUUUUUUGAUUUUGCUAGAUACGCUAAGAGCUCAUUUGGAUAGGAUUAAAAAAUAAUUUUUUAGCUUAAGUGAUUAAAAGCUAAAAAUAAGUAUUUAUAAAUUAAGCAUAUAAGUGUGUAGAUAAAAGGGCUGAAACUGAAAUAAAGUUGUUGAUGUGUUUGGUAAACAAGUGUUGUUAAGCACUUUUUUGUUGUCAAAAUAACUUAAAUGUCCUUAAAGUUGUUAACACUAUAAAUAAAGUGAAUUACUUAUAAUUUUUAGUUCUAAAAUAAAAUUUUUGAGUAAACCUUCGAUGUAUGAUGAUUUGUCGAAAACAAAGGAGAAAGAUGAAAAAAUUGGAGGAAAGAGACGAAAAGAAGCGGCAAAGAGAAAAAAAAAAAAAACUCAUAUAUAUAUUUAAAGGCUACAAGUUCAGGGUAUUUUUGAAAUUAGAAAAAAAUAUAAGAGAUAAAAAGGUAAAUAUUUUGGUCAAACCUAAAAGAAUUUUGAUCUAAAAAGUAAAAAGUUGGGGUAACCAACUUCUCACUUUUUACCCUUUUUAAUCAGUUUUUAACUUUUUUAAAAUACUUUUUAAUUUUAUCAAAUACCUAAAAAAGGUCAAAAAAGAUUUGAUCAGAUUUUAAUCCUAUUCAAACGGGCUCUAAUGCAACUCAAACAACCGUUCAGGUACAAUCAAAGCAAUUGAGAUACAACUUCGAAAACCACUAGAUUCUUAAUUAAAAAAAUAAAAUUAGAUACGCACAUUUAAUUAGAUUUUUCAUUAAAAGGUUAAAAAUAGGGGCCGGGGAAACAAAGGAAUUAGGGGGGUUGUGUUUUAUCUUCUUUGUUUACCGUGGUUGUGUUAUCUUAUAACAUUGCUGUUGUCAUAACAUCAUCGCCGUCGUCAUGAUUUUGAAUACAUGAAUACAAGUAUGUGUUUUAGAUACAUAUUGAUUGGUCAUGCAGUCGAGUUGGACAACUUCAAUUACAAAUUUCAACCUUAACUUUUUCUUUAAAAGAAUCACAAAUUCACCUCAAAUCUGCACCGAAAUUCCUCAAAUUAUAGAUAUGAAUUUCAUGAUACACCCAAUAUUUAAAACUAACACCCACUAAAAAUUAACAAUUUUAAAUCCCGCAAUUUAAGCUUAAACUUCGAAGUUUUUCCAAUGACCAACAAUGGAAUAUGUUCUUCAAGUCUCUCUAUCUUUAAUCUUUACUUAAUUGUUAAAAAAAUCCAUGAUAUGAAAAAUUAGAUAUUCAAUGUGGAAAAAAUAAAAAAUAAAGUAAAAAGAGUUAAAGAAAUAUUUCAGAUUGUACUUAAUUUAUGAAUGAAAAGGUUGAGGUGGAGGGUGGAGGAAAAAGAAUAAGGGGGAUUUAAUAGGUUUUGCUUUUAGGAUUGAUAUAAAUUUUAAAUAUAGCUAUGUUUGAAUGCUAAAAAUAUAGCCAAAUAUUAUAGAUACAAUAGCUAUUUUUUCUUAGUUAGGUAAAGAGCCAAAUAUUUCUUUAUUUAAAAAUUUGCUUAGUUAGGUAAUCACUGACGAAAAAAAAUUAACUUAUAAGAAUUGAAUUGUAUAACCACCCCACCCCACCAUAACUUGGUGAAAUUCACUUCAUUUAAUUUAUUGCACUCUUUUAUUUAUUUUUGAUGAGUUAUAAAUUAAUUAUUACUUUUUUUUACUUACUCACGCAAGUUAUUUUUUUACUCGAUAACUAAAUUUAAAUGGAUUUGCACCCACUUCGCUCUAUUCACAAUUGACUGGACUAAAGCAAAAUCAAGAGAGUAUCUCACAUAGAUUUUUUAAGAUUAUUGAUUCAUACUUAGCCAAAGGAUGUAAUUGAACACAUGGCCAAAACAAAAUUGAUUGUUGAGAAUCAAAGAGAAUAAUACACAUAUGACCUUUUAACUAGUUAUGCUUAACUAAGAUCGUAACUAAACACAUGACUAAAGUACAAUUAAUUAUUGAGAAUCAAAGUGUGUAACCUCACAUAUGAUCUUUUAACUAAUUAAUGUCUGAUCGAGGAUAAUAACUUCACACAUGAUCAACAUAUUUUAAAUGUGCCUAAAUUUAUUUAACAUUAGAUGCAUCCUAAUAUUUGCCCAUAAUUAUUGACGAACAUAUACAUGCUUCUAAAGCAACAAUUAACAUGAGUACUCAUGGUUAAAUUUGUCUGUUCUUUACAUCUAGUCAUUUUGAAGAAUAGUUGUAUUUUAAUCUUACCGUGAUUGUUGGCACAAAGUAAGUCAAAGCUUUUUUUGCUGGCUAUGAAUGUUGAUGAAUAUUUUGUAAAGGUGAUCAUUAGUUUACCAUUAAUAGUACUUGUUAUUUAGUUACUGAGAAAAUGGUUAAAAUCUCUCCAACCUUUACCCCAAAUUUCAAUUAUACACCUAUACUUUGUGGGGGUCUUAUGAUCCCUCUAUACCAUUUAAAAUUGAAAUUAUUAUCCCUUUAAAAACUCACACCCACAUGUGUAUUGGGGAGUGAGCACCACAUUUGUUUCAUAUAAUGCCACGUAAUAUUACCACGUAAUUUUCAAUUUUUAUUAUAAAAAACUAGUUUUUUUUUCUUUAAUUUUUCCCUUUUCUCUUUCCUUUUUCAUUCCCUUUUCUCUUUUCUUUUUCCCCUUCUGUAAAUUCUCCGUCUUUCAUUAUUCCAACGACCGGAGAGGCACCAUUAAUGAAAUUGGAGAUGAGGAACAAGUGUUACCACCAUGGGAUCGAGGUCAUACGGAAAUAAACUUUCAGAAUAGCCCCAAGAAAUUGAAGUACCCAUCUUAUUUUCACCAUUUAUAUGCUUUAAUGUUCUAGUCUGCUUUAAUGGCUAAGUUAUUUUAUUUGUUAUUGAAUUACAGACAUGGACGAAGUUAUUCCCGAUCACCAUCUCCUAGUUGUAGCAGAAGUCGUAGCCAUAGUUACAACAGGGGUCGCAACUACAGGUUGACCAUUUGCUCCGUUUCACUUUAUUAAUGUCUUUAGCCUUACGUUUUGAGCCCAUUGUCGAGUUUUUGGAUGAGAAAGAUAAUGAAAUUGGAGAUGAGGAAGAUGAGGAAACACCAUUAAUGAGUUCAAGAAAGAUGAGAAAGAUAAUGAAAUUAGAGAUGAGGAAGAUGAGGAAAUACCAUUAAUGAGUUCUUGAACUUUUUUGUUUUGAGAAAGAGAAGAAGAAGAAAAAAGAAAAUGAAUAAGAAAAAUAAUAAUCAAAUUAUAUAUAUUUACAUAAAAAAUAUUUAAAAUAAAAUUUGAAUAACUAAUUUUUGUGCUCACUCUCUCAUAGAGAGUGGAACACACUCUCUUUGUCAUGUCAGCCUUUAGAGAUGUUAUAAUUUCAGUUUUAAAUAGUUCAGGGGGGUCCUGUGACCCCCGCAAAGUAUAACUAUGUAGUUGGAAUUUAGGGUAAAGGUUAGGGGGACUUUUGACCAUUUUAUCUUUAAUUGUUUGUUACUAGCUUUAGUUUCUUUUUGUUGUCACCAUAGUUAGCUUAGUCUUUGCUCUUAUUAUUUUUCUCCCCCUUUUCUCUCUUAGAAUGUGUUUGGUAUGAAGGAAAACAUUUUCCAUGAAAAAAAUUUUCUUAGAAAAUGUUUUCUUGAAAAAUAAAUUGGUUUCAGACUUAUUUUCUUAUGUUUGGUUGGUGGAUGAAAAAUAUUUUCAAGUGUUUGGUUGGUGAAUGAAAAAAUAUCUUUCAGAAAAUAAAUUUUAGCGUUUAGCUAAAUAAGAAAAAUACAUUUUAGAAAAUUAUUUUUGAACCUGAAAAAUAAUUUUUUAGGAUGCAUUCGAUAGGAAGGAGGAAAAACGUUUUCUAGAAAAAUAAGUUGUUUCUUACGUAUAUUCUUGUGUUCGUUAUGUAAAUUUGGUGAGGAUAUAUAUUUUUUAAAAGUAUUUAUAUAUGUUUAACAAAAACAAUGAGAACGAAUAGGGCAGGAAGGGUGAGAUAAGAAAAAAAUUUGAAUUUUAUUUUUAAAAAUUAGGGGGUUGAGGUUGUCAAAAUAGGUAGUAAGGAUGGGGUAAGAAAAAAAAUUUAAUUUUUUAAAAAUAUUUUUUUUUGUGGGGGAGGGGGAGGGAGGAGGGGAUUAGGAGAAUAAAUCUAAUGCCUUUAUUCCCUGUGGAUACGACCCCAAUUUUUGUUGGGUGAGAAAAUAUAUUGACAACGACCGCUAUACUUCAAUAGUAUAAUUUGAGAAUUAUGAAAAUGUCAAGUCAAGACCCCUACUCGGGCGACACAAUGAUAGAUAGGGCAUUUGAAUGUACAACUAAUAAUAAAUAAGGCAUUUAAUGCACAAUCAUGACCAAUAACAAGAAGUCAAGCCCCUACUUGGCCAUCACAAUAAUAUAUACUCUCAAAUCAAUAAACAAUAUGCAUAUAAACCCCACUCGGACACACGGGAUCAUAAAUAGUUACUCAAGUCCAUAUAUAUUCACAGAAGCCCACAUAGGUAACACAAAAUAAAUAACAGUCCCAAUGACAGUAUAUCACGAAACUAUCCAAAUAUAACUUGGUCCAUCCUUUAAGUCUCAUCGACUAUUACAAGUUUAUUCAUACUUUAUGUAUCCUCUAAAACCUCAAUCAUUCCAUCAAUAAUGACAAUAAUAACAUAAUUAUCCUAUAAAAGGGCCUAAACUACAAUUAUCACAAUAAAAUUCAUUAACGAGAUUCAAGCUCUAAAAUUAGACAUUAAAUAUCAAUUAUUUGAGAAUCACUAGGUUAUCUAUCUACAUUCUACUUUAAGGAUAUUUACGAAUAGUACUACUAACUAAUUAAGACAAUAAUCUAACAACAAUCCAUCAAAGACUUUGGUAGCCACAGAGAUGCUCGCUAUUUCACCUAAGCGGGACUCUUAAUCCUAAGCGAUGCACAAAAUACAACAAACAAGAAUACAACAUAUAUAGCGCUUUGGAAAAAGUCAUGGGAUAUCUCAACUUUUCUUAAAUAAAGAUCCAUAAGUCCAAGUGUAGUCUAAGACCUCAAUCGGAAGUGCAACUCUCUUGAAUCAACGCUAAGAGCAUCCAAUCUAAUAAAAUAUGUCAUCUAUAAGUCAAAACAAAGCUAAUGAUAUGCAUAUUGACCCUAUUUAAUAUGGGUUCAAAACGGGUUCAAAAAAUGAGUUCAAAAACAAAAAGGUAAAAUGGAAUUUUAUUUAAGAAUAAAGUUCUCAAUAAUUAUAGGAUUCUAUGAUUGAAAACUCAAGCAAAAAUGAGGUCCUAACCGAAGAAAAAUUACUUUGCAGUUUACUGACAAAACCCUCAAAAUUCCCUUUUGAAAUCAAGAAUUUGAGGAUGGAUUUGUAAAGAAAUCAGAGGAAAAUGAUAAAAUAGAGAUUUGAAACUUGAAAACGGAAGAAUUCUCUAAAAUACCCUAUAAAAUAGUCCAAAAUUGAGCUUCCAAAGGUGAAAUAUGAUAAAAAGUAGGUUUUGAAUCGAGAUGGGUAUUAGUUUUUGUUCAAUUAAGAGAUGACCUUUAUGAACGAAGAUGUCACGACCCAUUUCUUAAGUCAUGAUGGCUUCUGUUAUAACCCACCUGUAAGAAAGUCAAACCCGUAGUCUAGAAUGACUAGUAAUGGACUACCAAAUAGAAUGAGGAAAGAAUGCAGAAUAAAUAUAACAAAAGUUUAAAUACAUGAAUAAAUCCCAAAACCUAGUUGUAUCAUUACAAGAUCUUCUAAUAUGAUAAAAGUACCAAAGUGAAAUAGAUGAAAAAAAUUACACUGAUAUAGCUUAUCUCCAAAUACAAUAUAGAGACUAGUCUAUACAUAAGAGGGAGGAAAGUAACACUUCGAACAUCGGGAGCUCACUCUGUAUCUCCGAACCAUGGAUCCUCCACACGACGCACACAUCAACAACGAUAACCUAUACUAUGAUCUGCAGGAUACAGAACUGUAGUAUGAGUACCAAACGAAAGGUACUCAGUAGGCAACUGGCAACUGAGCUCCAAAGAUAAAGAAGAUUUAUAAAACAUACAAACAAAAUAAAAACUACAGCCAAGAGUCCAGAAAUCAUAUAACAAGCUAAUGAGAUAAUAAGGAACAACUAUCCUGUUCAUAUCCAAUAGAUAAACAUAAUAAGGUUAAGUAAGUAAUAAGGGUGCACUAUCUUAUUCCAGCUAUACUUAGGAGUCUCAACACUAUACCAUAAUAUCUGGACAAUAUAUGAAUAAAGAGCAAACAAAGAAUAUAUAAUAAUAUACAAGGCCAAGGAACGAGUAUACAAUCUAAAAAAAUGAAGGAAGGGAUAUACGGUAAUACUGUAACACCCUAAAUAUGGUACCCAGAAUGCUACAUGGUCCUUAUGACCCCGAAGGACAACAAGCUAACCUAUGACUAAUAUCUGUGCCUGAGCACUGCACCAUAUACUGUAUAAAUGCGAAAUAAAGGGCUGAAAGGCCAUAAGGCUCAAAUAUCUGAUAAAACAUAACAUCUGAAAAAUACGGUAUAUCAAUACCAAAAUGACUAAAAUAACUGUCUGAACAUGCUAUAGUCUGGAAGCCUCUAAACUAUCUAAAAACUAUGGAGUAGAUAGGAUAUAUCCCCAACUAACUCCGAACUACUGAAAUAGUAAAGUAAUAAAAUAAUCAUGCUAUCCUCAAAUGAUGAGGACUCAUUGCUAGUCUGGUUGCUGAACGUCUGAUCUACUAAGGAUGCUCUGGAGCUCGUACUUCUGAACCUAUGGUAUAAAACACCAUAGCGCAAAUGCGUCAGUAUGAUUAAAUGUACUAGUAUGCAAGUGAAGUAGGCUGAAUGCAAGGCUUUAUAUGCAUAAACAAUAUUGACUGACUGAGUAACAUCAACGUGAGAAUACAUGCAUGAAUACGUGAACUGUAACUGAGAUCAUGGGAUUACUGAAUCUGAAUACUGAUAACAUAAUUUUUCAUAUAACAGGUAUACUAUUAUCUGAAUGACUGUGUCUGACAGUCCUAUUUCUGGUGGAACUAGUUGAGUUCCAUACUGAGUUGGGUGACUAUACCUGACAGUCCUGAAUUAUGUAGAAUAUCUGAGUUCUAUUACUGAGACUGAGACUGAGACUGUAACAUUGGAAAAUAGUUAUUUAACCGAUAUACCCCUAAUAAGCUAUUAUAACUAAGUUGGGGUCCAAUCUGUAACCCCAAUUGGAAGGGUGUCAAUACCGCGCCAUUGGUAAGGACAAACUGUGAGUAAUCCCUCAUCUAACAAGUACUCUAAGAAGAAUGGUGGGACCCUGAUAUAACAGGUUAAGCCACCUUAUCUACCCUCAACUAUCAGGUUUGAUGUCUCAACCUAUGUUGGCUAUGUAGUUCUGGAGCGGAAGGAUUGCUUCUAAGAAUCACACCCUCUACUCGCAGGUGAGUUUUCAUCCUUAGGCUCACUCGAUGCUGAGUCCUACUCCUAUCUGAUUAGACACUGAAUUAAUUAUACUGAACUGAGUUCACUGAGUUCCGUUGACUAAUGAAAUAUUACUCAAAUUUGAUAACUGAUUGAGAUUUCUGAGAGUUUUGAGAUUACUGAGUUUACUGAGUUUUCCUGAGUCACAUGACUGAUUGAGCUCUAUGUAUCAUGGCUUGACUGAGAGUACUUGGAAAACAUGACACUGGCUCUAGACACACAACUAAAUUGUCGGGUACAAGUACCCCUAGGACUCGAUAGCAUGAAACUGAUAAGACGUGACACUUCUUGACGCAUGACCAUAGUCAGCAAUUCAUAGUACAAUCUUUGGGGAUUUUCAUGAAGUAUUCACAUGCUAUAAGCUCACACAUGAAUAGGAAUGCAUGUAAACAUAUCAUAAUUUAAUAAGCCUAAUCUCAUGAGCAUUAUGUCAAUCCAUUACAAAGCAUAAAAAUAAUAUGAGAGUCAUAUCGAACAUAAGGGAGAAACAUGGAUUCAUCAAUGUUGGUCACAAAUGAGUCAUAAGGCAUAAUUCCUAUUCUCUUAGGCAUUUUAUCAAACAACUUGCAUACAUAUCUUUAGGCGUAGGCAUGAAUAUUGAAAUAAUACAUCAUGGCAACAUUUUACACUUCCAAUACAAGAAUUCUAACCACAUACUAACAUAUUUUCAUGAUAGUCUUUAAAGACUUCAACUUGGAAAUCAAAGAACAACAUAAACAUGGAUAUAAUUCAAUUCAUACCAUGGAAUCCAAAGUUUAUAUUUCAAAUAGGGUUUAUGGAGCUUCAUGGGUGAAAGGAAUCCAUGAAUCAACACUUGACAUACCUGUGUGGAUGAUUUCUUGAAGAUUGGUGGAGAAAAUCUUGAGUUCUUGAUUUGGAAUUAAACACCUAGGGUUUUUUGUUCUUGGGGAUUGAUCUUUGAGAGAAACCCUAAUUUGGUGUUAUAGAUGAAUCAUGAAGUUAUGAGCUCUAGUAUGGUUUACUUAGGGGUUAAAAAGGGUGGAAAAAGACCCAAAUACACUUUUAAAAAUGGCUUAAAAUUGCUGAUCAGAAGUGGCGAUGGUUCGUCGGUCAUGACCGUCGCACUUGGCUAGAACCUGAACUUUCUGCCUCGUCUGCGAUGGUUUGGGUGAUGGCCCGUCGCUAGCUCGACGGUCCAUCGGUCCUGAACGUUGCACUUGGCCAGAAGACAGGUUCACUGCCUUGGUCACUACGGCUUAGGCGAUGGUACGUCGCUAGCUCGACGGUCUGUCAGCCUGACCGUCGUUUCUGGGCAGUUCCAACAGUUUUCUGUAAAACAUUCAUAACUUUUUACUCCAAUACCGGAUUUGGACGAAAUUGGUAUCGUUGAAAAGCUAAUUCAAUUUUCCAUAUGAUAAAAAUUUGAAAUUAGGGAAUUUUUAUCUUAUUUAAACAUUAAUCAUUUAGGAGUCAUCACUAACUCUUCUGGAUACUAGAUUUGACUUAAACAAAAGUUUGAGGUAUUACAAAUACCAUAACUAUAUGUAGAUAGAUAGAUAGAUAUAAGGUCAUAUCAAAGCACAACCUAGAUUAUCAUAUCUUAAUUUUAAGGCCUCAUUAUAAUCCUAUUAGGAAUUAAUACUAUCAUGUACAGGUUUUCUAAUCCACAUGGCUAGACAUAAAAUAAUCGUGCAUAGUAAAGAAAUUGUAGGAUAGAAGAGGCCGAAAACAUACCUCAAAUAUUGAUACCGAAUUAAUAACCAUUGUGUCAUAAACUAGCCAUAAUAAUGAUCAUAAAAUGAUAAUAACAACAUCAAUAACAACACGAGUAACCGGUUAUUUCGAACGACCAAACACCUAACCGAGCCUAUGUAUUUCCCAUACUGUCCCAUGCUCAAAAGGCUUAAUCAACGUAAAACAACACAUGAUAUAGUCAUCACCCAUAUCUAUGCAACUGUCCUAUACUGACUGAUAGACAUAGGUUCAUACUGGUGUUAGGCGAUGUACAUUCAAGAAUUAAUGCAAGGUACAAAAUCAAUAUCACAAUCAUUCUUUGGACUCGAACCAAUUAUAUAUAGCAUCGUCACAAUAUCCUCUGGCCUUGUCGAAUAUCAAUAUCAUCAUCACAAUAUCCUCUGACUUUGUCAGUAUCAAUAUCAUAAUAACAGUAUCCUUCGGCCUUGUUGGGUAUCAAUAUCAUCAUAACAAUAUCCUCCGUACUUGCGUGGUAUCAAUAUUAUCAUAACAAUAUCCUCCGGCCUUGUCGAGUAUCAAUAUCAUCAUCACAUUAUCCUCCAACCUUAUAGGGUAUCAAUAUCAUCAUAAUAGUAUCCUCUGGCCUUGUUGAGUAUCAAUAUCAUCAUAACAGUAUCCUCCAACCUUGUCGGGUAUCAAUAUCAUCUUAACAAUAUCAUCCGGCCUUACCGGGUAUCAAUAUCAUCAUAACCAUCAAUACAUAUGAUAUAAAUAUCAAGUGCACAGACUCAAGCCGUGGAUAAAAGAGUAUAAAUCCAUAAGUUUGUUGCCGAAAAUGACCUUCGGGACUAAAUCCAUAAGUUUGUUGCCCGAAAUAACCUUCGGGACUAAACCAUUGUAAAAAUUUAGAAAGGGUCGAAAUAUCUCACAACCACAGUAUAUAAUAGUGUCAAUUUAUGGUCCGAAAUCUAUCUCGGUCAAAUUUUUAAAUAAUAUUUUUAACCUCUUUUAUACGUUUAAAUAUUCCAUUUGGUAGGCAGUUAUUAUAGUAAAGAAAUCUACUGUUACGGUAAAAAGAGGGUUUUAAUCCUUAUUUAGGAACAACAGUGUUAAGGUCGUAUUUUAGCUAGGAUCACAUCAAUACCGAUAUAAUAUCAUGAAUUGUCACGAUCCGAUCCAGGGCCCCGGCCGUAACGAGUAUCACGAACUAUUGAGGCCCGGGCACCCUUCUACAUCUGGUAAUUAUGCACAAUACUCAUAUAAUAAAGAAAGGAAGCGGAAAUAUAAAUCAAUAUGGAAUCAUGGUCAUGAUCUGAAAUACGUACAUCAAUACAAAAGAAAAUCCAUCAACAUCUAGACAAUAUCUAUUCUUGUAUGCAAAUCUCUAAUACAUACGAAAAUUAACAAACUGUCUGCUACUGUGACAAAACCCCCAGGGGACCUAAAUCAAAGUAAAUAACAAGUGACUGAAAAGAAAUAGGCCUUCUAGAAUAAAGAAGGCCCAUCAACUACGCACCUCACUUCUUUCUGAAUAACUCUACGGCUUAGCAGGACCUCUAGACAGCCUCAGACCCUGAAAUAUAGGGGUCAAUACAAUUGUAUUGGUGUGCAGAGCAAUUCCAAAAUAAUAAUUUUUAUUCAACAUAGGUGAGAGCAAUUUAGAAACAAUUUAUUAAUAUACUUAUGAAAAGAAAACACAUGGGCAUAUUUAAAAGGUCUCUAAACAAUUAUCUAAACUCCAUGAGACACUCUUUAUUUUACUUGUGUGCAAGGUGGUAUACCCUACAACUCUAAAAUCCCACGGGUUAUAUGGAAUAUUCCCUUAACUCGGCAGCCAAGCCCCCAACCCGAGUUUUCCGCAAGGGUUGAAGUCUAUCUCUGAUAUGCCACAGGGCACUAGGUUAGCGUAUGGUCCCUCAUGGGAGCAUAAUGAACCCGUAUCGACAAAACACGAUUUUGGGCUAGGAGUUAUUUGAACUCAAGCCUUAUUCGGGCAACCACCUAACCCUCUUUAAGGGCAUUUUUAGCUCUUUAAAACAUGUAUUCUCUGAAAAUCAAGUCUGAAACUCUUACUCUAUUUUGGCAUACAUUUAUAUGGUGUCAUCAUACCAUUGACUUGCAAGUCAAAUCUCUAAGCCAUAAAAUAUCAUAUUAUAAUCUCUUCUUUCAAAACAUAAAGUUCAGACCACCAUACUUCAAACCAUUCAAGAAGACCCAUACAUCAAAACAUAUGUCAAAUUAUUCAAAGAAUCUCUCAUUUCAAUAUUUCAACAAACAUGUGGUGGUCAUGUAUUUUUGACAAACCAUGAAAUUCUUUCAUUAUAUAUAUUCAACAUUUUUCAACAUGUAAAACCCCCACUCAUCAAUUUAAAAUCAAUCUUAAAUCAUUCAACAAUAGUCAAGAACAUUGAUACCAUGCUUCUAAAUAUAACAUUCUUCAAUUCAUAACAUGCAAAAAUCUAAAGGUGUCGCAACAUGAGAAGGAUUGUAAUUAGUCAUGCCCUCAAUUCAGUUAUCAACUAUAAAUGCAUACAUACAUAUAUAUAUAUAAAUGAAAUCAAUUUUAUUUAGGUGAAGGCCUCAAGACCAAAACAAUAAUAUCAUUAAAGAAUUGUAAUGCUCAAUUGUAAACGUAAAUUCCAAAAACCCUUUAUAAAUUCAUGAUUUCUAACACCUAAACCUUAUUCAAAUUGUUUUCAACAAGCCCAUGUAGUUUAUGAAAAAUCCCACGUACCUUAGAUCACUUAGGAGGAAGGGUGGAAUCCGAAUCUCAAUUAAGUCCUUGGAAUUCUUGACUUUAAUGAUGAACUCUGCAUCUUAAGGGAAAGGACUAGGAUUUUGAGUUGAUAGAUUGUAAGUGGUUUUUGAUGUAUUUUUCCCCAAAAAUGAUUUAAUUUUGUGUUUGGGCGAAUUAGGAUAAAGGAAAAUGACCUAUUUGCCCUUAAAACUGUGGAGCUUGACUGUAGAAAAAUAUACUGGCCGGACUAGCCAGGGCGUCGUGGCCUCUGGAGUGCCGCUCUGGGCGAGGCACCGUGGGAAUAUCACCCCGAGCUACUUUUUGGAGUACCAAACAUGCCCUUACUCUUGUCCAAAUAUUUUGCAACUAACCCAAGAUGUACUAUUGACUUCUCCAAUCAUGAAUAAACUUAAAAAUUAACUUUCUGAGGUCGGAAAGGUCGAAAAUAAAAUCAUCAAAGAUUAGGAGCUCAAAAUGUGACUAAGUCCUUUUCGUAACACUUAGAAAGAAAAACAUCAUUCAAGUUGUCAGCUCUUAAGCAUACUACAAAGAGAUAUCGAGUUAAGAAAAUUUUGGGGCGUUACAUUUUCCCCCCCUUGGGAUAUGCAUCCCCAAAUGAUGGCUUAGGAUUUAGAUAAGCACGAUUUCAAACAUACCAAGGAAAAAGUAAAAAAAUAUAAAGAGAGUAAAUGAGUAGCACCUUCUAUGUCGUUGCCCACUAUCUCAAAGAGGUUUGGGUAUUUAGUUUGCAUGUCAUUUUCUGACUGCCAAGUAGCUUCCUCCUCUUUUUGAUUCUUCCACUUCACCUUGACCGAAGUUAUUUCCUUACUCCUCACUUUCGAACAUGGCGAUCCAAGAUUGCAACGGGUACUUCCUCGUAUGACAAGGAGUCUUUCACAUUGAUCUCCUCUACAGGCAACACUAGGAAAUGAUCUCUAAUACACUUAUUCAACAUAGAUACAUGAAAUACGGGAUGAACAGAAGCCAUAUUUGAGGGCAACUCUAACUCAUACACGACCCCACCUAUCCUUCUCACAAUAUGAUAUGGUCCUAUAUAUGGAGGACUCAGUUUUUCCUUCUUCUCGAAUCGCAUGACUCCCUUUAUUGGAGAGACUUUUAGAAAUACCCAAUCACCAACCUCAAAUUGUAACUCUCUUCUUCUAACAUCAACGUAGGACUUCUGUCGACUUUGAGCUGUCUUGAGUCAUUCUCUAAUGAUUUUCACCUUAUCCAUUGCUUGAUGAACAAUAUCAGGCCCAAACAACUGGGUUUCACCCACUUUAUACCACCCAAUUGGUGAUCUACAUCUCCUCAGGCAAACAGACUAUUUCCUCAAUGUACAGCUUGUCAUAACAUCUCCCAAAUAGUUAGUCCUCAUAAGUAGAAAGUGAGCUGACUUGGUCAUCCGGUCUACAAUCACCCAAAUGGAAUCAUAUGGUUUCGAUACCUCAGAAGUCCCGUGAUGAAAUCCAUAUUGAUCAUCUCCUACUUUCACAUAGGCAAGGUUAUCUCUUGAGAAGUACCACCAGGACUCAAGUGUUCCACUUUGACUUGUUGACAAUUUAAACACUUAGAAAUAAAAUCAGAAACAUCAUGCUUUAUAUUAUUCCACCAAUAUAUAGCCUUAAGGUCAUGAUACAUUUUAGUAGAGCCUGGGUGAACAACCUACCUCGAAGUGUGAGUUUCAUCAAGAAUCCUCUCUCGUAAACCAUCCACAUUGGGUAUACAUAAUCUACCCUGAUUCCUAAACAUCCCAUCACCUCUGAUUUCAAAUGCCGUCACUUUCUGUUGACCCACAUCAUUUUUAAUCUGUAUUUUGCGGAAAUUUUGACUUUUGAGAGAGUCGCCACUUAAUUUUGAAAAGGAAUUAAGAAACCUUUAAAGAGUUACUUAAAAUGAUUCAAAAAAGGAAAAUUGGUUUAAGUUAGAGAUUCUGAAUAAGUGGUUCUUAGUAAUGUUUUAGGAAGGUGUUAGGCACCUAAAACGUCCACUAACUUGCGGUUAUCCAGACUGUUUGAAAACAUUCUUUUGAUUAACUUUGGAAAAUUAAUUUGUUGAAAAGUAAUUAUUUAAGGAAAAAGUUUUUGCGAAAUCAGUUUUUUAGUGACUUAGUUAGGGAUUUAACUACGUUCGUAAAGAGACAAGCAAACAAAUAAAUGAGAGAAAAAGGGGAAAAAGUGGGGAAGUAGUCAUUUAUGCUUUUUGAGCCCAAACCGUCGACCCUUUCCUAAUCUAGUUGGGUUUUCAACCCAUUUUCACCUGUCCUAAUUCUAUGUUUUUGAGCCUUUAGCUCGAGUCUCGAUCCACCUGUAUUAAAUACAACUUUGAAUUUGUGGCCCAAAUGAAUGAAUAAGGAAAUAAAUAAAUAAAAUGGAUAAAGACAACAAAUAAAGAAUAUAAACAAAUAAAUAAAAAGAGACUUUCUAGUCCCUUUGCUGCUUCAAAGAAGGGAUUUUAGCCCAUUCUUCUUCUCUUGAAUCCUUGUAUUUGUACACCACAGGAUCACUUUUUGGAACUUAGGUCUUCAGACUUGAAUCAAUGAAUGGGCCUCAUUGGCCCAAUGAGCGAUGCAAAAGGGAAAGAGUCCAUUUGGACUCCAAAGUGGAUUCAUGCGAGACAAGAAAAAUAAAGAAUGUUAAGACGUGAUCAACUAAACAAGAAAAAGAAAAGGGAAUCGAAGAAUGUAAACACGAAAAUCAAAUCAAGGAAGUAAAUAAGACACGUAGCAUACAACCAUCUGAAGGAAAGAAAGCAUAUAGGGCGAACUAACUUAUACUCUAUCACUGAAAAAGCAAAGAUAUAUAAAAAGCUCAUAAGAAAGAAGGAGGGUGCGUCCAUAUAGUCAAACAACAUGCUAAGCAAAUAUGUCUUGAUGUAAACUUAUUUGCACUCAGGUAUAAAUGACAUGUUUGAUACCCAAGAGCGUAUGAUGAGUGAUAACGUGAGUAACGCUUGACAUACUGUAAGUUUAUUUGAAAUAUAUUUAUGAUCAGAAUGACAUGUGCUUCAUAUUCAAUAAUAUCAGUAAAAGAAAGCUAAUUCAAGAUUCUAUCAAGCUAGACGCAUGGUCAGAAUAUGGACGAGGUUUUGAAUACUUACCGAGACGUUAAUCUAUAAAGCUUACAUGUCAUCCUAUUUUAUCAAUAAAGUAAACAUCAAGAAAGUUGAAAACAUAAGGCACAUAACAGUAGCCUGGAGAACGAGCGAGGUGCUCAAUGUUUGACUCAUGAGUCGUAGUAAUAGCUAUAAAGCAAGCCCUUUCGAAAGAAUGACUUUCCUUUCAAGUUUUGAACUUUUUCAGUCACUCAAAACAAUAACCUCAACAAUGACAACAUAUUAAUUGCACUUGACCACGAGACAAAUAAUAUUUGAAUCUAGAAGAGUUCUUAAAUAACCUAUAGUAUUAAGUUCUGGCAGCAAGUAUUUGAGGAUGGAGAAAAGCAAUUGUGAUGCGUUGUCUCAUCUCUAAUCCCAUGUUGAAAGUAAAAUGAAUGCAACUUUAUCCCUACUUUCUUGAUUAUUGUUGACAGAGAAAGAUCCUUGGGAAUCCUUAGCCUGAGUAUAUACUAUACACAGUACAAUGACAACAAAAUUAAGCUGACUUCCUGAACAAACAUACUCAAAUGCCUAGCAUCCUGAAAUACGACGAUGUUAUCCUUCUAAUGUGUUUUUAUGCUGAAAAUGAACCUAAAGAGAGGGAAUCUAAAUUUGGGAUUCGAAACAAAAUGAAAGACAUAACUCACAAAACCAAAGGAAAAUAUGGCAAAGUCCACUAUCCUCAUCCUCACUCUCUCUUCGGCAAACCCAAAAGGAUAGCUUUUGGUAACCGAGAUGAUCACCGAGGAAUCAUAGGAUUUUCUGUUUUUUAGCGGACUUAUCUUUGUUGUUCCUCGUCCUUUGAGAAACCAAAGAACUCAAGAGAUAGUUCGACUAAUGAAAUUAUGGCUCAACAGUUACAAUAACAACAAACAGUAACAAUGAUCAAAAUAAUAGAUUGUUUCAAUCCUUCUCCUCGCUCACUCAAAUAAGGUAGUCAUCGAGGAAUCGUUGGAUUUUUUUAGCAUAUCUUGGACCUUAAUCAUUGUCCUUUUGGCACAUGAGAAGCCAAAGGAGCUUGAGAGGUAGCUCUGCUAGCAACGCCGCUAACUUCGACAAUCGUGCCGCCAUCCGGUGAUAACAACAGACAUACACAAUCAAAUAACAACUAUGAGCCAAACAUCCCCCUAUUAAACUACUGAAUACAAUCAAAAGCAAAAAACUUAGCCUAAUAAUCCAGCCCUUCUCGCCUCAAGCAAUACACUAAGUAGAACAUAGUCUGAAAAUUAUUCAGUAACCUCAAGAAUGAAAGACAGACCAUGACAUCAAAGUAAAAGAAUGACAGAAAUCAAACCCGAACAUAGAUUAAUCUUAACACCACAACACACUCAACUUCUUUAUCCACAACAGCAACUCAUGGUCCUUAAGACCUCUACAGCAUCCAGCCCAGCAUACCACAUCAAUGAGAGAACUAAAUGACUAUAGAAUAGAGAGAUGAAGGAGAAAUAAUUAAAAAAUAACUGAAACAGAGUGUUACCUAUCUCGUGGUAGCAAAAUAGGAUGAUGAGCUAUUAGUAAAAUCAUUGCUAUCAGAAUCUCGCGAUGUCGACCACUAAUAGAGUGUCAUCUGGCUUUUACCUCUUAGAGAUUUUGCAACCCCCCAGAUUUUCAACUAAGGUUUUCAACCUAAAUUUAGAAACUUCUAAAAUUUUUCUUUCUCUAUUUCUGAAUCAGAAACUCACUCAAAAGAUUUCCCUCUUCAAUCCUCGAAUCUGUACCUAGCAAUUUUGAAAACCUAAAAUUUCUAAGAAAUAGAAUUCGAGUUCCCAAAGCUUUUUUAAACACAAUUUCUAAACCCUCAAAUUUCUGACCCUUUUUUCUUGAUUCCCCCCAAAAGAGAAAAAGGACUUCCAAAGAGAAAAAAGAAUCUCCUUGUAUUUACCCCUCAAAAACCAAGGGAAAAAUCCUCCCCAAAAGAGAAUGAAUGACUCUUUAUAUAUAGAGAAUGAAUAGGGGCCCUUCUUCGAAUUUUUUUUGAAUUUUGAAUCCCCCCACAUCACCUUAUUUUCCCCCCGAUUCAUAACGGGUAGACCAAUCAAAAUCCCCCCCAAUGAAUUUCAGUCGAAAACCAAUUAAAACCCCCCAGGUAUGUACGAAAUCGUACAAUAUCAUCUAAGAUUCACGGAAUCAAACCAUUGAGGAGACACUUGGACCUAUUUCGGAAGCUUCUUGAGCUUUAUUCGUACGAACUAAUGAGACACGUAUGGAAAAAGGUCAUGUCGGCCUUAUUCUGGGUUCAUGAGACACAGGUCGUAGACUAAAAUUGUUAAAUUUGAGGGUCGGGUUUGGGUCUGUCUGUCGCGAUUGGAAGUUGCUAAUGUUGAAGGUGGGUUUAGCAUUGUUGUUCUUGAAUAUUGUUGAUGCUGAUGUUAUUUGGAGAAAAUGAAUUGGGCCCGGGUCAGGAGCUUGUUUUGGGCUGGGGGUUAUUAAUUGAGUUGGGCUGUUAUUUAGAGAAUUGUUGGGCUGGGCUGAUUUUGUUUAAAAUGGGUUUGUUUGGGAUUUAAGUAUUGGGCCAAGAAUUGGGUAGAUUAGGAGGUAAUUUUAAGGAUUGGGCUAGAAUUAGGAUAUUUGAGUUUUAAUUUAGGCAAUUGAAUUUAAAUUAUAGCCAAAUUAAAUACCAAUUGGUCAAUUGCAUUUCAAUUGGGGCCAAUUUGAUUUCAAUCAGAGCCAAAUUCAACAAAUUGACUAAAUCAAAUCGAAAUUUGAUACGAAUUAACCCCUUGUUCAAUUCCGAGCUUCUUGAUUUAAUAAAACCAAAUAAGUAUUUCUCCAAAUAGAUUAUUUGUAAGAAUAAAUUGUAUUUAAAUCAUGAUUUAAUUGUUUAAAAUUUAUUUUCCAAAUAAUCCUUAAUUUAAAGUCCAAUUUUGAUGAAAAUGUUCAUUUAAAUGAUGUCAUUUNNNNNNNNNNNNNNNNNNNNNNNNNNNNNNNNNNNNNNNNNNNNNNNNNNNNNNNNNNNNNNNNNNNNNNNNNNNNNNNNNNNNNNNNNNNNNNNNNNNNNNNNNNNNNNNNNNNNNNNNNNNNNNNNNNNNNNNNNNNNNNNNNNNNNNNNNNNNNNNNNNNNNNNNNNNNNNNNNNNNNNNNNNNNNNNNNNNNNNNNNNNNNNNNNNNNNNNNNNNNNNNNNNNNNNNNNNNNNNNNNNNNNNNNNNNNNNNNNNNNNNNNNNNNNNNNNNNNNNNNNNNNNNNNNNNNNNNNNNNNNNNNNNNNNNNNNNNNNNNNNNNNNNNNNNNNNNNNNNNNNNNNNNNNNNNNNNNNNNNNNNNNNNNNNNNNNNNNNNNNNNNNNNNNNNNNNNNNNNNNNNNNNNNNNNNNNNNNNNNNNNNNNNNNNNNNNNNNNNNNNNNNNNNNNNNNNNNNNNNNNNNNNNNNNNNNNNNNNNNNNNNNNNNNNNNNNNNNNNNNNNNNNNNNNNNNNNNNNNNNNNNNNNNNNNNNNNNNNNNNNNNNNNNNNNNNNNNNNNNNNNNNNNNNNNNNNNNNNNNNNNNNNNNNNNNNNNNNNNNNNNNNNNNNNNNNNNNNNNNNNNNNNNNNNNNNNNNNNNNNNNNNNNNNNNNNNNNNNNNNNNNNNNNNNNNNNNNNNNNNNNNNNNNNNNNNNNNNNNNNNNNNNNNNNNNNNNNNNNNNNNNNNNNNNNNNNNNNNNNNNNNNNNNNNNNNNNNNNNNNNNNNNNNNNNNNNNNNNNNNNNNNNNNNNNNNNNNNNNNNNNNNNNNNNNNNNNNNNNNNNNNNNNNNNNNNNNNNNNNNNNNNNNNNNNNNNNNNNNNNNNNNNNNNNNNNNNNNNNNNNNNNNNNNNNNNNNNNNNNNNNNNNNNNNNNNNNNNNNNNNNNNNNNNNNNNNNNNNNNNNNNNNNNNNNNNNNNNNNNNNNNNNNNNNNNNNNNNNNNNNNNNNNNNNNNNNNNNNNNNNNNNNNNNNNNNNNNNNNNNNNNNNNNNNNNNNNNNNNNNNNNNNNNNNNNNNNNNNNNNNNNNNNNNNNNNNNNNNNNNNNNNNNNNNNNNNNNNNNNNNNNNNNNNNNNNNNNNNNNNNNNNNNNNNNNNNNNNNNNNNNNNNNNNNNNNNNNNNNNNNNNNNNNNNNNNNNNNNNNNNNNNNNNNNNNNNNNNNNNNNNNNNNNNNNNNNNNNNNNNNNNNNNNNNNNNNNNNNNNNNNNNNNNNNNNNNNNNNNNNNNNNNNNNNNNNNNNNNNNNNNNNNNNNNNNNNNNNNNNNNNNNNNNNNNNNNNNNNNNNNNNNNNNNNNNNNNNNNNNNNNNNNNNNNNNNNNNNNNNNNNNNNNNNNNNNNNNNNNNNNNNNNNNNNNNNNNNNNNNNNNNNNNNNNNNNNNNNNNNNNNNNNNNNNNNNNNNNNNNNNNNNNNNNNNNNNNNNNNNNNNNNNNNNNNNNNNNNNNNNNNNNNNNNNNNNNNNNNNNNNNNNNNNNNNNNNNNNNNNNNNNNNNNNNNNNNNNNNNNNNNNNNNNNNNNNNNNNNNNNNNNNNNNNNNNNNNNNNNNNNNNNNNNNNNNNNNNNNNNNNNNNNNNNNNNNNNNNNNNNNNNNNNNNNNNNNNNNNNNNNNNNNNNNNNNNNNNNNNNNNNNNNNNNNNNNNNNNNNNNNNNNNNNNNNNNNNNNNNNNNNNNNNNNNNNNNNNNNNNNNNNNNNNNNNNNNNNNNNNNNNNNNNNNNNNNNNNNNNNNNNNNNNNNNNNNNNNNNNNNNNNNNNNNNNNNNNNNNNNNNNNNNNNNNNNNNNNNNNNNNNNNNNNNNNNNNNNNNNNNNNNNNNNNNNNNNNNNNNNNNNNNNNNNNNNNNNNNNNNNNNNNNNNNNNNNNNNNNNNNNNNNNNNNNNNNNNNNNNNNNNNNNNNNNNNNNNNNNNNNNNNNNNNNNNNNNNNNNNNNNNNNNNNNNNNNNNNNNNNNNNNNNNNNNNNNNNNNNNNNNNNNNNNNNNNNNNNNNNNNNNNNNNNNNNNNNNNNNNNNNNNNNNNNNNNNNNNNNNNNNNNNNNNNNNNNNNNNNNNNNNNNNNNNNNNNNNNNNNNNNNNNNNNNNNNNNNNNNNNNNNNNNNNNNNNNNNNNNNNNNNNNNNNNNNNNNNNNNNNNNNNNNNNNNNNNNNNNNNNNNNNNNNNNNNNNNNNNNNNNNNNNNNNNNNNNNNNNNNNNNNNNNNNNNNNNNNNNNNNNNNNNNNNNNNNNNNNNNNNNNNNNNNNNNNNNNNNNNNNNNNNNNNNNNNNNNNNNNNNNNNNNNNNNNNNNNNNNNNNNNNNNNNNNNNNNNNNNNNNNNNNNNNNNNNNNNNNNNNNNNNNNNNNNNNNNNNNNNNNNNNNNNNNNNNNNNNNNNNNNNNNNNNNNNNNNNNNNNNNNNNNNNNNNNNNNNNNNNNNNNNNNNNNNNNNNNNNNNNNNNNNNNNNNNNNNNNNNNNNNNNNNNNNNNNNNNNNNNNNNNNNNNNNNNNNNNNNNNNNNNNNNNNNNNNNNNNNNNNNNNNNNNNNNNNNNNNNNNNNNNNNNNNNNNNNNNNNNNNNNNNNNNNNNNNNNNNNNNNNNNNNNNNNNNNNNNNNNNNNNNNNNNNNNNNNNNNNNNNNNNNNNNNNNNNNNNNNNNNNNNNNNNNNNNNNNNNNNNNNNNNNNNNUAAACACAAUUUCUAAACCCUCAAAUUUCUGACCCUUUUUUUCUUGAUUCUCCCUAGAAGAGAAAAAGGACUUCCAAAGAAAAAGAAGACUCUUCUUGUUUUUACCCCUCGAAAACCAAGGGAAAAAUCCUCCCAAAAGAGAAUGAAUGACUCUUUAUAUAUAGAGAAUGAAUAGGGGCCCUUCUUCGAAUUUUUUUUGAAUUUUGAAUCCCCCCACAUCACCUUAUUUUCCCCCCGAUUCAUAACGGGUAGACCAAUCAAAAUCCCCCCCAAUGAAUUUCAGUCGAAAACCAAUUAAAACCCCCCAGGUAUGUACGAAAUCGUACAAUAUCAUCUAAGAUUCACGGAAUCAAACCAUUGAGGAGACACUUGGACCUAUUUCGGAAGCUUCUUGAGCUUUAUUCGUACGAACUAAUGAGACACGUAUGGAAAAAGGUCAUGUCGGCCUUAUUCUGGGUUCAUGAGACACAGGUCGUAGACUAAAAUUGUUAAAUUUGAGGGUCGGGUUUGGGUCUGUCUGUCGCGAUUGGAAGUUGCUAAUGUUGAAGGUGGGUUUAGCAUUGUUGUUCUUGAAUAUUGUUGAUGCUGAUGUUAUUUGGAGAAAAUGAAUUGGGCCCGGGUCAGGAGCUUGUUUUGGGCUGGGGGUUAUUAAUUGAGUUGGGCUGUUAUUUAGAGAAUUGUUGGGCUGGGCUGAUUUUGUUUAAAAUGGGUUUGUUUGGGAUUUAAGUAUUGGGCCAAGAAUUGGGUAGAUUAGGAGGUAAUUUUAAGGAUUGGGCUAGAAUUAGGAUAUUUGAGUUUUAAUUUAGGCAAUUGAAUUUAAAUUAUAGCCAAAUUAAAUACCAAUUGGUCAAUUGCAUUUCAAUUGGGGCCAAUUUGAUUUCAAUCAGAGCCAAAUUCAACAAAUUGACUAAAUCAAAUCGAAAUUUGAUACGAAUUAACCCCUUGUUCAAUUCCGAGCUUCUUGAUUUAAUAAAACCAAAUAAGUAUUUCUCCAAAUAGAUUAUUUGUAAGAAUAAAUUGUAUUUAAAUCAUGAUUUAAUUGUUUAAAAUUUAUUUUCCAAAAUAUCCUUAAUUUAAAGUCCAAUUUUGAUGAAAAUGUUCAUUUAAAUGAUGUCAUUUCUACAAUCUCGUAUAUGCAAAUACGAAAAUAUAUAAUUAUCACUUAAAUGAAAAAAUUAGCCCAAAUAUUUAUUUUAAAACGCAUUUAUUUGAAAAAAAUAAUUGUUGUGAUUUUAUUCGAAAAUAAAAGAAACCCGAGAUUUAACGUAGUUGUGGAGGACAAAAAUUAGGUGUCAACAACUUACCCCUCCCUUUGGGUAGGAUGGAUGCAAGUAAUCCUGGGCAAAGGGAGGUUGACAUUCCUAAUUUUUGUCCGACCACAAAUUUGUAUCUAAGAGAGGUUGGUUUUCCGCACGAGUUUCAUGGAGUUAUGGCCGAACCUCGGUAUCAGGUUUCCUAUAUAUCUCAGGUUUCAUGAGAAUUCAGGCCACUUAUAGUUAAUAAAUAUUUAUCUUGAGCAUGAUUUUCAAAAAAAUUCACAAGUUACCUCGAUUUUAGAGUUUUUGAUAAAAUCGAGAAACUGGGGAAUAAAGGGAUUAGGGGGGAGGUUGGAAUGUAGUUGAGUUUUCUACAUAGAUCUCAGCCUACAUAUCCCCAAGAUUUUAGGGAAUCAGACUGCUUGUAGUUCGACUCGAUCGGUAGAAAAGAUAGUCUUUUGUUUCAAACAAUCUUUGGCUCAAGAUGAGUGACAAGUUGAUCGAGUUGCGGAAAAAAGGCUUGUAACCUCUUAACGAUAAACGUGGACCUCUUCACAUACAUAGGUAAGAAUUUACCUGGGCAUAAUUUCCUAAACUAUACGAGUCUUAUCACUCGAAUUUGAAUGAAAAAGAAAGUUCCCCUCGGUAUGAGUUAAGAAAACAUCCCAGAGGUAAAACUGAGACCAGAAUAUCCAAAAAUAUCCACAUGCCUUCUAAUAGAGGUGUGGUCAGAUGGUGGUGGUGAUCAUCAUUUAGCUCGCAUCUAGAGAGUUUGACAUCCCUCUCCAGACUAUGUCCCAUUUUGCUGUUGAGAAAGAGUUCCACGUUGUGGUGCGUCCUUUUUGGAGUAGUUCACACCUGUGAUUUUGGUUUGAGAUUUUCAUCCUCUCGGAUGCUCUCGACAAUUUCUGACACAAAAAUAAUUAUAGAUAAUCUCAAUUCAUGAAAUAAGUAUAUAGUAUUUGACCAUAUCUCCGCGUGAGUUGUUGUCUAAAAAGUGAAGUUAUCCUUUUUUGUACCUUCAGAGUGGGGUGGCACUUUUGGACACCGGUGAUACUUUAUGAAGAAUGGUCUCUAAAAUCAUGUAAUCUUGUGCUGGAGUGGCAACCCUUUUGGUUACCUAUAUUACUUAUUGUAUGUGGAAUGAUAACCUCUCCGGUUAUAGCCGAUGAUCAAUUUAUAAAUUUUUCUUCAAUUGUAAAUCUUCAGAUAAUCUUGCGUAUUAUUUGAUUGUUGGGUACAAGGCGACUUACAGACAUCUUUUGAAUUGCUAGCCUUUAGGUAAUCCUACACCUUAUCCAACUUUGGAUAAGAGAUGGCUUAUAGAUAUCCCUCCAAUCACUAGCUUUCUGGUGGUCCUGCGCAUCAUCUGACCUUGGAUACAAUAUGAAUUAUAGAUAAUCUCUCAAAUUGUUAAUCUUUGGGUAAUCCUGAACAUAAUCAAUCUUGGAUAUGACGCGGCUUAUAGAGAACCCUUGGACGUAUUAAUUUUACAAUUCUGUAUAUUCUCCGGUAAGGAUUUAGUUGCGACUUAUGGAUAACCCUUGAACUAUUGAUUUUUGGGCAAUCUUGCACACUAUCCGGUUAGGAUGUUGUUGUGGCUUACGGAUGUCCUACAGGAUAUCAACUCAUAGGUGAUCUUGCACACUAUCUUAUUUCAAAUAAUAUGACUUAUAGAUGACCCUCAAAUUAUCAAUUUCUAGGAAAUCUUAUAUAUCAUUCAUCCUUAGAUAGCGAAUUAAAGGCGUCCCUUCAAAUCGUGUGCUCUCGAUGCAUUCAGAUGAUGAUUCAUAAAAUGAUGAGAUAUACUUGACGCCAGCAUUUCUGUAUAGUGUGUCAACAGAUAUUAAAUGAUAAUAUCCUCGACGCCAGCAUUUCUGUCUAGUGUGUCAACAGAUAUUAAAUGUCUUCUAGGGUGAUGGUAUGAGAUGGACUUUGCGGCAAUAAUAUGUGAUGGCCCUUGAGGAAAUACCUUGCGGCAAUAAUAAAUAAUGGCCCUUGGGGCAACGCCUUGCAGCAAUGAUAUGCAAUGGCCCUUGGGGCCACGCCUUGCGACAAUGAUAUGCAAUGACCCUUGGGGAAACGCCUUACGGCAAUGAUAUGUAAUGUCCCUUGGGGUAACGACUUGCGGCAAUGAUAUGUAAUGGACCUUGGGGCAAUGAUAUGUAACGGACCUUGGGGCAACGCCUUGCGGCAAUAAUAUGUAAUGGCCCUUGGGGCAACGCCUUGCAGCAAUGAUAUGUAAUGGCCCUUGGGGCAACGCCUUGCAGCAAUGAUAUGUAAUGGCCCUUGGGGCAACGCCUUACGGCAACGAUAUAUAAUGUCCCUUGAGGAAAUGAUAAAAAUAAUUUUACCUGAAUUCAUCUGUCAUCAUCUUUUUUUCUGCAUGUACCUGUGCUCAAGGUAGGCGAUUAGUAGACACAAAGUCACUUUUGCUAGCGACUAUUUUUAGGAAACUUCUAAAUACAAUAUUUGUAAAGAAGAAUAGGCACUUUUGUUUGUUGCCUAUGAUCUCAAGAAAUGAGAUGGACAAAUCAAAAGGUCCUCAAUAAAUAGCUGUUAACCCAUUUUUAGGGAUGCCCUAAAAUACCAUUCUUGGGCAUUAAUGAUCUAUUGUGGCUCCCAAUUUGCUCGGGGAUUUUUGAAAGAGACUCGUAUUUUUGUGUUUUGACCCCUGCAUCCACAGAAAAAUGAUUAGUUUGAAUAAAAUUACUCCAUGUUGACCUUCUUCGAUCCUUGAUUUUCUCUUUGCCAUCUCUUGGGUAUGCCGUCAUAUUGGGACUUCCACCCUGACACUCCAUCCCAAAUGAUGUCUAGGCAAGUACUAAAUAAGUGAGUCAUAAGAUUUUUUGAAAAUAGUCUUAAAUUUUUGAAAAUAAUUUCGAAAACUUCUGUAAAACUUUAGAAAACUUCUGUAAAACUUUAGAAAAUUUUGAAUAUAUCCGACGGAUGAUUUCCAAAAAUCAUGAUCAUUGUUGGAGGGUUUCUUCAAAUAGUUCUAUCAUAGCCAAAAAUUGAGUCUCCCCAGACUUUGUUACAGUCGAUGGAUUCCAAAGCUUGACUUUAACCUUUGGUGCUGGGGAAUUUGGAAUAUGUUCUAGCAUUUGGUGGAAAUUUUGAGGUCUUUCUCAAAAUUUCUUCUCCAGUUUAAAGUUGUUUGAGAUGAUACCAAUCCGGAUGGGUCUGAAGUCUCUGCUGAUCUUCAUUCUCUUUGUUGGAUGUCGAUCUUCUCUUGUGAAUUUCGAGAUUCCUUCUCGAAAAUUCUUCCCUAGUUUCCAUUUCCUAGUGUUAUAUGACCGAGAUGGUGGGGAGCCUACGUAUCCCAUUGAAGCAGGAAUCAGGUCAAACAUAGUUCAGGACUACGCUAGGGAUAUAUAUAGAAAAUCUAAUGGGUUGACCGAAGCCGACAUAUGCUACCUACGUAUCCCUUUUGUUGGGAAUUCAGGUCAUCACGUAGUUCAUACAUAAGAGGAAAGGAUAAAUUAUCCUAAGGGGUUGACCGAAGCCGACAUAGGCUGCCUACAUUCCCUUUCUUGGGAAUUCAGGUCAAACGUAGUUCCUACGUAAGAGGAAAGGACUCUAGACAGUCACACACUAGAAAACAACAUUAUUAUAAAGGCGAUUAAUAGUAAAUUAACUAAAGAAACACAAAAUUUAGAAUGUCCUUCAAACAUAAUAUCUCUUUACCGCGUCGGAAUUGAUUGGUUUGGUCCACUCCGUGCCAUCCAUCUCAGACAAAAUCAGAGCUCCUCCAGAUAGCACCUUGCGAACUAUGUAUGACCCUUGCCAGUUUGGAGCGAACUUUCCCUUGUACUCCUCUUGGUGAGGGAAUAUUCGUUUGAGAACCAGCUGCCCCCCUUCAAAUGCCCAAGCCCUCACCUUCUUGUUAAAGGCACGAACCAUCCUGUGUUGGUACAGCUGACCAUGGCAUACAACGACCAUUCUCUUUUCAUCAAUCAACAUGAGUUGUUCAUAGCGAGCACGAACCCAUUCUUCGUUACUUAGUCUAGCUUCCUAAAUAAUCCUUAGGGAAGGUAUUUCAACUUCCGCAGGUAUCCCAACUUUAUUCCCAUAGACAAGUAAGUAGGGGGUAGCUCCGAUGAAGGUUCGAACUAUUGUGCGAUACCCUAGCAAAGCAUAAGGUAAUAUAUCAUGGCAUGAUCUAUCAUUUUUUACCAUAUUUCUCAUGAUAUUUUUGAUAUUCUUAUUGGCCGCUUCCACAACUCCAUUCAUUUGGGGACGAUAUGCAGUCGAGUUGCAAUGCACAAUCUUGAACUGAUCACAAAUUUCUUUCAUCAAGUGACUGUUCAAGUUUUCCCCAUUAUCAGUAAUGAUCGAUUCCGGUACUCUAACCGACAAAUCUAAUUAUUCCUGAUAAAAUCUACAACCACUUUCUUAGUGACGGCUCUGUAUGAAACCGCUUCGACCCACUUAGUGAAAUAAUCAAUGGCAACCAAAAUAAAUCUAUGCCCAUUCGACGCUAAUGGCUCUAUUGGUUCGAUGACAUCCAUGCCCCAAGCUACGAAAGGCCAAGCCGAAUUCAUUGUGUGAAGCUUGUUUGGAGCAUUCAAAUCAGAUCUCCGUGUAUUUGACAUUUUGGACAUCUCUGCACAUACUUACUACAAUCAUUUUCUAUAGUCAUCCAGAAGUAACCGGUUCUCAAGAUCUUUCUGGAAAGGACAAACCUAUUCAUGUGGGCCCAUAAAUUCCAGCGUGUACCUCUUUUAUCAAUUUAUUGGCUUCCGCAACAUCGACACAUCUUAGGAAUCCCAAGUCAGGAGUCCUCCUAAAAAGAAUUUCCCCACUUAGAAAGUAAUUCUUUUCCAAACACCAGAUUUACUUCUUUUGGUUGUUACUAGCCUCUUCAAGAUAUAUUCCAAAUACCUUUUAAUGUCAUAGUACCAAGGUUUUCCAUCAGGCUCCUCUUCCACGAGUACACAAUAUGCGGGUUACUCCUUCAAGCUUAUUUCCAAAGGAUUAAUGUAACUCUGAUCUGGGUGCUGAGUCAUGAAAGAUAUACUGGCCAAAGCAUCAAAAAACUCAUUUUGUAUUCGUGGGAUAUGCCUAAAAUCAAUUUCCUUGAAUCUUUCACAUAAUUCUUGCACCAGCUCCACAUAAGGAGUGAUCUUGGGAUUUUUUACCGCUUAUUCUCCCCGUACCUGGUGAAUCAACAAAUCUGAAUCCCCAAUGACUAAUAAUUCAUGAAAACCCAUAUCAAGUGCCAAUUUGAGACCCAGAAUAGAAGCCUCAUAUUUAGCCAUGUUAUUGGUGCAUGGAAAACGUAACUUAGCAGUUACCGGAUAAUGCUGGCCCAUUUCUGACACCAAAAAUGCUCCAAUUCCUGAACCUUUGAAAUUGAUCGCCCCAUCAAAAAAUAGCCUCCAUCGGGGGUAAAUAUCUGUAGUGUCUUCUCCUACGAACAAAACUUCCUCAUCUGAAAAGUAAGUUCGAAGUGGCUCAUAUUCCUUAUCAACUGGGUUCUCUGCCAAAUGAUCUGCUAAGGCUUGCCUCUUGAUUGCUUUUUAGGUUACAUACACAAUGUCAAACUCACUCAGCAACAUUUGCCACUUGGCUAGCUUUCCCGCAGGCAUGGCCUUUUGGAAAAUAUACUUAAAUGGAUCCAUUCUCGAGAUGAGGUAUGUUUUGUAGGACCACAGAUAAUGCCUCAACUUUUGUGCCGUCCAAGUCAAAUCACAACAUGUCCUUUCUACAAGAGUGUAACGGGCUUCAUAUGACAUGAACUUUUUUCUCAAGUAGUAAAUGACUUUCUCUCUCCUACUGGUCUUAUCAUGUUGUCUGAGGAUACAUCCAAAAGACUUUUCUAAGACUGACAGGUAUAGUAAUAGUGGAAUUCCUUCUCUUGCUGGAACCAAAACCGGCGGUGCAGAAAAGUAUUUCUUGAUGCGGUUAAAAGCUCUCUGAUAUUCUUCUGUCUACUCGUUCAAUGCAUUUUUCUUCAACAUCUUGAGAAUUGGCUCGCUUAUAACUGUUGACUGCAUGAUGAACCUGCAAAUGUAAUUCAAACGACCCAUGAAACUCAUAACUUCCUUCUUAGUCUUCGGCGGUGGCAAGUCCUGAAUUAUCUUGAUUUUUGAUGGGUCUAACUCGAUGCCUCUUCUAUUGACUAUGAACCCUAGUAACUUCCCUGAUGGCACACCAAAAGCACACUUAGCAGGGUUUAAUUUCAAACUGUACCUUCUUAAUCUGUUGAAAAAUUUCUCCAGAUGGGUCAGAUAACCCAAACUCUUGCGGGAUUUAAUAAUUACGUCAUCCACGUACACUUUAAUCUCUUUAUGGAUCAUAUCAUGGAAAAUCAUCGUCAAAGCCCUCAUAUAUGUUGCACCCGUAUUUUUGAGACCAAACGGCAUUACCUUUUUAUGAUAAACACCCCAGGGUAUAAUAAAAGCCAUUUUUCUGCAUCUUCCUUAUCCAUCAAUAUCUGAUGAUACCCGGCAAAACAAUCAACAAAUGACUGCAUUUCAUGUUUUGCACAGUUAUCUAUGAGAAUGUGGAUGUUGGGCAAUGGAAAAUUAUCUUUAGGACUGGAUCUAUUCAAGUCUCUAUAGUCAACUCAAAUUCGAAUCUUGUCGUCCUUCAUAGGCACAGGGACGAUAUUGACCAACCACGUCAGAUAUUUUAUGACCUCGACAAUAUUAGACUGGAUUUGUUUUGUCACUUAUUCCUUGAUCUUUAGACUUAAAUCUGGCUUGAAUUUUCGUAUUUUUUACUUGACUGGAUCAAACUUUAGAUUUAUUGGCAACUUAGGUGACACAAUGCUGGUGCUCAACCCUGGCAUAUCAUCAUAGGACCAACCAAACACGUCGAUGUAUUCCCGCAACAGGUGGAUGAGCUCUUUUCUUUGUGGCAUCUCCAGGUGGAUAUUGACACUUAUCUCUUUGAUUUCAUCGUGAUCUCCUAAGUUGACUGUAUCAGUUUCUUCCAAAUUGGGUUUUUCACGAUUCUCAAAUUCCUCCAUAUCUUUGGCUAAUCGUUCCUCAUCCUCGUCCUUCCAAUCAUUAUUGUUCCCCUCAUUUUGUUCGUUUAAGCUUUGACAUGACACGAUAUUGGCGGAUUUUAAGCUACUGUUACUGUAAUGGACAAACAAACCAAGUUAGAUGUUAACAAGAUAAUAACAAAAUAUUUGACUAGGAGUGUUUUAGAAAUAACAGAAUUUUCUAAAUAAAUGAAGGCCUUUUCAUUGAAAUUUGGGAGAUAAUUAUAAAAUCAUGGCUCAUGACUUGCGCAAAUACAAGUCCAUGCCUUUUUGAAAGCAGUAAGAUACAAAAAGAAAGUUUUGAGAUAUAAAAGGUGGAUCACGGGGCCUCUUCUGGAUCAUCACCAAUUUUAAAAAUUAUCAGUAAUUGCCCUUUCAUCUACCACGAUGAGCGAUGGGUUAUGAGUGGAGAGGAUGUCCAAUUUGGUAAGGUCUCUCCUGGCGCAAUCUGCUUCACCCCGCUAGACUUUGGGAGAUCUUCUGGUACAGUAUUGCAUUCUUCAAAUAAAUCUCCUAUCCCAUCCCCAAGACCAUCAUCAUCUAACACCUCUCGUACAGGAAAUGACUGGAAUAGAAGUGGCAAGAGCCCAAACAAAAUCUUUUCUAGUUCAUCCUUAACCCUAUCCUCUCUAGUAGGCUGAUAUCCUAACCCAUACUUAGAACUUCUCUCUAGGAUCGCAAUAGGCUCGAUAAUUCCUUGUAAAUUCUUGCUCAAGCCUCGACCAGGUUCAAACCCAUUUCUUAACAUCACCGUUGCAAUCAUUUUAUAGACAGAAAGCAUUGGUACUUUGGGCGUCGAAUCUCUGUCCGCAGCAUUUACAAUUUCCACUGUAUAGAAACUGAUACCUUUUGGAAUAUCUUCAAUCACCUGCACAUAACCAUUGGGAUGGUUCGCUCGACUUCCUUCUCCUUGGAUGACUACUUUAUGAUCUUUCCAAAUGAACUUCAAUAAUUGAUGAAGGGGUGAUAAAACUUCCUUUGCACCGUGUAUCCAUGGUCUUCCCAAGAGCAGGUUGUAGCUAGGAUGGAUAUCCAUAACAUGAAACUUAGUCUUGAACUUAGCAGGCCCCAUUUGGAUGUGGAAAUCAAUCUCUCCUAUGGUAUCUCUCUGCCCACCAUUUACAUGGCUUUGAUGAACUUUUCCUAGAUCAUAGCCCGUUUUAACCAAUGUAGAGAGGGGACAUAUUCACACCAGAUUUGUCAUCUAUUAAUACCUGAUUAAUCGCAUAAUCGCAGCAAAUGACGAUGACAUGCAUGGCUUUGUUGUGCAUCGCUCCUUCAAAUGGCAAUUCUUCAUCACUGAUUGAUAUUUGAUGAUUCCCCACAAUGUUCCCUAUCAUCUCUGCUAGAUUCUCAACACUCGUUCCUACGGGAAUAUAUGCUUCCUCCAAGACCUUUGAUAAAGCCUAUCGGUGGUAUUGUGAACUCAUUAAUAAUGCCAAGACAGAGAUUUGGGCUGGCGUUUUCUCCAAGUGUUUAACAAUUGAGUAAUCCUUUGGUUGCAUACACCUCCAAAAUUCCUCAGCCUCUCCUUCAGUGAUUUGCCUUUUCUAUGAAUCUUUUUUGUUAGUCAAUUCCUCAGGGAUGUAACAUCAUCCCGAUCUAGUCAUCCCUUAGGCAGCAACGAUUUACAUAAUAAAUUCCUUUCUUGGCGGGGGAGCGUACACUUGAGUUGGGGCUUCCAUCACUAUAAAUGGGGCUUUCUCAUUGAUACUUAAGGUAGCCACGACCUUCUCUAUCUUUCCUACCUCUUCCACUCUUUUGCGCUUUUUGGAGUUCACCUGGGUAAUGGCCUUGCCCGAUGCCCAUUCACCUUCUACUUUAAUCAUGUUAACUGUAGAUCCCCCAUGGUUAAGCAAUGGAUUUCUAUUAAUAGUUGGAGUAGGCGCCUGGAUCGUGAUGACCUUUUGAUCAAUUAAAUCUCGGAUCUUGUGUUUCAAGUAAACACAAUCCUCUGUACUGUACCUCGCUGCCCUCGAAUGAUAAGCAUAAUGUUGACUUGCAUUAAAAAAUUGAUAGUUGGGAUUGAUAUUCCUUGGCUAUAUUGGUUGCAAAUGACCAGCGUUCUUCAAUCUUUCAAAUAAUUGGGUACGACUUUCAGCUAGUAGGGUGAAAUUUCGUUGAGGUUUCUUUUCAUGGUUUGGAAUUUGGGGGUUAUACAGGCUUAGGUUUGUAAGAGGGGGUACUUGGUGAUAAUUUGGAGGCGUUUAGAAAUUUGUUCGGUUAUUUGGAGGAGUGGUUUGGAAAUAAGACUGAUAAUUUGAAGGUGGAACUGGGUAUUGGGGAAAGAUAUUUGGCUGUGGAGCUUGGUAUGAGGAUUGGAUGUUUGGGAGUGGAGUUUGGUACUGAGGUUGGGCAUUUGAGAGUGGAGCUUGGUAUUGGGGGUUGGCGUAGAACGCGUGCAGAAGGUUAGGUGAAGGUGGAGGAGAUAAAACAUUUCUAGAAUUGAACCUCUUUUUUUGUUUUCAUAACAGAUUAGCAGAAAUCACACCUAUAUCUUCCUUUUUCUUCUUCGAGAACAUAACAGUCCCAGACGACGUCGGGGUUUUGGUAAUCUUCUCUGUCCGAAUACCUUCUUCCAAUGAUUCUCCUAUUUUUACCAAAUCCGCAAAAGUUUCCCUGAUAGUAGACACCAUUCUGGUAUACUAUCUCCUCUUUGAGUGUGGGAGAACACAGAUACCAUUUCCUCCUCGGACAUGGGGGGUUGCACUUUGGCGGCUUUUUUUCUCCAACGAAAAGCAUAGUCUCAAAAACUCUUAACAUUCCUCUGUUUGAUUUGAUCUAGUGAACAUCGGUCAGGUACUAUUUCAAUGUUGAAUGCGAACCGGUUAAGAAAACACUUGGCCAAUGCUUUCCAACCAGUUUGCUUUUUCGGAUCCUAAGAUAUGAACCACUCUAAGGCUUCGCCACUUAAACUUCGACUGAAUUGGUGUAUCAAUAAUGCCUCAUUUUUCCCUAUCCCUACCAGCUGAUCACAGUUCCUUCUCAGAUGGGCCAUUAGAUUUUUGGUGCCAUCAAACAUCUCAAACUUAGGGACUUUGUACCCAUCUGGUAGUUCUACUCCCGGGUGAACACAUAAAUUAUCAUACCUUAAACUAUCGUGGUCCCUCACUCUAUGAGAUUCUUUGAUCCUCAUGAUCUCUUCUUUUAUAGCUAGCAACUUUAGUUCAUGCUCGGUCCUCCACUCUUUCUCCUUCUUCUCGUAAUGGUUUAUCUUAGGAUUAGGAAGGGGAUUAUAGAUAUCAGCGGAUAUGAUGGCAUGAGGAGGAUUCAGAAGGGAGGUUUGAUUUUAUGGAUGAAAGGAAGUUGGUUAGUAGGUAAGGAGGAAGUUUUGGAAAUUAGAAAGGUUCUGUUGAAUUUAUGAGUAGUUGGGUGGAUUCUGAGAUGGAUUUUGCAGAUCUGGAAAUGAAUUUGGUGGAUUCAGGGAUAGAUUCGAUGGAUUUUGCGGGUUUAGGAGUGAAUCUUGUGGAUUUGGGAGUUAAUUUUCUUGAUUUGAAAAUGUGUUUUAGGGAUUUGAGAAUGGAUUCGGAGAUGGGUUUUGUGGUGUUAGAGAUGGAUUUUGUGGAUGGUAGGCAUCUGGGUUAUUUUCGCGAUUAGUGUUUUGGACAAGUGGAGGGGCAGAGACGGACGAUAUAUUAUUUGGCUGAUCCCCGAGAAUAUGUGUGCUGAGGGAAGGGAUUUGGAGUAGAGUCCCGUGUCCUCCUGGAGUGGGGGCAUUGACGGUGAUGGCCAAGUUAGCCAAAUCUCAAGUGCGAUUUAUUUCUUCCUGAAGCAUUUCUAACUUUCUUGCAAGUUCCGCAAUCAUUUCAUUCUAUUCCGAUAUCACAUUAUCCCAGAUAGUCAGUGCACUUUCUUCGUCAUUUUCUGUCAUUUUUGAAUGAUGGUCAGAGGAUGGGAUUUUGUGCUCUUUGAUCCGAUGAAGUAGGGAUGUUCUGCCAGCUUAUAUCAACACGGAGUAAUUUCUAUUAUCUGUAAAGUAAAACAACUCAAAGGCAGAUGUAUUAGUUUCCGUAUAUGAUAAGUAAUGCAACAUAAUUGACAGAAAAUAACCACAUAGAGUUGCUUGAGUCCUAGCCAAAUUCAUCCAUAGGACAUAGUAGAUGAACUUGCCUUUGAUCCAAACAAACGCACAUAAGCACAUAAAAUAGUUAUAUCACACAAAAACAUUAUAAUAACACGUAUCCUAAUUGGGGUGACCCUUUUUGAGCCAAGGGUUCAGGCCUAACAAUUUUUUGAAGAAAAUAUAUGCUUCCUCGAAGUCAAUCCAUUAACCCCCAACUCAUAUAGACACGAAAAAGGGCAUAAAUGCCUACAAAAGAUAAUGAAAAAGGGAUACAAUCUUUAGGGAAAAAGGGAAAUAACAUAAAAGAAGAUAAGUUCCCGCGCAGGGGAAAUAGAAAAACUAGCUACUGAAGGCUCCUUCGUAUGCCUUUGCCUUCUUUUCCUUGUUUACCUCCUGUGCUAUUUGAUACCUAUUGAUGAUAAGAUGACUCCCGCAUAAUUUUUCCUUGCAGUCAUAAGUCAUUUUUCCUAUACUAUCGAGUUGGGAGGCCAUCUACCAUCCAAAUUGAUUAGACAUUGCCUGGCAUCAUUAGCUUCUUACCUAGCUCUUUUCAACUCUUCCCUGAACAUACAUAUAGUUAAAGCGUCCUACAUGUGUAUAUACCGGUGCGCAAUUUCACUUUUCUGGAACUCAUCUUGUAACCUGUGGAUCCGAAUUUGAUGCUCAAAUUCUACAUCCACAACCCGAGUGGGCACAUUUGGUCCCGGAGUCAAUGCUCCAGCGAGACUCUUUUUCAACCACUCCUUGUAAGUAUCGCUGACUUCAGGGUCAUGCUCUAUAUAGAAAGUCACUUCCGUCCACCUUCUUCUUCUCCAUCCAUUUAUCAUGCCUUCUUUGAGUGGAGACUCACUUUCAUCAUAUUCGAUGAAAAACCUAAGCAUGGAAUCUAUUUGUGGUGCCUCCUGCUUGAUUGCGAAUUGCCUAAGAACUCUGCCAGGAUUGUAGGGCCGGGUCUCCCUGAGACCAAAAAGCACUAGGAAAGGCCACUUGCCCCCUCAAAUGGUGUAUUUCCCUGAACGAAGAGAGUUAAUGGACCAUUGCACAUCGUCAUCUCUUAAUUCCCUAAAAGCCUUGAACCAAAAUUCGUGAGAUGCUUCCCUUUUGAACCUGCGUAGAAACAACCACAUGUAGUGCAGAGCUAGCAUAUCCAUCCUUGUUUUAUGAUCAGGUUGUACCAUUCUCAAAUCCAUUACCAAAUGCUUGAUCAUCCAUCAUUGUAAUAUAAGGUUGCAACCUUGAAAGAAAUGAUUUUCGACUUGACACCUUCCCAAGGCUCGAUAUAUGUCGGCGACAAUCAUGGGAGCUAAAUUGUGGAAUACCUUGGUAGAAUUGUAAUCUACUCAAAGGAAAAUUUCAUGGUCCACCAUAACAACCCUUGGAUGAAUUAUGGCAUUUUCCCCCUGUGGGAACACCAUGGUUCUGAGUAGACCUAUCGCAAAGGCUCCCAUCUCCUUUCAUUUUGCUUUGGACUAAAAUUUAUGUCCAAAUUUGUAGAAGGCAUUGAAUCUUCCAAACCGAUGAUACAACUCCCAAAAAGUGAUAUUUGCGCCAUCACGUUCCCCUAGCUAAGUGUCGUCGUCAAUUAAAAAUGCCUCUUUGAUCAUUUGACGGUCCUACACGGCAGGAACUAAAAUGUUCUUAUCAGGUUUUUCCUUUCUCUUGAAACACAUUUCAAUACUCUCAUAGAAAAUUAACACUUCUUCGAUGGUAGGAGUCAAUUCCACAUCCCCGAAGUGAAACACCAUAUUCUAAUCAUCCCAAAAAGUUGUAAGAACGUGGAUUAUUUCAGGCCAAGUGUCCAUUUUGAUCAACGAAGAUAGGUGCCCGAUGUGCAUCCUAACAAUUUUUCUCUCAUUUGGACCCAUGUAAUCCCUCCAUAAUUUCAGGUAAUCGUCAGGUUUGGUAACCAUCUUGAACUUUUCACGAGAAUGAAAUUGAGCCUUAUCUACAUAAAAGAAGACAAAGAUAAGCCUUUCCCUGACCCCAAAGGGUAAUGGAUUGAAUUUAGACAAGCAUAUAUUUCUCCAACACAUAAGUAUGAUCCAUAUGUGAUUGACUCGGGGUCAAUAGACAUAGGGCAAGUUUUCUAAUAGGCCCAAUACCCCCCGCUCAGGUAUUGGGCCGUCCUAGGCUCAUGCCUAAAAUAGGGUUUUGGUUUCGUUCUAUCCUCGGUGUCUAGAGUGGUUUUUAACAUUGGUUCUCAAGCGGACAACUUGAUUUUGAAAAUAGAAACAACCAUCAGACGACUCAAGUGCUAAUAAACUGUUUGUAUUUCCAACACAUUUUUGGAAUUGAUCAAUAGUGGCUGGGAUACCCACGAAACCCCAAAACAGUUUAAAUAAUGUAGGAAUAUGUCAUGCAACGCGAUUAUUAAACUCUACAGAAUCGAAACACAUGAACACAUAAACAGUUAAUCAAAAUACGAAAUCAAACAUUUGGUUAGAACCUAAUUAAAUAUCCCCAGUAGAGUCGCCAUUUCUGUUUUACGGAAAUUUUGACUUUUGAGAGAGUCCCCACUUAAUUUUGAAAAAGAAUUAAGAAACCUUUAAAGAGUUACUUAAAACGAUUCAAAACAGGUAAAUCGGUUUAAGUUAGAGAUUCCGAAUAAGUGGUUCUUAUUAAAAUUUUAGGAAGGUGUUAGGAACCUAAAACGUCCGCUAACUUGUGGUUAUCCGGACUGUUUGAAACCAUUCUUUUGAUUAACUUCGGAAAAUUAAUUUGUUGAAAAAGUAAUUGAUUAAGGAAAAAGUUUUCCCGAAAUCAGUUUUUUCGCGACUUAGUUAGGGAUUUAACUAGGUUCGCAAAGAGACAAGCAAACAAAUAAAUGAAAGGAAAAGGGGAAAAAGCGGGGAAGUAGUGAUUUAAGCUUUUUGAGCCCAAACCGUUGACCCUGUCCUAAUCUAGUUGGGUUUUCGACCCAUUUUCACCUGUUCUAAUUCUAUGUUUUCCAGCCUUUAGCUUGAGUCUCGAUCCACCUGUAUUAAAUACAACUUUGACUUCGUGGCCCAAAUGAAUGAAUAAGGAAAUAAAUAAAUAAAAUAGAUAAAGACAACAAAUAAAGAAUAUAAACAAAUAAAUAAAAAGAGACUUUCUAGUCCCUUUCCCGCUUCAAAGAAGGGAUUUUAGCCCAUUCUUCUUCUCUUGAAUCCUUGUUUGUACACCAUAGGAUCACUUUUUGGAACUUAGGCCUUCAGACUUGAAUCAAUGAAAUGGGCCUCAUUGGCCCAAUGAGGGAUGCAAAGAGAAAGAGUCCAUUUGGACUCCAAAGUGGAUUCAUGNNNNNNNNNNAAAAAUAAAGAAUGUUAAGACGUGAUCAACUAAACAAGAAAAAGAAAAGGGAAUUGAAGAAUGUAAAAACAAAAAUCAAAUCAAGGAAGUAAAUAAGACACAUAGCAUAUGACCAUCUGAAGGAAAGAAAGCAUAUAGGGCAAACUAACUUAUACUCUGUCACUGAAAAAUCAAAGAAGUAGAAAAGGCUCAUAAGAAAGAAGGAGGGUGCGUCCAUAUAGUCAAACAACAUGCUAAGCAAAUAUGUCUUGAUGUAAACUUAUUUGCACUCAGGUAUAAAUGACAUGUUUGAUACCCAAGAGCGUAUGAUGAGUGAUAACGUGAGUAACACAUGACAUACUGUAAGUUUAUUUGAAAGAUAUUCAUGAUCAGAAUGACAUGUUCUUCAUUUCAAUAAUAUCAGUAAAAGAAAGCUAAUUCAAGAUUCUAUCAAGCUAGACGCAUGGUCAGAAUAUGGAUGAGGUUUUGAAUACUCACCGAGAUGUUUAUCCAUAAAGCUUACAUGUUAUCCAAUUUUAUCAAUAAAUAAACAUCAAGAAAGCCGAAAACAUAAGGCACAUAACAGUAGCCUGGAGAACGAGCGAGGUGCUUAAUGUUUGACUCAUGAGUCGUAGUAAUAGCUAUAAAGCAAGCCCUUUCGAAAGAAUGAAUUUCCUUUCAAGUUUUGAACUUUUUCAGUCACUCAAAACAAUAACCUCGACAAUGACAACAUAUUAAUUGCACUUGACCACGAGACAAAUAAUAUUUGAUUCUGGAAGAGUGCUUAAAUAACCUGUAGUAUUAAGUUCUGGUAGUAGGUAUUUGAGGAUGGAGACAAGCAAUUAUGAUGCGUUGUCCCAUCUCUAAUCCCAUGUUGAAAGUAAAAUGAAUGCAACUUCAUCCCUACUUUCUUGAUUAUUGUUGACAGAGAAAGAUCCUUGGGAAUCCUUAGCCUGAGUAUAGACUAUACACAGUACAAUGACAACAAAAUUAAGCUGAAUUUCUGAACAAACAAACUCAAAUGCCUAGUGUCCUGAAAUACGAUGAUGUUGUUAUCCUUCUAAUGCGUUUUCAUGUUGAAAAUGAACCUAAAGAAAGAGCGGGAAUCUAAAUUCGGGAUUCGAAACAAAAUGAAAGACAUAACUCACAAAACUAAAGGAAAAUAUGGCAAAGUCCACUAUCCUCAUCCUCACUCUCUCUUCGGCAAACCCAAAAGGAUAGCUUUUGGUAGCCGAGAUGAUCACCAAGGAAUCACAGGAUUUUUUAUUUUUUAGCAGACUUAUCUUCAUUGUUCCUCGUUAUUUGAGAAACUAAAGAACUCAAGAGGUAGUUCCACUAAUGACAUUAUGGCUCAACAGUUAUAAUAACAACAAACAGUAACAAUGAUCAAAACAACAGAUUGUUUCAAUCCUCCUCUUCGCUCACUCAAAUAAGGUAGUCAUCGAGGAAUCCUAGGAUUUUUUUAGCAUAUCUUGGACCUUACUCAUUGUCCUUUUAGCAUAUGUGAAGCCAAAGGAACUUGAGAGGUGGCUCUGCUAGCAACGCCGCUAGCUUCGACAAUCGUGCCGCCAUUUGGUAAUAACAAUAGACGUACACAAUCAAAUAACAAUUACGAGACAAACAUCUCCCUAUUAAACUACUGAAUACAAUCAAAAGCAAUAGACUUAGCCUAAUAAUCCAUCCCUUCUCGCCUCAAGAAAUACACUAAGUGGAACAUAGUCCAAAAAUUAUUCAGUAACCUCAAGAAUAAACGACAGACCAUGACAUCAAAGUAAAAGAAUGAGUGAAAUUAAACCCAAACAUAGAUUAAUCUUAACACCACAACACACUCAACUCCUUCAUCCACAACAACAACUCAUGGCCCUUAAGAACUCUACAGAAGGCAGCCCAGCAUACCACAUCAAUGAGAGACACUGAAUGACUACAGAAUGGGGAGAUGAAGGAGAAAUAAUUAAAAAAUAACUGAAAUAGAGUGUUGCCUAAAUCGUGGCAGAAAAAUAGGAUGACGAGCUAUCAGUAAAAUCAUCACUAUCGGAAUCUCGCAACGUCGACCACCAAUAGAGCGUCUUCUGGAUUUUACCUCUUAGAGAUUUUGCAACCCCCCAUAUUUUCAAUUAAGGUUUUCAAACUAAAUUUAGAAACUUCUAAAAUUUUCCUUUCUCUAUUUCCGAAUCAGAAACUCACUCAAAAGAUUUCCCUUUUCAAUCCUCGAAUCUCUCCCUAGCAAUUUCAAAAACCUAAAAUUUCUAAGAAACAGAAUUCGAGUUCCCAAGGCUUUUCUAAACACAAUUUCUAAACCCUCAAAUUUUUGACCCUUUUUUCUUGAUUCCCCCCAAAAGAGAAAUAGGACUUCCAAAGAGAAAGAAGACUCUCCUUGUCUUUACCCCUCGAAAACCAAGGGAAAAAUCCUCCCCAAAAGAGAAUGAAUGACUUUUUAUAUAUAGAGAAUGAAUAGGGGCCCUUCUCCAAAAAUUUUUUGAAUUUUGAAUCCCCCCACAUCACCUUAUUUUUCCCCCGAUUCGUAACGGGUAGACUAAUCAAAAUCCGCCCCAACAAAUUUCAGUUGAAAACCAAUUAAAACCCCCCAGGUAUGUAUGAAAUCUUAUAAUCUCAUCCGACAUUCGCAGAAUUGAACCGUUGAGGAGACACCUGGACCUAUUUCGGAAGCUUCUCGAGCUUUCUUCAUAUGAACUAAUAAGACGCGUAUGGAGAAAGCUUGCGUCGUCCUCGUUCUAGGUUCAUGUGACAUGGGUCGUAGACUGAAAUUAUUAAAUUUGAGGGUCAGUUUCGGGUCGGUCUGUCGCGAUUGAAAGUUGUUAAUGUUGAAGGUAGUUUUGGCAUUGUUGUUCUUGAAUGUUGUUGAUGUUGAUGUUAUUUGGAGAAGAUGAAUUGGGCCCAGGUCAGGAGGAUGUUUUGGGCUGGGGGUUAUUAAUUGAGCUGGGCUGUCAUUUAGAGAAUUGUUGGGCUGGGCUAAUCUUGUUUAGAAUGGGUUGGUUUGGUAUCUAAGUAUUGGGUCUGGAAUUGGGUAGAUUAAGAGGUAAUUGUAAGGAUUGGGCUAGAAUUAGGAUAUUUGGGUUUUAAUUUAGGCAAUUGAAUUUAAAUUAUAGCCAAAUUAAAUACCAAUUGGUCAAUUGCAUUUCAAUUGAGGCCAAUUUGAUUUCAAUCAGAGCCAAAUUCAAUUAAUUGACUAAAUCAAAUCAAAAUUUGAUACGAAUUGACCCCUUGUUCAAUCCCGAGCUUCUUGAUUUAAUAAAACCAAACAAGUAUUUCUCCAAAUAGAUUAUUUGUAAGAAUAAAUUGUAUUUAAAUCAAGAUUUAAUUGUUUAAAAUUUAUUUUCCAAAUAAUCCUUAAUUUAAAGUCCAAUUUUGAUGAAAAUGUUCAUUUAAAUGAUGUCAUUUAUACAAUCUCGUAUAUGCAAAUACGAAAAUAUAUAAUUAUCACUUAAUGACAAAAUUAUCCUGAAUACUUAUUUUAAAAUGCAUAAGCUACCACUUUACCAUGCUACAUAAGAACACACCCAAGUCCCACCUGGGAUGUAUCACAUACACAACAAAACCCUUUCUACCCUUAGGAAUGGUCAAAACAGGUGCAGUAGUCAACCUAUCUUUCAACUUCUCGAAACUAUUCUCACAGGAGUCAAACCACACAAAUUUCACCUUUUUCAUUGUCAAACUGGUAGGUGGAGCAGCUAUGGAAGAAAAACUCUCUACGAACCUUCUGUAAUACCCAUCCAAACCCAAAAAGCUCUGAAUUUUGGUUGGAGUCGUGGGUUUGGGCUAUUUUCUCACUGCAUCAAUCUUUUAGGGAUCAACUUUAAUCCCAUCACCAAACACAAUAUGCCCUAAGAAAGUAAUAUCAUUAAUCCAGAAUUCACACUUGGAAAAUUUUGCAUUCAAUCUAUGAUCUUUGAGGGUCUAAAGAAUGGUUCGAAGGUGAUUGGCAUGAUCCUCCUCACUCUUAGAAAAAAUCAAAAUGUCAUCAAUGAAGACUAUGAUAAAUAGAUCUAGAAACUGGCGGAACACCCUAUUCAUUAGGUCCACGAAGUAUGUAGGGGCAUUAUUCAAUCCAAAGGACAUGAUUCAUAAUGAUCGUAUUGGGUUCAGAAAGAUGUUUUAGGAAUGUCAGCCUAACCUUCAACUAAUGUGUAAUACUCUGAAAAAUCCAACUCAAUAUUAGCUCUAUUUUUCAAGCUCAUGCAUAGUACAUCAUGGUUCCUUGGUAAUUCCAUGAUCAAGGUUGAUGUGAAUUAAGGUCUCAAAUAUGUCCUAGCUAUUGUGCGAAUCAAAACAUUCCUUACCUAUUGAAUUCUUGAGAAGAAUAUUGGUAUCAUCAACUUCAAAUGAGCAUAUCUAUUAUUCUACUAUGAAUUUUUGAUCCUAUGACCUACCAACGGAUAGAUAAUUUAAUAAGAUUUCCGUCAAUACCAUAUUCACCUAAAACGGACACCCGGUGAAGAAGUUAUGGCUAUUUUAAGUUUCUGCUGUAAGACGAAUGCCAUUUCAGUGCAUGGCGCGUCGCGCUAGAGGAAAAAAUGGCACUCGUCAAUUUCCAGAAAGCCUCCGCGAUAGCCCCUCUUCGCGCCAAGCUUCCAGGUUGCAAUAAUUGGCAUUUUACCAAGCUCUGUAUCGUGCCGGGGCCCUAAAUCGGGAGAAAUUUUGCGUAGUUUUUAGUUUUCAUUUUAAACUCCUCAAGGGCAAUAUGGUAACUUCCCAAAACCCUAUAUAUACUCUUUAAAAAUGGGAUUGAAUCCCCAAAGCAGCCCUUUACAUUAAUUUUAUCAAAAUUCACUCAAGAACAGUCAAGAAUAAGUCUAGGGUUUCCAUUGGGGUUUCAAGCUUCAAGCAAAUUCAACCGUACAUUCCACGAAUUCUUAAUCUAAGGUAUGCUUAGUGUUCAUCUAUGGAUCCAAUCCAUUCAUAGAGCUCAAGAACCAUGUUUUUAAAUUUUAUUUUGUAAACUUUUUGUGGUGAUAUAAGCAUGUACAUGUUGAUGAUUGUUGUUUAAGUUUCAAAAUGAUAUCUAAAGAUGUUUUCAUGAAAUAUAUGUGGUUGUUAGUUGAAAAACAUGAAAUUUAGGUGGUUUGAUGUGAUGCAAGUAUGAAAUCCACCUAUGCUUUAGAGAAUGCAUGCAAGGUGUUUGAUAAAAUUCCUAGGAUGCUAGAAACCCAUAAUUACAUGAUUCCAUGAUAUCUAAAUGACAAGUCCAUAUUAGCUAUACACUUUCAUAUGAAUAUCUAUGCUAUUUAUGUGUUGUUGUUGAUGUGGCAUGAAGUAUGUGUGAUAAUGGAAAUAUGAAUUAUAUACAUGAAAUGUAUCCAUGCUCUCCCUACCAUAUUGAGAUGUGAAUAAAUACAUGAAGUAUACUAUCCCCUACUUAUAAUAUUGUGAAUUGUGGACUCUAAUCUUGUGAUCAAGUCAUGUCAUGUAUGCCAAUUUCCUUUUAUCGAGUCCUGGGGGUAUUCAUACUUGAAAAAAUAUAGCUAUGUGCCUAGAGCCAUAUCAUGUGCUACGAUAAAUCUCAGUCAAGCUAUACUCUAUAGAACUCAGUCAAUUAUGUGACUCAGGAAACGUCAGAAAUCUCAUGAUCUCAGUUAACUCGCAGAUAAUAGUACUACUUCGUCAGUCAACGGAUGUCAUUUAUUCAGUCCAUGUACAACCAGUUAAAUCAUGUUCAAUCCCUUCAGAUGGGAGUAGAAGUUAGCAUCAAGUGAACCCAACGAUGGGAACUCACCUGUCUGUUUAUGGUGUGAUUCUUAGCAGUCAUCUUUGUGUUUCAUAACUACGUAGCCAGUGUAGGUUGAUAUAUCUUAACUUGUCAAAUUAAGGUUGAUGAGGUGGAUUAACCUGUCAGUUUAGGGUCUCACCAUUCUCACUUUGAGUACCUGCCAGAUAAGGGUCACUAACAACUGUCCUUACCAGUGGUGCGGUAUUAACACCCCUCCAGUUGGGGCAGAGAUUGGAUCCCAGCUUAGCCAUAAUGGUAUACAUGGGGCAUAUCGGUUAAACAAAUACCUCCCACAGUUUCAGUAUCAGUCUUAGUAAAAGAACUCAGACAGUUCUUCAUAUAUCAGUAUACCAGGACUGUUAGAUACAGUCAAAUUCAGUUAUAGCACGGGACUCAAAGAGUUCUACCAGAUUUAGGACUGUCAUACACAGUUGCUCAUGUUAUCAAUACUACAGUUCCAGUCAUGUAUUAGCGUACAGAUUUAGCUACCACAGACUGCCAUACACAGUUGCUCAUGUUAUCAAAACUACAGUUCCAGUCAUGUAUUAGCAUACAGAUUUAGCUACCACAUACUCACGAUCUCAGUUACUAUGUAUGUAUGUUUGUACUCUUACGUUCAUAUCAGUCAGUUAGUUAGCAUUAUUCAUGCAUGUAAACCCUUUGCAUUAGCCAAACUCACUCGUAUACUCAGUACUCUAGUUGUACUGAUGCAUUUGCGCUAUGGUGCUUUCUUUUCAUGUUACACCAUAGGUCUAGAUCCAUGAGUUCCAGACCAGCAGUACCUUUCCUGUCAUAGUGUUGCAGUGAGUCCUUAUCUAUUCGAGGAUAAUACGAUUUGAUUUAUUCAUUUAUUACUUCAAUUUAGUUUUGCGGAGUUAGUUGGAGACAUAUUCCUUCAAAUCCUUAUUCAGACAGUACUUAGAGCCUUUCAGAUUUAGUCAGAUUUAGCUAUCAGAUUCAAUAUUCAGUUUUAUAUUCAGUUGUUUUGGGUAUUCAUUACCCCAUGGAUGUUACUAUAUCUCUUCAGUUGAACCUUAUGACCUAUAUGUUCAGGUUUUCCAUGUAUUAUAUGUAUAUUAUGCAGUGUAUAGGUACAGAUAUCAGUCAUGGGUUAGCUUGUGGUCUCUCGGGGUCAUGAGCACCGUAUAGCAUUUCGAUUCAAAAAAUUGAGGCAUUACAUGAUGAUACCCCAAUGAAGGUCUAUCUUUGAAAAACACCUAGCACCCUGAAGUUGGUCAAAGAUAUCAUUAAUUAUAGGAAGGGGAUAUUUGUUCUUAACAAUGACCUUAUUCAGUUGACGGCAGUCUAUACACAUACAGAGGGAGCAUCUUUCUUAUGCAUGAAGAGUACAGGUGCACUCCCGGGAGAAACACUAGGACGGAUAAAACCUUUGUCAAGAAGGUCUUUUAACUGUUCUUUCAACUUUUUUAAUUCCACAAGAGCCAUUCUUAUAAUGCCUCAAAAUCUGUUUCGGGACAUCACACGGUGCUUAGGACCACAAGUGAUCCCAAGCUAACCCUUCUACUGGCAUAACUCAUAAGCAACUGAAUAAUAUGUAUAAAAUGACUGAGUUUACUGAGCGGAAACAUAAAAAUGAUGGAAUCUAUAAAAUACAAUACUGAUAAAACUUUUACAUUCUAAUAAAGUCUGAAAAGAAGGACUAAAAGUUACAUAACUGACACUAACUGUCAUCUGUGAAGCCUCUACUAUACUGACUAUAGAUAGCUAGGACACGAACCCAACUACCACUAAUCAAUUCAUAUGAGUAAGAAAGUAAUGAACAUGAAUAAAUCUAACUAAAGUCCCCAAAGUAGGAGGACUUAUCAUCUCGCUGGCUGGAAGCUAUACGUGUCUGAGUCUGAAUAUGCAUACUGAAACUUGUAAAUACAUUAUGAGACAAUGUAGCACAUAAAAAUAUAUGUGGAUCAGUACUUUGAGGGUGUACUGAGUAUAUAGGGGUGAAAUGUAAUAAGUAAAAAAUACCAUCAUAGUUUAUAAAAUCAUGCAUGCUAAAUGUAAAUGACUCACAUAGGCUUGAGUAAUCUGAAAUAUGAAAGUCAAAAUCAUGAAUAAUAAAGCAUAUAAUCUAAAUCUUAUGAGCCAUUACACUUAGUUCUGGAAUCUGUAUUCUGUUCUCAUUCUCAAAUCAUAUAGGCUAAAAUAAAGUCUGAAAACUUAUUCUGCAUAGAAAAGCAUUAAAUCUUAAGGCUUCAAAUCUAUAAACUAGUUUAAGAGUAGGGGACAUCUUUUGGGAGGUUCUUCUAACCAACAUGUACACCAUGUGAGCAUUCAUCGUAUCCCACGACUAGCCCCCGUAAGGUUAGGGCUAUUCUACCCUUUCCAUCAAAAUAAAACAAUCUCAUCUAGUGAUCAUAAUCUCAGUCAUCCACGUAGAAGUGGGAAUAAUCUAAAUCCUACGUUGGCACGUAGUUCUGGGGUAUGAAAUCGUAGUCACGUACCCAUCUCGGUGCUAAAUACUACUCCCAAUAUCAUGCUUAAGAUCUCAAAAAAAAUCCAUUUUAAAAGUAAUCUAAUGGUUUAUAAUAAAAACCAACUGUAAAUCUGUAAUCUGAAUCUGUAAAAUGGAUUUCAAAUCUAUUAUGAGACCAAAAGGUCAAAUCUUUCUUAAUAAUCUGAAAAUAUUCUAAUCAUGGGGUGCUUAUAGCACAACAAUUCUUUGAAUAGCAAUCUUCAAAUAGGGCUUAAUGACCCAUGUAUUAAUCUAAUGAUAAAAACGUCUCAAAAUUCGUGCUAGAUAACAUAAACAUUUAUAUUUCAUCUUAAAAUCUGAAAAUUUCAGCAAUGUGCAUAAAACAUAAACAUACUCAUGUAAUUCAAAUUUUAAAUCAAUGAAAAUCUCAUAAUUUCAUGAAUAGCAAUAUGGGGUAUAAACCCAAACUUUAAAUUCAUAGGAAACAUAUAAAAUCAACUAACUUUCGUAAUAAAAUCAAGUUUUGGGCACAAGGAUGCAAGGAUUGUCCUUGUUCAUAACCCCACAUACCUAAAUUAUUCUUGAAUUGUGAAGAAAGCUUGAAUCUUGGAACUUGAAUGAUGAACUUGGGAAAGAAACUUUAUUUUUGAUAUCUCCUGAAGAAUUAUUGAACUUGGAAGAUUGAACUCUUAGAUUUCUUGGAGGAAUCUCGAAAUUGAUGCUUGAAUUCUUAUGUUCUUGAGAGGAAAAGCUUGAAACUCAUUCAUGGGAAAAAACUGAGGGUUUAUGUGAGUUUUGAUGAUGAAAAGUGGGCAAAUAGUGCCCUUUGGGGUGUUAUAAAUCGUGUUUCGAUGGCUGGAGAUGGGGGAAAAGUACUAUACUACCCCUUAGCCUCUCUCUUUUGUGUAAACGACCAGAGUGGCAUGACCCCUAGAAUUAGAAAUGAAUCUUGCAUUGCGCCUCCCAGAAAAUAGGAAUGAAACUUGCGUCGCGAGCUUAUAGCGAGAGCUCACUGCCUCACACAAAAAUGACCUUUUCACUCGGGUAUCAGAUUUUAGCAAAAUUGGUAUCGUUGGAAAGCUAAUUAGAUUAUCUAAAAUUUUGUGGGUCUUAAGAUGAAAAAUUCCAGGUAUAUAAAAAGUUAUAGACAUUUAAAUUAGACCUUUGUAGAAUCAAAUAUCAAACUCUAGGCGAAUCAAAGGAUCUUAGCUCAACUUGGCUCUAAAUGAUUUCUAUGAACAUUUUUAACCUCAUGAGCAUUUCACACACUAGUAUAAAGAUCAUGAAAUUUGUAUCCAAAUGGGGAUCAUUUGUAUUAGAGCUUACACGUGUAGGAACGAUGGUUCAUAGACUAGCCCAAAAAUACAAGGUGUUACAAUUCUAUAGGGUGGAAUAAAAGUAGGACGGGUAUCCGACAAUAAAUCAAUACCAAAAUCUAUCUCCCUAUCAGGUGGUAUUCCCAGAAGAUCAUCAGAAAAAACUUUCAGAAAUUCUUUAACCAUAGGGACAGACUGGAGAGAAGGACUUUGAGUAUUAGAAUCUUUUACUCGAAUAAGAUGAUACAAACAGCCCUUAGAUAUAAGUUUGCGGGCUCUAAGGUAACAGAUGAAUUUCCCCUUAGAUUCUAAAGAAUGCCCCUCCAAUCCUAUCACCGGUUCAUUCAGAAAAGAGAAGGUAACCAUUCGGGUUCUACAAUCUAGCGUGGCUUACGAAUGGAGCCAAUCCAUCCCUAAAAUAGCAUCAAAAUCAACCAUAACAAGCUCUACAAGGUCAGCCACAGUAUCACAAUUAUAGAUAGAUAUGACAUAAUUUUUGUACACCCUCCUAGCCAUAACAGAGUCACCAACAGAAGUAGAAACCGAGAAAGGUUCCAAAAUAACUUCAGGUUCAAAUCCAAAACUAAUUGCCGCAUACAGGGUCACAUAAAACAAGGUAGACCUGGGAUCAAGUAACACAUACACAUCACGGGAGAAGAUUUGUAACAUACCCGUGACUACAUCUGGUGAGGCCUCUGCCUCCUGUCGGUUUGAUAAAGUGUACAACUGAUUGCGACCACUCCUGGUAGCUGAAGUAGCGCCUUUUAGAGGUGGUGGUGGCGCAGAGGAAUUAGCUUGUGACUUAUCUCCCCCAACAUGACACCUUGUUUUCGAGCAAUCUCUCUGGAUAUGACCUGGUUGGCCACAAGAAUAACAUACCAUUAUGUCGAACUGACAUCUUUCUGGGUGGUACUUUCCAUACAUGUCACAUCGAGGGUAUGACCUAGCAGGUUGUGCCACACUCUCUUGUGAUUGCAUACCCUAUACUCUUGGUCUAUGGCUAGGCUAAAAAUUCUAAAACAACAGAUCCGUUGGAGGUCUGGGCGCUGGGGCGCUAGCUGAUGACUGAGCAUGACUCUAAAACUUUUUCUUCGGCCACCUAUUACCCCAAUUACCAUCUUUGUGCUGACUAUAGUUUUGAUCUACUGGUCUGGUUCUCUUGGUUUGUCUGUCUUUCUUCCUUUCUUUAGCAACCCUCUUUUUGUGAUCUUCUACCUGCUACAUGUGAAUGAACAAUCUAGAAAAGUCUAUAUCUCUAUUCAACAUUCACCCCUUUUUACUCCAAUACCAGGUCAUCCGAAAGACCAGAUGCAAACUUCCUCAUAUGGGCCCUCAUGUUUCCCGCUAAUUUUGGAGCAUAAUGGGAGAGUUGAUUGAAUUUUAGGGUAUACUCGUUGACGCUCAUCUUUCCUUGUUUCAAGUUCAUGAACUUUUCAGCCUUGGACUUCCUCAACUCCUGGGGAAAGAAUCAGUCCAGAAAGUCUUCCACAAAUUCACCCCAUAUAGAAGGCUUAGCACUAUCUCUCCUCAAAUCUUUCCACUCAUUGUACCACUAAUUUUCUACCUCCUUUAGUUGAUAAUCCGUUAGUUCAACCCCUUCUACUUCACCCACAUGGAUCACUCAAAAAAUUUUCUCCAUCUCGUCUACAAACUCUUGUGGAACCUCCUCUACCUUUGUACCCAUAAACUUAGGCGGGUUCAACCUCAUAAACAGACCUACCCGUGAAGUCUCGGAUGUUCUAGACACAGACCCUUCAUUCUCCAACCAUCGGGUCUAUGAAGCCACCAACUGUGCAAUCAUAUGCAUCGACUGUCUAAACUUAAAAUUCAAUAUCUCUCUCUGGGGAGGUUUGGUAUGAUUAGUCCCAGACCGGGGAGCCCUAGGUGCCCUAGGUAGACUGGUCUAAACAGGAGGGACUCCCGGAGCAGUAACAUAUGCAGGAGUGUGAGCCCUAUUACGUGUCCUCAUCCCAUGGGUAGAACAGACAUCAUCAGUUUAGGCGUUUUAUUCAUUAGAGCGACGUGGAGGCAUGAUAGCUUUUCAAAAAUACAAGAGAACAUUGAUUAGAGGACAUUCAGACUCUAUAACACAAACUAAAUCACAAAUAAGGGAAAUAUUCCUAAGCAUCUAGUAGCCUCCUGCCUAUAAGUGUGGCGCGCUACACACCCAUAAAUAAGACUCUACCCGGUCCGAUUUCACAGAUAUCCUGGGACCAUGAACCAUGCUCUAAUACCAAUUUUGUCAUGACUUGAGCCGAGGCUCUGGCCGUAAUGAGCAUCCCGAACCGUGGAGGUUCAAGCGCCCUUCUACAUCUGGUAAUCAUACAAAAUACUCAUAUAAUAAAGAAAAGAUGCAAAAAUAUAAAUCAUUAUGGAACCAUGGUCAUGUUCUAAAUUACGUACAUCAAUACAAAAGAAAAUCCAUCAACAUCUAGACAACUUCCAUUCCUGUCUGUGAAAUCUCUAAUACAUACGAAAAUUAACAAAUUGUCUGUUACUGGGAUAAGUCCCCCAAGGGACCUAAAUCAAAGUAAAUAACAAGUGACUGAAAAGAAAUAGGCCUUUCAUAAUAAAGAAGGCUCACAACUUGCACACCUCACUUCUGUCUGAAUAACUCUACGGCUUAGCAGGACUCUAGACUGAGCCUCAAAUCUUGAAAUAUAGGAUGUCAAUACAAUUAUAUUAGUACACUGAGCAAUUCCAAAAGAAUAAUGUUUGUUCAACAUAGGUGAGAGAAAUGUAGAAACAGUUUAUAAAUAUACUUAUGAAAAGGAAACACAUAGGUAUAUUUAAAAGGUCUCUGGACAAUUAUCUAAACUCCAUGAGACACUCUGUAUUUUACUUUUAUGCUAGGUGGUAUACCCUACAAAUCUGAAAUCCCGUGGGCUAUAUGGAAUCAUCCCUUAACUCGGCAGCUAAGCCCCCAACCCGAGUUUGCCGCAAGGGUUGGAGUCUCUGUCUCUGAUACGCCACAAGGCACUAUGUCAGUGUAUGGUCCCUCAUGAAAGCAUAAAAAUGCAUAUCGAUAAAACACAAUUUUGGGCUAGGAGUUAUUUGAACUCAGGCCUUCUUUGGGCAACCACUUAACCCUCUUUAAGGCUAUUUUUAGCUCUUUAAAAUAUGUAUUCUCUGAAAAUCAAGUCUGAAACUCUUACUCUGUUAUGGUAUAUAUUUAUAUGGUAUCGUCAUACCAUUGACUUGCAAGUCAAAUUUGUAAGCCAUAAAAUAUCAUAUUACAAUCUCUUUUUUUGAAACAUAAAGUUCAGACCACCAUACUUGAAACCAUUCAAGAAGACUCAUACUUCAAAACAUAUGUCAAAUUAUUCAAAGAAUCUCUCUUUUCAACAUUUCAACAAACAUGUGGUGGUCAUGUAUUUUUGACAAACCACACAAUUCUUUCAUUAUAUAUCUUCAACAUGUAAAACCCUCACUCAUUAAUUUAAAAUAAAUCUUAAAUCAUUCAAAAAUAGUCAAGAACAUUGAUACCAUGCUUCUAAAUAUAACAUUCUUUAAUUCGUAACAUGCGAAAAUCUAAAGGUGUUGCAAUGAUAGAGGGAGAGUAAUUAUUCAUGCUGUCAAUUCAAUUAUCAACUAUAAAUUCAUACAUAUAUACUGUAAUACCCCAAAUCUAAUACCCAAAACACUACAUGGUGCUCAUGACCCCGAAGGACCACAAGCUAACCUAUGACUGAUAUCUGUACCUGUAUACUGCAUAAAAUACUGAAUAAUGCAGAAACAUGAACUGAAAGGCCGUAAGGUUCAAAACUGAACAUAAUACGAAUAAUAUAACAUCAGUGUAUGGUAAUAGGUACCCAAACCAAAACUGAAAAUACUAAAGUCUGAAACAUAAUAGUCUAGAAAGCCUCUAAUUGACUGAACUAUCUGAGUAAGGAGCUGAUGGGACAUAUCCCCAUAUAACUCUAACUAAUAAACCAAUUAAAGAGAUAAUAGGGAGUAAUCAUGUCCUGGAAUGAUAAGGACUCACUUCUUACUCUAUCUGUAGAUAUCUAGAAUCUACUAUUGCUCUGGAUCUAGUGUCUAUAAACCUAUGGUAUAAGACACCAUAGCACAAAUGCGUCAGUACUUAAAAUGUACUGGUAUGCAUGUGAGGUAGGCUGAAUGCAUGGGGUUCAUAUGCAUGAACAAUAAUAAUAACUGACUAACUAUCAUGAGCAGAAGAAUACAUACAUGAGGCAUAACAACUGACACUAAUACUGUGAUAACAUGAUUACUGAAUCUGAAUAUAACUGAUAAUGUGAGUGACUGUAUUUGAAAGUCCUAAAUCUGAUAGAACUAUCUGAGUUCCGUACUAUAUCUGAGUUGACUGUAUAUGAUAGUCCUGAAUUUUGAAAAACUAUCUGAGUCCUUUUACUGAGACUGAUACUGAGACUGUAGGAGGUAGUCAUCUAACUGACAUGCCCCAAUGAUACAUUAUAACUGAAUUGGAAUCCAAUAUAUGCCUUAAUUGGAAGGGUGUCAAUACCGUGCCACUGGUAAGGACAACACACGAGUGACCCUAAUAUAAUAGUUAACUCUAGUGAGAAUGGUGGGAACCCUCAUAUAGCAGGGUAGUCUACCUCAUCUAUCCUCAUAUGGCAGGCUAUGAUGUCUCAACCUAUGCUGGCUAUAUAGUUCUAGAAUACAAGGAUUGCUUCUAAGAAUCAUACCCUCAUAUAAUAGAUGAGUUCCCAUCCUUGGGUUCAUCGGUGCUAAUUUCUACUCCUAUCUGAAUAGACACUGAACAUGAUUUACUAAACUGGACAUGGAAUGAGUUACUAAAUUCUAUUGACUAAUGAAAUACUACUGAUAUUUAACAACUGACUGAGUUCAUGAGAUCAUGGAGAUUUCCUAAGUCAUAAGACUGUUUAAAGUCUAAGGAUUCAUAGCUUGACUGAUAGUAUCGUGGAAACAUGACAUGGCUCUAGGUACAUAGCUAAUAUUUUGGGUACAAGUACCCCCAGGACUCGAUGGAAGGAAAACUGACCAAGCAUAACUUACUUGAACAUAUAACUAACAUCAUAAUCCAUAAUACAUUUAUAGAAGCAUUCCAUCAAAACAUGUGAUAGGCAUAACUUGUACAUACAUGGGGAUUUCAUGAUAUCAUACUAGUUGGGCAUUAUUCCUUCAUCUAGGCAUUUAAUCAAACACAUGGUAGGCAUAGCACACGUAGACAACAUUAUACAACAAUUAAUCAUCAUGAUUCAUCAUCUAGGGUUUAUUCAUAGGUUCACAUGAAUAUACAUCUAUACAAAUCAAUUUCCAUAUAAAAUUGAUCACCCAACAUGGAUUUGAAUUCAAUUGAUCAUUCUCAACAUAAACAAAACAAACCUAAUAUGAAAUUCAUAAAGAAAUUCAUAAACUUAAACUUACAAAAGAGAUUCUUGGGCUUCAUAGAUGAAAGCAGUCCAUGAAUGAACACUACGCAUACUUGGUUCAUGAUUUUGUGAAGAUUGACAGAGGAAAUUCUUGAUUCUGAAUCUUCUAUGAAAAGACCUAGGUUGUUCUUGAGAAGUUUUUGAGAGAAGAGAGUGUAUUUUGGGUGAAAAAUGGUUGAAUCACGUGUUAAAGUACUUAAAUAGGUAUGGAAAGUUGACCCUUUUAACACUGGACGCGUCAUUUCAUUUUUUAGUAAAUUUUUCCCGAAUUGGGUCCCUGGCGUGACGCAGCACUAUCACAUCGCGUAGCUGGAUUUUGACUAUUGGGAAAUUGAGGGAUGGCGUGACACAGAGCCAUCGCGUUGCCCCUUCUUUUGCGACCUGGAACUUUGGCGCGACACAGAGUUAAUCGCGCUGAGACACUGGAAAAGGACAAUUCUGAAUUUGGGCCCUGGUGCAACGUACCAUAAUUUCAGACCCCUACUAGAAUUUUCCAAAUUCCAUUUUCUCUGGUGGCGCAGUGCACCACUGACUAAUAUGGCACUGUUUUACGAAGAAAACUUGAAAUAGUCGUAACUUCUGACCCGGUUAUCAAAUUUGGGUGAAUCUUAUAUCGAUGGAAAGCUUAUUGAAUUUCCCACAUUCCAUAAAGUGAAAAUCUUAAUAAUUCCUCAUGGAAUAACCAUCAUUCAAUUUAUAAGCUAAUACUAGACAUUCUUGAGAUGAAAUUAGCUAGGAAAAAGUAUGGGGUAUUAUAAUAUCUCCCCCUUGAGAACAUUUAUCCUCGAAUAAGACUGACUAAUAGGGAAGAAAAGGCAAUUGACGUACAUACUGAACAUGAAUAACUGGAACAUAAUCUCAUGACUAACAUAACUGACAAGCUGAACAUAUAAUACUGAACAUGCAUAUCUGAUGCAUGUGUAACUAAUUCAUGAAUGCAUGACUGAGUGUUCUGAAGAACUAAGUUUCUCACAAUGAGAAUGCGUGUCUGAUGCAUAAUUACAUAAUUGAACUGAUACAUGAGUGCAUGACUGAAUAUGCAAUGGUACUUGAUACUAAGUUUAUAAUGGGAACAUGAGUAUGAAAUUGCAUACCAAGUUUGUGAUGAACACUGAACAUGAAACUGAGUAAGACUAAGAAGAACUGUUACCUUGAGCUUGAUCUGAGUUGGUGAAGAAUAGGUGAGGAUACUUGGUAUGCAUGUCUGCCUCUGCUUCCCAAGUAGCUCCCUCGAUGGACUGAUUUUGACAAAAGAACUUUAACUUGAGGGAUUUAUUUGUUCCUCAAUCUACGAGUAUGAUAGUCUAAGAUUUCAACUAAAAUCUCUUCAUAAGAGAAAGUGUUUUGAACACCAAUGCUUUGAAUAGACACUACAACUGAUGGGUCACCUAUGCACUUCUUGAGCAAAGAGACAUAAAAGACUGGAUGAACUGAGGCUAGAUCUAAAGGAAAUUCAAGCUCAUAGGCUACCUUGCCAAAGCGAUUGAGAAUCUUGAAGGGACCGACAUAUCGGGGACUGAGCUUUUCUUUCUUGCCAAAUCUCUUCGCUCUUUUCAUUGGAGAGAUAUUCAGAUAGACAUGAUCACCAAUCUCAACUCGAGAUCUUUUAUACGAAUAUCUACAUAAGACUUCUGUCUGCUUUGAGCAGCCUGGAGUCUUUCUCUAAUCAACUAGACUUUUUCUAAGGCGUAGAAACCAAAUCAGGACCUAUGACUGAGGUUUCACUAACUUCGAACCAACCAAAUGGAGAUCUACAUAUCCUACCGUAGGGAGCUUUGAAUGGAGCCAUAUGAAUACUGAAAUGAUAGCUAUUAUUGUAUGCAAACUCAAUCAAAGGCAAGUCGUCAUCCCAACUCCCUUUGAAAUCAAUUACACACACCCUUAGCAUAUCUUCUAAAGUCUGAAUGGUCCUUUCUGCUUGACUAUCUGUCUGAGGAUAAAAAGUUGUACUAAGAUGAACAUAGGUACCAAGACCCUUUUGGAAUGCUUUCCAAAAAUGAGAGGUGAGUUGGGUACCUCUAUUUAAGAUAAUGGACAACGGAACACCGUACAAUCUAACCAACUCCUAGAUGUAGAGUUUGGCAUAAUCCUCGGCUGAAUAAGAGAUAUGAACUGGAAGAAAAUGAGAUGAUUUGGUCAUUCUGUCUACAAUGACCCAGACUGAAUCAUGCUGAUGACGAGUUCGAGGCAAACCCGUCACGAAGUCCAUAUUCACAACUUCUCACUUUCAAGUAGGAAUACUGAACUCCUACAUGGACCCACUAGGCUUCUGAUGCUCUAUCUUAACCUGUUGACAUAUAGAGCACUUAGCCAUAAACUCAAAAAUAUCUCUUUUUAUCCCACUUUACCAAUAGAUUUCUCACAAGUUGCGAUACAUCUUUGUGGCCCCUAGAUGAACAGAGUAGCGCAUACCAUGUGCUUCUGCAAGAAUUCACUGCCUUAAGUCGACUUUCUGAUCCUGAACUGACUCUUUCAACUUUAUAAGGCUGGGAUCUCUAUCUUGCUUUUCUUUUACCUCAGAAACUAGAGAUGAUUCUGAACUACUCUGAACUCAUAUAUCAUCCUCAUCUGUAUCGACUAAUCGAACGCCUAGUCUGGCAAGCUGCUGGACUUCCUGAGCAAACUUCUUCUUGCUAUCCUCAACAUGAGAAACACUACCCAUUGAUAGUCUACUUAGAGCAUCGGUCACUACAUUGGCCUUGCUCAGAUGAUAGAGGACACUCAUGUCAUAAUAUUUCAAGAGAUCUAACCACCUUCUCUAAUGAAGAUUGAGAUCUUUCUAAGAAAAGAUAUACUAAAGACUCUUAUGAUCUGUGAAGAUAUCUACAUAAAAUCCAUAAAGAUAAUACCUCCAAAUCUUCAAGACAAAGACUACGGCUUCUAACUCAAGAUCAUGAGUGGGAUAAUUCCUCUCAUGGGGCUUAAGCUGUUUGGAGGCGUAGGCUAUGACCUUACCAUGAUGCGUGAUUAUACAACCCAAACCUACUCUGGAUGCAUCAUAUACUAUGAAACCAUCUAGACCAUCUGGAAGAGUUAAUACUGGAGCUGAGGUGAGUCGAGUCUUCAACUCCUGAAAACUCUUCUUGUAAGGAUCUGACCACUAAAAAUUGACUUUCUUCUGUGUCAAUCUGGACAUAGGGGAUGAAAUAGAAGAAAAUUCCUCAAUAAACCGUCUGUAAUAGCCAUUCAAACCCAAGAAACUCCUAAUAUCUGAUGGAGAGAUAGGUCUGGGCUAGUUUCUUACUACUUCGGUCUUUUAAGGAUCAACUCUAAUGCCAUCACCGGAAAUAAUAUGACCAAGGAAUGCUACUGACCUUAGUCAAAAUUCGUACUUACUAAAUUUGGUGAAUAGCUGAUGAUCUCUGAGAGUCUGAAGUACUAUUCUGAGAUGGUCGGCAUGAUCACGCUCUCUGCGAGAAUAGAGUAGAAUAUCAUCUAUGAAGACUAUGACAAACAUGUCCAAGUACUGAUUGAACACAUGGUUUAUCAAGUCCAUGAAAAUGGAUGGGGCGUUGUAAGACCAAAUGACAUGACUAGAAAUUCAAAGUGGCCAUACCAAGUUCAGAAAGCUAUUUUUAGAAUGUCACAUUCCCUAACUCUAAGCUGAUAAUAGCCGGAUCUGAGAUCUAUAUUAGAGAAAUCACUGGCACCCUAAAGUUGGUCAAAUAAGUCAUCAAUUCUGGGAAAAGAAUACUGGUUCUUGACCGUGACCUUAUUAAGUUCACGGUAGUCUACACACAUCCUAAGAGAACUGUCUUUCUUGCAUACGAAUAACACUGGAGCACCCUACGAGGAAAUGUUAGGCCUGAUGAAUCCCUUAUCUAAGAGAUCCUUCAAUUGUUCUUUCAGUUCUUUGAGUUCUACUGGUGUCAUUCUAUAUGGCGAAAUAGACAUAGGCUGAUUAUCUGGAAGAAGAUCAAUACCGAAGUCUAUUUCCCUUUUGGGAGGAAUUCCUAGAAGAUCUUUAGGAAAGAUAUUUGAAUAUUCACCUACAACUAGAACUGAUUCAAGGCUGGGAGUUUUGGAAUUAGUGUCCUUGACUCAAACAAAAUGAUAGACACAUCCUUUAGAUAUUAUUUUCCUUGCCUGAAGGUAGAAAAUAAGCUGAGCCCCAAAAGCAAAUACACUACCCUUCCACUCAAGGACGAGUUUAUUUAGGAAAUGAAACUAGACUAUUCUAUUUUUGCAGUCGACGGCAUAGAAGGAAUAAAGCCAAUCCAUUUUGAGAAUGACGUCAAAAUCAGUCAUCUCUAAUUCUACUAAGUCUGCUAAAGUGACUUUCUAAAAUAUCAUAACUGGACAAUUCCUGUAUACCCACCGGGCUAUGAUGGUUUUACUCACUAGGGUAGAGACUGAAAAGGACUCUACUAAGAUUUUGGGACUGAUUCCAAAAUCGCCUGCUAUAUAGGAAGUAACAAAAGACAAAGAAGCUCCUAGAUCUAGCAAAGCGUAAACAUGCAUAUGAAAGAUCUGUAAUGUACCAGUAACUACAUCAGGAGAAUUUUCCUGAUCUUGUCUGGAUCGAAGAGCAUAGAGACGAUUUGGGCGUUGCCCACUAGUAGCACUGAAGGUGGUACCCUACUAAUUUGGGGGACCGAACUAAGCUGAGGAGCGAUUAUGUUAACCCUGAGGACCUGGAUAAGGACAGUCUCUAACUCUAUGUCCUGGCUUGCCACAUCUGAAACAAAUACCACUGCCAGCUCUAUAAAUACCCUGAUAGUGCUUGCCAUAAGUUUGGAAAAGAGGAUAGGUGCGGGCACUGCUAAUACUGCCCUGGGACUUAGAGCCUAGAACUCUAACUUUAUUACCCUCUAUGAACUUAGAAACUGAAUCACUGGUUGAAAAAAGAGCUGGAACUGAUGACUUAGGAUGAAACUGAGAACAAUUUUGUAAUACCCCGAUUAUUUCUUAAGCCUAAAUCUAUCUUUUGAGUGGAUAUGUAUGAACUCCAAAGUAAUUAAUGUUUAAACCAUAUUUUAUUUCUCUAAUUUCUACUUUUUUCGUGUAGAGCAUUGAAUAAGCUUUUCAUCGAUACAAAUUUCAUUGAAAUCUGACAUUGGACGAGGGAGUUAUGGCUGUUUUACUAAACAGUAUCAAAUUGCCCAGGUUUGACGAUCGACCUGAUGGACCAUUGGGUCCCUGGUGGAUCGUCACGUUCCCCGUCAAUCCAAGUCAGUGACUCUCUUUUUAGUCCAUCGUGUGACGGCCAAGUUGGUGGACCAUUAAAAAGUUAACGGACCAUCAAGGGGUCCGUCAGGUCGAGACAGAAUAUCUUAUUUCUGGCCCUCGAGUGACAGAAGACUUGGUUGUUUUAUAAUAUUCUCCCUCAAACUCCGAACCUCCCGAUAGAGAGAUAGAAUUUAGAAUUAAUCUUCUCCCUGAUACACAGCCUAUUUCUAUUUCUCUGUAUCAUAUGGCCCCCAUAGAACUUAAGAAGUUGGAAGAGAAACUCAAAGAUCUUCUUGAUAAUGGUUUUAUAAGGCCCAGUGUGUCUCCCUGGGGUGCACCUAUUCUAUUCAUGCAAAAUAAAGAUGGUUCAUUGUGCAUGUGCAUUGACUAUCGUCAGCUUAACAAGGUCACAGUCAAGAACAAGUACCUUUUUCCUAGAAUUGAUGACCUAUUUGAUCAGCUGCAAGGUGCCAGCUACUUCUCAAAAAUAGACUUGAGAUCCAGUUAUCACCAACUUAAAGUCAGAGAGUGUGAUAUUCCAAAGAUGGCUUUCCACACUCGUUAUGGUCAUUUUAAAUUCUUGGUCAUGUCCUUUGGGCUAACGAAUGCCCCGACAGCUUUUAUGGACCUCAUGAAUCGAGUGUUUAGACUGUACCUAGAUAUGUUCAUUAUUGUGUUUAUAGAUGAUAUCCUUGUAUAUUCCCAGAGUGAACACGCCCAUACAGAUCAUCAUCGAAUUGUCUUACAGACCCUUAAGGAGCAACAGUUGUUUGCCAAAUUUAGCAAGUGUGAAUUUUGGCUUUGGUUAGUUUCCUUUUUGGGUCAUAUUAUUUCUUCUGAUGGUAUUUGAGUUGAUCCUCAAAAGGUAAAAGCUGUGAAGAAUUAGCCUAGACCUAUUUCCCCAUCUGAUAUUCAAAGUUUCUUGGAUCUAGCUAGCUACUACCGUUGUUUUGUCAAAGGUUUCUCUUCCAUUUUUGUUCCUUUGACCCGAUUGACCCAAAAGAAGGUUAAAUUCCAGUGGUCAGAUUCUUAUGAGAAGAGUUUUCAGGAGUUGAAGACUCGAUUCACUUCAGCCCCUGUGAUGACCCUGCCUAAUGGUGUAGAUGAUUUUGUGGCAUAUUUUGAUGCUUCCAGAGUUGGUUUGGGUUGCGUGUUGAUGCAGAAGGGUAAGGUUAUAGCCUAUGCCUCCAGGCAGUUGAAACCUCAUGAAAAAAAUUAUUCAACCAUGACCUCGAGUUAGCUGUAGUGGUUUUUGCUUUGAAAAUAUGGAGACACUAUUUAUACGGUGUUCAUGUUGAUGUCUUUACGGAUCACAAGAGUUUACAGUAUGUGUUCACUCAUAGAGAUUUGAAUCUUCGGUAGAGGCAAUGGUUAGAAUUACUAAGGGACUAUGAUAUGAGUGUGUUGUAUCACCCGAGCAAGGCCAAUGUGGUGACAGAUGCCCUUAGCAGAUCGUACAUGAUAGUGUAGCACAUGUAGAGGAAGAUAAGAAGGAGUUAGCUCAUGAAGUUCACCGUUUAGCUAGGUUGGGUGUUAGAUUGCUUGACUCAGCUGAGGUUAAUAUUUGGAUUCAAAGUAGUUCCAAAUCUUUCCUAGUUUUGGAAGUGAAAGAGAAGCAGGAUAUGGAUUCUCAUUUGACUGAAUUGAAAGUGUUCGUCAAAUACCAAAAGGUGGAGGUUUUCUCCCAAGGGGGAGAUAGUGUAUUGAGAUUUUAGAAUAGAUUAUGUGUGCCCAAUGUUGAUAAUCUGGGGUAGAGAAUUAUGGCUGAGGCGCAUGGCGCGCAGUAUUCUAUUUAUCCCGGUGCUACCGAGAUGUACCACAAUUUGCGAGAAAUUUAUUGGUGGAAUGAUAUGAAAAAUGAUAUAGCGAAGUUCGUAGAAAAAUAUGCAACUUGCCAGCAGGUAAAGAUAGAGCACCAGAGACCCGGUGGUGUGAUGCAAUAAUUUAGCAUUCCAUCUUGGAAGUGGAAAGAGGUGAACAUGCAUUUUGUGACAGGUUUACCUCACUCUCGUGUCAUCAUAAUUCUAUUUGGGUCGUUGUACACAGGUUGACUAAGUUAACACAUUUUCUUCCAGUACAUAUAUCUUUCACCGCGGAGGACUAUGCUAAGCUGUAUAUUUGAGAGUUAGUCAGGUUGCAUGGAGUUUCGUUGUCUAUCAUCUCUGAUAGAAGUACUCAGUUUACUUUUCAGUUUUGGAGAGCCUUUCAGAAGGGUCUUGGCAUCCAAGUUUAUCUUAGCUCCGCUUUUCAUCCGCAGACAGAUGGUCAGGCUGAGAGGACUAUCCAAACUUUGGAGGAUAUGUUGAGGACAUGGGUUCUUGAUUUCAAAGGAAGUUGGGAUGAACAUUUGUCGUUGAUUGAAUUUGUUUACAAUAAUAGUUUUCAUGCUAGUAUUAGAAUGGCUCCGUUUGAAGCUUUGUAUGGGAGAAGAUGUAGAUCGCCCAUAGGUUGGUUCGAAGUGGAUGAAGCAACUGUGAUUGGACCUGAUGCUAUAGUUGAGGCUAUGGAGAAAGUUAAGUUAAUUUGGGAGAGGUUAAAAAUGGUCCAGAGUCAUCAAAAGUCGUAUGCAGCUGUGAGAAAAAGAGCUCUUGAGUUUGAAGUCGAUGAUUUGGUGUAUUUGAAAAUUUCACCCAUGAAAAGGGUGAAAAGAUUUGGAAGGAAUGGGAAGCUAAGUCCCAUAUAUGUUGGCCAUUAUAUAUUUUUGAAUCAUGUUAGGAAAGCAGCUUAUGAGAUUGAGUUUCCUGCAGAGUUGUCAGUUGUCCAUCAUGUGUUUCAUGUGUCUAUGCUCAAGAAGCACAUUGGAGACUCUGUUGUUGUUGAUCCUUCGGAAGGUUGUGAUGUUCAGGAUAGCCUUUUGUAUGAUGAAAUCCCAAUUGAUAUCCUAGAUUAUCAAGUCCGUAGACUGGGGAACAAGGAAGUUCCCUUAGUUAAAGUUUUGUGGCAAAAUCAAUCAGUCGAGGGUGCCACUUGGGAAGAAGAAGCAGAUAUGCGAUCCAGUUACCCUUAUCUUUUCUCUAUGAGUUCGAAUCAAGAUGAAGGUACUACUCUCUUAAUUCAGUUUCCUCCUAAUCUAAUUUAUUUAACUAUAUGGUUAUUCCCUCUAUGAUUCGUCCAUUUGGUGAAGUACUCAAAAUUUGAGAGUAUAGUGAGCCCUUUAAUGUGAGUCGUUCCAGCUGGGCAUCCUCAUUUUCUCUUGUUGUUAGCCUAUUUGGCAACAUUCAAGGACGAAUGUGUCCAAGGGGGAGAUAUUGUAAUACCCUGAUCAUUUCUUCAACCUAAAUUCUUCUUUUGAGUGGAUAAGUAUGACCUCUAAUGUGAUUGAUGUUUAAACCAUGUUGUAUUUCUCUAAUUUCUAAUUUUUGUUGUGUAGAUCAUUGAAUAAUCUUUCCAUCGAUACCAAUUUUAUUGAAAUCUGACAUCGAACGAGGGAGUUAUGGCCGUUUUACUAAACGGUAUCGGAUCGCCCAGGUUUGACGGUCGACCUGGAGGACCGUCGGAUCCCUGGUGGACCGUCAAGUGCCCCGUCAAGCCAAGGUAGUGACUCCUUUUUCAGGCUAUCGUGUGACGGCCAAGUUGGUGGACCGUCAAAAAGUUGAUGGACCGUCAAGGGGUCCGUUAGGUCGAGACAGAAUAUCUCAUUUCUAGCCCACGAGUGACGGUCGACUUGGUGGUCCGUCAGUUUCUUGAUGGAAUGUCACUUUGACCAUCAUGUCGAGGCAGAAUGUUCCAGUUUUGUCACUCGAGUGACGGACGAUCUGGUGGACCGUCAGGAGACUUGACGGACCGUCAGAUCGACCGUCACAGGCCCCGAUCAGCGAAUUUCAGCUUUUUCAAAAGGGAAUUUUGGUCAUUUCCUCCCCAUAUGGUCUUAUAUAUACAUCCUAGUAGAGAAUAUCCAUUCAUUUUCCUCCUUUCCUCUUCCAAGAAACAUCUAGAAAUUAGGGUUUCUUCCAAAACCCAACAAAAUUCAAUCUUCUUCCAAGAAAUUCAAGGAUCUUCCAUAGAUUUGUCCAUGUUGUUCAAGAAUUAAGUUCCCCAAUCAAGGGCAUCAAGAAUCUUGGUAUAAAAGUGUGAGAAAUAAGUUCCAAACAAGUUUCUACAUCUCCAAAAUUAUAAUCCAAGGUAUGUGGGGCUUGAACAAGAACACUCCUUUCGUUCUUGUGCCUAAAGAUUUACUUUCUAUUAUUGAUUUACAUGAUUUUGCAAGUGGGUUUACACCCAAAUUUCUUUAUUUAUGAUUUAUGAGAUUUGAGUUGAAUAAGUUUGAUAUUUAUGAUUAUUUCACCAUCUUGUUUCUUAAACUGAGAAUUUAUUCCAUGAGUUGUAUAUUGUCAUUAUGUAUUGAUGACUUCUAAGAGAUUUAAGACAAGUGUCAUGAGUUAUGCCUUUCCAUGAGAAAUUUGACUAUUGAGUAUAUAUCGAUAUUGAUCUUGAGAGGCAAGAAUGAUUUUUGUGAUGUUUCCUUAAAACUUUUGCUAUUUAAAAUGAUUUGAUAAGCAAAGGUACUUGAUGUUGAGAAAGAUUAUUUUGAUUUUGAGUCGAGUUAGGAAUCCACAGUUGUUCAUGACUUACAGAUGAGAUAUAUUUAUGUUUUGGUCUCUAUGAUAGAUCCAUGAGUUGGUAUUGAUUAAGGUGGAUUUCCUAACGCGUUCUAAGCUGAGUUUGGGAGAAGUAUUUAGCACCUAGCGAGAAUCUGGUAUUUUCCCAAAACUACGUGCCACCGUAGGAUUGAUGUUGAUAAUUGUGGGCCAGAGGCCGAGUAUGGGAUUGUGAUAAUGAGAUUGAGGUUGUACUCCCUGGAAAGAGUAUGACACCCCCGCCAAUGUAGGGUUCUCUUCUUAGGAGGGCUAAACGUUGGACUCCAUGCGGCUCACAUGGUGUAGUUAUGUCGGUGUUAAGAAACCCCCACGUCCAUAAUGAUCUAAGUACCAUGAGAUACCGAGUUACUCUAAGUCAUGAGUCAAAGAGUUUGAGUUGAGUUAAAUGAUUUAUGAGAUUUAUGAAGCAUAUGUUAUUAUUGAUAACUUACGGAAAUGAUGUUUUAGAUAAUUCAAGCAAAGAGAGUUAUUAUUGUCAGCAUGCAUGAUUUUCUUAUACAUUUAUGAUAUUAUUUAAAAUGCUGCAUCCACCCCCACAUACUCAGUACAUUCCCAAGUACUGACUCUCAUACUCUUUUGUAUUCUAUAUUACCUCACGAUAUAGGUUUAGGUCCUCAGUCUCAGCAGCGACAGUGAUCUUUGAGUACCUUUAUCUACAUCUCUGCGGUUGAUGAGUCCCCAUGGUUCAAGGACUUGUGUCUCCAGUUUUGUCUUGUUAAUAGAUGGUUAUUUACUUUCAGUUCAGUGCGAUUCAUUUGGGGAUCUAUCCCAAUGGCUCCUCAGUCCUAUGUAGUAGAGGCUUUGUCAGACUAGUGUGCCAGCAUGUACAAAGAUUUUAGUAUUUUAUUUGUACAGAACCGUAUUACUUCGUAUCUCAGUAUGUUCAUGUCAUGAUUACUCUUCCCUACUUUAUGAUGAUUUGUGUCUUAGAGAGUUUUGAAAGUGAUGAUAGGUAUAGAGGGUUAGCUUGAAGCCACGUGUGGCCUUAGCACCAUGUGAUGUCUUGGGAUAAGUUCUCGGGGCAUUACAUGUUUUCUCUUUCUGACUUAGGCAGAGCAAAGUUGAAACUACCUGUCUUGGCUCUCUUAUUCUACUUCUCCCUCAUCAUAAUCUUUUGCUCCUUAAUUUGUUGAGCAUGAGUCAUAAGCUUGGCUAAGGUCAUGUCACUAUUCAGCAUGGUGGAUCUGCACUCAUUAACCAUGCUAUUAUUCACCCCUAAAACAAACUUACUUAUCUUGGCUCUACUGUCUGCAACCACGUGAGGGGCAUAUCUGGCAAAUUGAGUAAACUUAAGAGAAUACUCUUUUACUUUCAUAUUGCCUUACCUGAGGUUGAUGAAUUCUAACACCUUAGCUUCCCUAAGAUCUAGAGGAAAGAAUCUAUCGAGGAAAGCAGACGCAAACUCCUUCCACUCAACCGACCCAACAUCAUCUGCCCUUUCUAACUUCCACUGCUUAAACCAAGUGUGAGCAACAAUCCUACAACUGAUACGCAGCUAGCUCACCACUCUCAACAGUAGUCAUCCCCAUGAUGUCUGUCACCUUCUUCACCUGAUCUAGGAAUUCUUGAGGGUCCUCAUCUUAGACCCGAGAAAGGCUGGAGGAUUCAUUUGGGUGAAAUACCAAAUCCUAGCUACAGCUGAAUUGGCCACUGGAUUGGCCGGAACGACAACUGGUCAUUCAUUCUGAGAAGCAACUGAGUUAGCAAGAGUAGUGAAUACAGCUCGGUACUCUGCAUGAGAAACAUGUUUGCCCAAAGGUUCUUCAGGCUGAAGGGCUGGCUAAUUCCUGUUUCUUUUUUUAGGAGGCAUGUUCUGUAGAAGAAAGAGAGAAACGGAUUAGACUGAGAGAUUGACUUGAGAUUAUGCUCACUGACAUGACAUGAAUACUGAAAGAGGGGAAACUAUUCCUAAAACAUCUUAUAGCCUUAUGUACAUAAAUAUGGUGCGCAACACACCCAUGUACAAGACACUACUAGAUGCGACUUUCAGACUUCCUAGGACACUAUUGAACCUUAGGCUCUGAUACAAGUUUGUAAUGCCCCAAUAUGACCCGAAAUGCUACAUGGUGCUCAUGACCCCGAAGGACCACAAGCUAACCCAUGACUGAAAUCUGUACCUGUAUACUGCAUAAAAUACUGAAUAAUAUAGAAACAUAAACUGAAAAUCCGUGAGGUUCAAAAAUGAACAUAAUAAGAAUAAUAUAACAUCUGUGUGGGGUAAUAGAAUACCCAAAAAAAUUGAAAAUACAAAAGUCUGAAACAUGAUAGUCUAGAAAGCCCCUAACUAACUAAACUGUCUGAGUAAGGAGCUAAUAGGACAUGUCCCUAACUAACUCCAACUAAUAAACUAAUUAAUGAGAUAAUAGGGAGUAAUCAUGUCCUCGAAUGAUGAGGACUCACUUUUAACUCUAUUUGCAGAUAUCUGGAAUCUACUAUUGCUCUGGAGCUCGUGUCUCCGAACCUAUGGUAUAAGACACCAUAGCGCAAAUGCAUCAGUACUUUGAAUGUACCGGUAUGCAUGUGAGGUAGGCUGAAUGCAUGGGGUUCAUAUGAAUGAACAACUUACACUAAUACUAUGAUAACAUGAUUACUGAAUCUGAUUAUAACUGAUAACAUGAGUGAUUGUAUCUGAUAGUCCUGAAUCUGAUGGAACUAUUUGAGUUUCGUACUAUAUCUGAGUUGACUGUAUCUGACAGUCCUGAAUUCUGAAGAACUAUCUGAGUCCUUUUACUGAGACUGAUACUGAGACUAAGAAUGAGGCUAUAAGAGGUAGUCAUCUAACCGAUAUGCCCCAAAUGAUGCAUUAUAGCUGAAUUGGGAUCUAAUCUAUGCCCUGAUUGGAAGGGUGUCAAUACCGCACCACUGGUAAGGACAACAUGUGAGUGACCCUAAUAUAAUAGGUAACUCUAGUGAGAAUGGUGGGAACCCUCAUAUAGCAGGCUAAGCCACCUCAUCUAUCCUUAUAUAGCAGGCUAUGAUGUCUCAACCUACGCUGGCUACAUAGUUCUGGAACGCAAUGAUUGCUUUUAAGAAUCACACCCUAAUAUAACAGGUGAGUUCCCAUCCUUGGGUUCACUCGGUGCUAAUUUCUACUCUCAUAUGAAUAGACAUUGAACAUGAUUCACUAAACUGAACAUGGACUGAGUUACUGAAUUCCGUUCACUGACGGAAUACUACUGAUAUAUGACAACUGACUGAGUUCAUGAGAUCAUGGAGAUUUUCUGAGUCAUAAAACUGUCUGAAGUCUAAGGAUUCAUAGCUUGAUUGAGAGCAUCGGGGAAACAUGACAUGAAUCAAGGCACACAACUAAUAGUUCGGGUACAAGUACCCCCAGGACUCGAUGGAAGGAAAACUGACCAAGCAUAACUUACUUGAACAUAUGACUAAUAUCAUAAUCCACAAUACAUUUAUAGAAGCAUUCCAUCAAAACAUGUGAUAGGCAUAACUUGUACAUACAUGGGGAUUUCAUGAAAUCAUACUAGUUGGGCAUUGUUCCUUCAUCUAGGCAUUUAAUCAAACACAUGGUAGGCGUAGCAUAUGUAGACAACUUAUACAACAAUUAAUCAUCAUGAUUCAUCUCUUAUUUCAUCCUCUAGGGUUUAUUCAUAGGUUGACAUAAAUAUACAUCUAUACAAAUCAAUUUCCACAUAAAAUUGAUCACCAAAUAUGAAUUUGAAUUCAAUUGAUCAUUCUCAACAUAAACAAAACAAACCCAACAUGAAAUUCAUAGACAAAUCCAUAAACUUAAACUUAGAAAAGAGAUUCUUGGGCUUCAUGGACAAAAGGAGUCCAUGAAUGAACACUAUGCAUAUCUUGGUUCAUGAUUUCGUGAAGAUUGACGGAGGAAAUUCUUGAUUCUAAAUCUUCAAUGAAAAGACCUAGGUUGUUCUUGAGAAGUUUUUGAGAGAAGAGAGUGUAUUUUGGGUGAAAAGUGCCUGAAUCACGUUUAAAGGACUUAAAUAGGGGUGGGAAGUUGACACUUUUAACACUGGACAAGUCAUUUAAUUUCAGUAAAUUUUUCCCGAACUAGGCCCCUGGCGCGACGCGGCGCUAUCACGUCGUUUCACUGGAUUUUGACAAUUGAGAAAUUGAGGGAUGGCACGACGCGGAGCCAUCGCAUUUCCCCUUCUUUUGCAACCUGGAACUUUGGCGCGACGCGGAGGAAAUCACGCUGAGACACUAGAAAAGGACAAUUAUGAAUUUGGGCCCUAGCGCGAUGCGCCAUAAUCGUGGACCCCUACUAGAAUUUUCCAAAUGCCAUUUCCUCUUAUGGCGCUGUGCGCCACUGACUAAUAUGGCGCUGUUUUACGAUGGGAACUUGAAAUAGUCAUAACUUCUGACCCAGUUAUCGGAUUUUGGCGAAUCUUAUAUCAAUGGAAAGCUUAUUGAAUUUUCCACAUAACAAAAAGUAAAAAUCUUGAAAAUUACUCAUGUAAUAACCAUCAUUCAAUUUAUAAUCUAAACUAGACAUUCUUGAGAUGAAAUUAGCUAGGAAAAAGUAUGGGGUAUCACACACAUAUAUAUAAAUAAAAUCAAUUUUCUUAAGGGGAAAGCCUCAAGACCAAAACAAUAAUAUCAUUAAAGAAUUCAUAAUGCACAAUUGUAAAAAUAAAUUCCAAAACCCUUUCAUAAAUUCAUGAUUUCUAACACUUAAACCUUAUUCAAAGUGUUCUCAACAAGCCCAUGUAGUUUAGGAAAAACUCCACCUACCUUAGAUCACUUAGGUGGAAGGGUAGAAUACGAAUCUCAAUUAAGUCCUUAGAAUUCUUGACUUUAAUGGCGAACUCUUGAUCUUAGGAGAAAGGACAAGGGUUUUGAGUUGAGAGAUUGUAAGUGGUUUCUGAUGUAUUUUUCCCCAAAAAUGAUUUAAUUUCGUGUUUGGGCGAAUUAGGGUGAAGGAAAAUGACCCAUUUUUCCUUAAAAACAUGGAGCUUGACUGCAGAAAAAUAUAUGGGCCGAACUAGCAAGGGCGCCGCAGGCUCUGGAUCGCCGCUCAGGGCUAGGUGCCACAGUCUCCAUUGCAGGCUCACCCAAGGGCCGGACUGGGAAGGGUGCCAUGGGCAUAUUGCCCCGAGCUGCUGUUUUGGAGUACCAAAGAUUCCCUUACGCUUGUUCGAAAAUUCUGAAACUCACUCGAGAUGUACUAUUGACUUUCCCAAUUAUGAAUCAACUUAAAAAUUAACUUUCCAAGGUCGGAAAGUUCAAAAAUAAAACCAUCAAAGAUUAGGAGCUCAAAAUGUGACUAAGUCCUUUUCUUAACACUUAGAAAGAAAAACAUCAUUCAAGUUGUCAGCUCAUUAAGCAUGCUACAAAGUGAUAUCAAGUCGAGAAAAUUUUAGGGCGUUACAUGAAUGUACCGAAUCUAUGUAUUCCAUCACCACUAUUAAGUAAAUGAAAUCAUAAGAAACAUAAACAUAUAUGUAUCAAUAUUCUACCAUAUCCCUUACAAGGAUAAAUAAUUUUUGAAUAUCCAACCAAUAUCAUAGCAUGAUCCUCGGGCCAAUAAUAUGUCCGGAUUAAUCACAACUUUAAGCUCACAACAUUUGGCCUAUAAUAAAAGACGAGCCCCACAAGGGAUAAAGUAAAGUGUGAGCCCCAUGAGGUCUAAAUUAAAUGACAAGCCCCACAAGGCCUAAAGUAAAAGAGAAGCGGGGAAGAGCAUACAUUCAUAACCCAUCAUUCGUCGUCAAGGACAAGUUAUCCGUAGAUAUAUGAAUGCAUAUACUAUGAAUAUUACAAUGCCUUAUCGUAUUCAUCAAGGUUAGUAGCAUAGCUUCUCAUGUAGUCAAUAAACAUCCUUUUAGAGCCCUUAGUAUCAUGAUUCACAAUAUUAGCAACAAGAGGGCUUUCUAUCCUAAUCACUAGUUUGAUUACUAGGCAAAGUAUAACAUUAGUAAUAUCAUAGUCCAAAGCCAAAAUAGUAGUCUAGUCAAUGAUUUAAAUGAUAACAUAAUCAUAGCAUUAACGAUAAAGUAGUUAACAACCAUAUACAUCACCUCAAAUACUAUCACCAUAACUUGUUUACCACGUUUAGCCAACAUGCUCCCAAGGCCAUUCUCUAAGCAUUUAACAAGCAUCCAAGGUCUUCAAUUGAACUAUAUAAAUGCAAGCUUAAGGUGGGUCAAGAUCCCAAUUUCUAAUCCUCAAUUUCCAUAAUUAGCCAAACUAUGCUCCAAACUAGGCUAAGAUAUCUAGUUCAACCUUUAAAUGUCAAGUAAGCCACAACCAAUCCUAAGAUAUGAACUUCACCUAAAAACAUGGCCAUUUAAAUCAACACGACCCAAAUUACGAUUUCAAGAUCACUAGAAUAAACCAACUAAGGUUAAGCAUACCAACCAUUAUUCUAACACAUAAAAUAUAUCCCAAACUUAGUGUAUUAGCUUAUCCAUGCUACAAAUUAGCUUAUCCUAGGAAAAAGGCAAUAGAGUUCUAAAAGAGCCAUAAACAUUCCACCUUACGAGUCCAAAACCAUCAUCUAAUUUUCCAAAUCUCAAUAAUCAAUAAUAAGUUAUUUUAUUCAUAAUCAAGCCUAACAUUCAUAUUCAUAUUCCAUACAUAACACACGUCAUCUUUGAAGAAAAGUAGGUAGAAGCCUACCUUAAAGCCAAAUCGUAAAACCAUACAUCAUUCAUAACAUAUCGUCUUCACUUCAUAAUCCCCAAAAUAUCAUCAUGUUAUCAAAAACAUAAUCUACUUAUCAAUAUGAGUCUAAUGAUACUCAUAUUGCACUAUUGUGCUUCAGGCCCAAAAACAAUACCAAAAUCCCGCGUGGGUCCCACUUACGAAAAACACAUUUCUGAGGCCAACCCAACACUUACACAUCAUCAAGGAAUCAUAACCCUUAAGAAAUGGGUGCAAACAAAGCUAAUUUUGGGAAAAAAAUAAAUCCUUAAGUGUAUUUGGGGUUUUGGAUCAAGAACUAAAAAAUUCAUCAAUAAAGUGAUGAAAUUUUACCUUAAUUUGGAUGAUAAUUGUGAUAAUAGAUAAUAAUCAAGCUUCUAAGUCAACCACACAACUCAAUUUUUAGUUAUCAUACCCAUUUAGGGUUUUAGGCUCUAAAAAAUGAACGAAAAGUGCCUAAAUUCACGACCUUGGGGUCUAUUUUUAGACCCUUCCAGCUAAGAGAUGCGGUAUCCCCUCACAGUAAAGUCAAAAACUUGUUUUUAACCUUGUGAACUCAUUCGUGACCCAAAUAACAUUAUCAAAUAGUGAAAUUUGAGUGUAAACCACCUUUCAAAUCCAUUGGAAUUAUCAAAACUUUCAUCCAAGAUCGUUUUGGGAAAAAGUGGGCCCCACGCCUAUAAUUCUAUUUUCAUAAAACUCAUUCAAUAACCCAAAAUAAGUUUGGGUGCCUUAGGACCUGAACCAAGGGACCCCUAGCCUAUAAUAGAUGUUCUGUACGUGAUGGAGAAGUCGAAUUUUCCAUCCAAUAUCAUUUUGAUCAAAUAUUGGUCCCACACCCAUAUUUUUUAUUUUUCACUUUCCGACCAAUAGGUCGAAAUGAGCUCGGGUGCAUUGGGAUCUAAUCCAAAGGUCUAACUAGCCUGAAAUUGAUAUUUCAGAUCUGCUGGCACAGUCAGAAUUUGCAUUUGAGAUCAUUUCACUGAAGUUUUCUCCAGGUGGCCAUUUGGAACCAGCGAAGGCUUUAAAAUAGAAAAUUAGUUCUAAAAUCCAAAUGAACUGCCCGAUAAUUGAAUCGUCGAUCCCAACAAGUCAUAAAUAACUUGUAGCAGCUAUGGACAAAAAUAAGCAAAAAUGUGAAAAAUGACCGGAAGGGUCAUUACAAUAUCUAUUACUAAAAGUACUUUCAUCCCCAGAAGGUAAUGGAUAGAAAGGAUUUCAAAAGCUCGAAAGGAUAAGGUAAUGGGCCCACAUGCUCCGAGCAUGACUUUUAUAACCUCAAUAAAAUGAAAAUGCUUCUAAGGAAUUUUGCCACACGUAUUCCUUUUUCAACCAGCACUCCCAUUUCACUUCCAAACAGUCAAAACUUGACUUCAACCACUAUCUGGCCUCCAACUUAACCAAAUAGAAUGAUGCAAACAAACUGAACCACAACAUACUGAUACCAUCUCGAUACAAGCAAAAUCCAACCAAGGAUUAUCCAAGCUAAAAAUAAUCCCAAGACAUGAGUCAUACCACAAACUCCAAAUCCAAAUAUAACCUUUCUUUACCAUCUUACACUUGCUAUCCUAUCCAAACCAGGAGGAAAAUCACCUGAGUCUCGCCUGUGCAAUCUCAUCAUAGAGAACUCAAAUAACUGAAACUAAUCUGCUGAAAGUCUAUAUAACAACCAUGAGACUAAGAUCAUAAGGCGCUAUCUGGGCACACAAAUGGAUAUAAUCAAGGAAUGUAAUCUAUGCCAAUACUGCAACCAGUCCAGAUGAAAAUCAAACUAAAAUCUCAAAGGAUCAAGGCAUACCACUCAUCACUGAACACUCUGCUCCAGGAUAUCUCAUCCAUCGAGAAUGAAGCCCUACUGAAUCCAACUCGAGUAUAUUAUCUCACUAAGUAUUUCAUCAUCAAAAUUUUCAAAGAAAAUUGAAACUCGAGGUCACGGCUAAAAGAACCAAUACCGGGUAUGUGGGUUAUCAUCCGAACACUUAUCAACUAUUAUUCAUCUGAAGUCGAGAAACCCCAAUAGGCAACCACAGAGUAGUCUCAACCAACCUAUAAAUAAAAUCUGAACUGAGACAAGUCCCAAACGAAAGUUCUACAUCACCAAGCUAAACUCCUAAUACCGAGGCUGAAUCGCUCGAUUUCAACUAUCUAAACCAAAUCUGGAUACGGGUAGGCAUUCAUAUUCCAAAUUUAUCACAACUUCCAAAUCGUCAUUCCAAGGUACCAAGCCAAAAUUUAACCAAUAAGCCUAUAUCAUUACCAACCAUUCGAAUCGACUUUAGUAUCCAAAUCUGACAUAUCCAAGAUAAUCAUACCAAGUCAUAGACGAGAUAUAUCUGAAGAACAAAAAUCUCUAUUGGAUAACCGUCAAUAAAAAUGCAAGAAACCAACUCUAUAUCAGCUAGAGAGUACGAGAUAUAGCCACAAAAUAGAAAUCAUGCAAAAGGAUGAAUCACUAGCUGAAAAUGCAAAUAACCCACUUCAUAACUAUCAAUAUAUACUCAAAAACUCUCCAAGGGUGCAAACCACACUAGUAAUGGCAAAACUUUAGCAACUCAGAGAAAUGCAACUUUAGCCGACCACUAAUCAAUCUAAUACUUCAUCUUGGCAAGAGUACACAUAGGCACAUAUCAUUAAGGAAAAAUAAUCCACCAAGCCUCAUUAGGUCGUACAAAAUCUGAAAUAGGGAUUUCCUAAAUCUACACAAUAAUCACAUCAUUGAAGAAGAAAUAUACCAAUCUUGAAACCAAGGUCAAAGUCAAAACCACCACAAAAAAAAUCAACAACUCGAGAUAAAGAACUUUCAAUUUACCAACUCAAGAAGCGAUCACAGGAAAGGCCACCUACUUCUAACUCUUUAACUCUGCUAGAGAAAAUCAUAUCAUAGCAAGAAAGGAGUAUCCAAUCUCCAUACUAAUAACAAGGGGAAACCAUCAUAAGGGAAUGAACCUAAUAAAUCCAUGAUAUGAAUUCACUACAUCUCAACAUUACUAUCAAAAUCCCUAUCGGACAAUGAAAUAGCCAUAAAUGACAAACAAAACUCAAAAUGGUCAAUCUUACAAACGGGUUAUAUCAGAAGGGAUAGCCAAAAGAAAAACCUACACAACCCAGGAGGUAAGUCUAAGAAUCCCAAACUCCAGAAUGAACAAUAUGGCUAAAUUAAAAACUUAAGAACUAGACAGAACCACGGAAGGUCCACUUGCCUUCAAUAUCGCAAUACAUCCCUAAAUAAAUCUAACACAGCUAAUCAAGAGGGAGCACGGUCAACCUUACCUCUCCAGGGAAAAGAAAUCAUCAAAUCGGGUUAUAUCUACUCAAGACAAUAAAUAGAAAUCUCAAGAAAAUGAAAGUUCAACUAGAUAACACUAGACUAUACAGCUACCCAGCGAGAAUAAAUUAUAUCAAACAAUAAUAUCAAUAACCUCAAGUAGUGGUAGCAAUACCAAUAACAAUAGUAAUAGCAAUAGCAAUAUAAUGAAUAGGUGGUACCAAAAUAAACUUCAAUAUCAUGUACCAGUCAAGGGCUACAAUAAGGCCAAUAUGCCAAGGUAAAUGGGUCUUAAACCCAAAAGCUACACCUAUAGAAAAAAGAUAUCAACACAGAUCUACUCCAUCUACUAAUAAAAGAAAUAAACCACUAGAGUAGUCAUAUAAUCCUGAAUUCAAUAACAAGGAAAAUAAUAUCCAAUUUGAACUUAUCAAGGCAUAUAAUCAUCAAUGGGUAUGAAAAACCCCAAUACACAUAAUAAAAGCCAAAAGCGGGAAACAAAAGCACACCAAUCGUGGUGAUAUCCGUAAUCACACGCCUAACAAACAUAGGAAAAAUAAAUCUGAAUAGGUCCAACUUGGACUGACCAACUAAAUCAUCAACUAAGGCGCUAAGCGCACUAUUUCUAAUUGUAGGUGCCACAACAUCACAAAGUUAAUCUAAAUAAGCUGAAUGACUAGAAAUCCCAUAUCGGGGAUAAUUACUAGACUGAUAGUCGAUAUCCUAUAGUCGUAAAAACUCCCAAAGCAUCAAUAUGGCGGGGACAUAAACUGAGCACAAAUGGCCGGCCAAAUGACAUUAAGCGAAAUCUCUCGAAUACUUUGAGAUACUGCCUCUCACUAUCCAAAAUGGCCGCUAUGUCCCGAAGACUCAUAUCGAAAAUCUCUGCAAGGUCUAAUAGGAAUUCUGCCCACUAAGAUCAUCACAACUAAUCUGAGAACCACCCAUAGUCUGAAAUCUAUCUGCAUAGAGCCGAUACGCUACAAGUAAAGAGCUAUAUCAAAAGGAUCCUCACUCCCGAAUAAAAUACCAAUAGCACUAAAUAGAUGGCAUGUAUCUUUUUGCCAUUUCCAUAAGUCUCAAUUCAUGCUCUCUGUGGUCCUCUCAUAAUAAAAAACUUGAGGGAGGAAAGACUUAGCUACUAUCAAGUGCUCCAAUGCCAAAUGGAGUGGCAAUUCAAAACCUUAAAUAAUUCAUACACCAAUGUCCUACUCAAAAGGAUAUCGCAUAGGAAUAAGUCUAGCCUACUCGAGAAAUCCAAUCUCGUACUCAGAACUGAUAAAGAACCCCGAUGAACACCAAUAGACCCAAUUUGGGUCUGAGAACUGCUUGAUAAGUCGAAUGUCAUCUAUGGCUGAGAGGGAACCACAUCAUGACUCAGAUUUCCAAUGUUGAACCUCAAAGGAUAAAGUAGUCACGAGAUCAACUGAAGCCUAAAUUGGCCCUAAAUCCUUUAGCUAACGCUAAAGAACUUUGACAUCCAUCUUUGACUCUCUAGUUCGAUGCUGCGCUAAAACUCUAGAAAUGCAUGCUCCAGUCUCGUCCGUACCAGUCCACAUCAUUGCGAAUCUUGCAUCAUUUAUUAAGGACAAAAUAGAGUAAAAGGAUAUGUUUGAAGUUAAUAGCAAUGCAGACACACGAUAAGAAGUCACAAAGCGAAUUUCCUAAAAUAUCCCUCUAGCCUCCCGAAGAUAGGUUACAGACGUCUUCACACCAAUCCGCAUGACUGUACUAACAUUUAGCUCUUAUACUAAUACACCGGUGAAACCUAGGCUCUGAUACCAAUUUAUUACAACCCAAUUUUUAGGUUAUGAUGGCGCCUACUAUAACCCACCUUAGGCAAGCCAAAAUCGUAGUCUGGAACGGCUAGUAACGGACUACCAAAUAGAAUAAGGAAAGAAUGCAGAAUAAAUAUAACAAAAGUUCAAAUACAUGAAUAAAUAUCAAAACCUAGUGGUAUUAGUACAAAAGCUUCUAAUAUAAUAUUAGUACAAAAGUAGAAUAGAUGAAAUAAAUUGCACUGAUAUAGCUUAUCUCCAAAUAUAAUAUAGAGACUAGUCUAUACAUAAGAGGGAGGAAAGUAAUACUCCGCACGUCGAGAGCUCACUCCGAAUCUCUUACCCAUGGUGGCUCCGUACGAUGCACACAUCAGCAGCGAUAACCAUAUUAUAAUCUACAGGCUGCAAAAGUGUAGCAUGGGUACCAAAUGAAUGGUACUCAGUAGACAACAGACAACUGAGGUCCAAAGAUAAAGCAGAUAUAUAAAACAUACAGAUAGAAUAAAAACUACACCCAAGAGUCCAGAAAUUAUAUAACAAGCCAAUGAGAUAAUAAGGAACAACUAUCAUGUUCAUAUCCAAUAGACCAACAUAAUAAGGCUAAGUAAAUAAUAAGGGUGAACCAUCUUAUUCCAGCCAUACUUAGGAGUGUUAACACUGUAUUGUAUAUCUUUGGUCAAUAUAUGAAUAAAGAGCAGAAGAAGGAUAUAUAAUAAUAUACAAGACCAAGGAACGAGUAUACAAUUUGAACAAAUGAAGAAAGGGAUAUAUGGUAAUACCAUAGCUACAUAUAGCUCUCUCUCUCUAUAUAUAUAUAUAUAUAUAUGUAUAUAUAUAUAUAUUGAGAGAGAGAGGGAGAUAUAAGGUCAUCUCAAAGAACAACCUAGAUCAUCAUAUCUUCAUUUUAAGGCCUCUUUAUAAUCCUAUUAGGAAUUAAUACUAUCAUUCUCAGGGUUUUCUAAUUUACAUGGCUAGACAUGAAAUAAUCAUGUAUAAUAAUGAAAUCGUAGGAUAGAAGAGCCGAAAACAUACCUCAAAUAUCGAUACAGAAUCAAUAACCAGUCUGUCAUAAACUAUCCAUCAUAAUGAUCAUAAUAAUGAUAAUAACAAUAUCAAUAACAACACAAGUAAUCGGUAUUUUGAACAAUCAAAUAACUAACCGAGCCUAUGCGUUCCCCCCAUCGCCCCAGGCUCGAAAGUCUUAGUCAUCACACAACAAUGCAAGGCAUAGUCAUCACCCAUAUCUAUACAGUCAUCCCAUACCAGCUGAUAGACAUAAGCGCAUACUGGUAAUAGGCGAUGCACAUGCAAGAAUGAAUGCAAGGUACAAAUAGCAACAUCACAACCAUCCUCCGGACUCGAACCGAUUAUAUAUAUCAUUAUCAAAACAUCCUCUGUCCUUGUCAGGUAUUCAUAUCAUUAUCACAGUAUCCUCCGACCUUAUCGAGUAUCAAUAUCAUUAUAACAGUAUCCUUCAACCUUUUCGGGUAUCAAUAUCAUCAUAAAAAUAUCCUCCGACCUUACCAGGUAUCAAUAUCAUCAUCACAAUACCCUCCAACCUUAUCGGGUAUGAGUAUCAUCAUAACAGGAUCCUCUGACCGUGCCGGAUAUCAAUAUUAUCAUAAUAGUAUCCACCGGCCUUGUCGGGUAUCAAUAUCAUCAUAACAACAUCCUAUGCCCUUCCCAGGUAUCAAUAUCAUCAUAACCAUACAUACAUGUGUAUAGAUAUAUAAAUAGGUGCACAGGCUCUAGCCGUGACUAAAAGAGUAUAAAUCCUUAAGUUUGUUGCCCGGAAUGAUCUUCGAGACUAAAUCAUUGUAAAAAUAUAGAAAGGGUCGAAAUAUUCCAUGACCGGAGUAAAUAAUAGUGUCAAGUCAUGGAUCAAAAUUUGUCUCAAUUAAAUCUUUAAACAAUAUUUUUAACCUCUUUUAUACGUAUAAAUAUUUUAUUUGGAAGGCAAUUAUUAUAGUAAAGAAAUUCAUUGUUACGGUGAAAAGUGGGUUUUAACCCUUAUUUAGGAACAACAUUGUUAAGGUCAUAUUUCAGUUAGGAUCACAUCAAUAUCGAUCUAAUAAUCAUGAAUGCACCAAAUCUAUACAUGCCAUCACAAAUAUUCAGUAAAUGAAUGUACCGAAUCUAUCAAUGUUGAUGAAUAUUUUAUAAAGAUGAUCGCUAGGUCACCAUUAUUACUACUUGUUAUGUAGUUGUUUGCUACUAGCUUUAGUUUCUUUUUGUUGUCACCAUAAUUAGCCAAGUACUAAUAACGGUGAACGAGUGAUCACCUUUAUAAAAUAUUCAUCAACAUCCAUAGCUAGAGAAAGAAGUUUUGACUAACUUUAUGCCAACAAUUACAGUAAGACAAAGAUACAAUUGUACUUCAAAAUGAUUAAAUGUAAAGAACACAUAAAUUUAACCAUGAGUACUCGUGUUAAUUGAUGUUGUUAGGAGCGUGUAUAUGUUCAUCAAUAAUUAUAGGCAAAUAUUAGGAAUCAUUUAAUGUUAAAUAAAUUUGGGCACAUUUAAGAUAUGUUGCUCAUUUUUGCAGUUACUAUCGUCGAUUAAACAUUAAUUACUUAAAAGGUCAUAUGUGAGGUUACACUCUUUGAUUACCAAUAAUUAAUUGUACUUUAGCCAUUACACUCUUUAAUUCCCAAUAAUUAAUUGUACUUUAGUCAUAUGUUUUGUUAUGAUCCUAGUUAAAUACUCCUUCCGUCCCAAAUUUCAUAAUUUGAUUUCUCAUUUUACUUGUCUUUUUUCACUUAUUACGAAGAGAUAAUUUUUUUUCCAUGUUUUACCCUUUGCAUUAAUUACUUUUUUCUUAAAAUAUAAAUAUCAUUUAAUAGGGAUACUAUGAUAAACUAGCCAUAUUCAAUCAAACUAAAUUAUAGAAAUUAAGAUAGAAGGAGCAGCUGACUAAGCACAAACAACUUAGAUCUCUGAAAAAACAUUCUAAUCUCACGUAGGUUCCACAUGCCCCCACUAUCUUUUCUCUUUGAAAUUCGCUAUCUCGAUUCGUACUCAAUUUCACAAUUGAUAUUUUCAAAGCUCUCAAAACUUUUUCCAUAAAUACUUCAUUCUCAUCUUUCCUCAAAUUCCGUUUUCAUUUUCGAACACAAGUACUCAUGAUUAAAUAUGUUUAUGUUUUUUAUAUUUAAUCAUUUUGAAGAACAAUUAUACCUUAUCUUACCGUGUUUGUUGACAUGGAGUUAGUUAAGGCUUCUUUCUCUAGCUACAGAUGUUGAUAAAUAUUUUGUACAGGUGAUCACUAGUUCACCGUUAAUAGUACUUUCUAUUUAGUUAUUUGUUGCUAGGUUUAGUUUGUUGUUAUUAUCACUAUAGUUAGCUUAUCAUUUGUUCUUGUUAUUUUUAUCCUUCUUUUUGUCUCUACUUGUGUUUCUCUGUUUUUCUCUUAGUUGUCUUUUUUAACUUUCUUGGGAUUUGUACAACAAUAGACAAUUUUAUCUUGAUUUUGGAUCUAUAAUAUAUUAAAAUUGUAAAGAUCCUUAGAAAAAUAAUUUGAAUUUUUUGUCUUUUGUUAAAAGACUCUCAUUUAAAUAUAAUUGUCUUUUCACUAUUUAUUUAAUUUAUUAUUUGAUUAUUUUUAUUAUAUUAAUUAGACUUCCUAAAAUAUAUGGGACUCCUAAAAUAUAUGGAAGAAGAAUUAAUUAAUAUUUUUCUUUUUACUAGACUUUCAAAAAUAUAUGGGACUCCAAAAAUAUAUGAUAGAAGAAUUAAUUAAUAUUUUUGUUUCUACAAUUCAACUAGAAAAUAUUCUUUAAAUAGGACUCUAUUAAUUAAGGAAAUACUUCUACAAAUAUUAAGAUGUAUGUUAAAUUAGAGAACAAACCGGUUUACCUAUUGGGAGAAUAUGAUUGAUGUUCAUCUAACUUGAUUCGAUUGCAUGUCUAGAUUGGUGAAUGCUUGAUUUUCUAACUCCCAACCUAUUUUUGUCAACAUAAUAUAAUUCAACUUGUGUGUAUAUAUACAUUUUCUUUGUUUUCAUUCAAAAUCAUUCUUUAGAGUCAAAAUUUUCGAUCAGACAAGAAUUAGUUGAAUCAAAAUCGAAGCUUUGUGAUUACUACUGCAUUAUUUUUUUUAUAGUUUACAAGUCGUAGAUGAAUGUCGGUUGACUCUGAAGAAUUUCUCGUGCAAAGGUUAGGUUUAAUUAUUUUGUUUUGGUAUCUUUAUUAUCUUAUUAUUUUAUUUUAUUUACGGAUGCUAGAUGAAUGUGGGUUGACUUUAAAAUUUUUUCUAGAUAAAGGUUAAGUUUAAUUGUAUUAUCGUAAUAUCUCUAUUAAUUUGUUAUUUUGUGGUAGUUUACAGUUCGUAGAUAAUUUCAAUCGGCUUUAAGAAAUUUUUGUGUAUAAAAUGUUAGUUUAAUUGUAUUAUUUUUAUAUCAAUUUUAUCGUAUUAUUUUGUUGCAGUUUACAGGUGAUAAAUAAAUGUUGGUCGGCUUUGAGAAAUUUUUUUUAUGUAAAGGUUAGAUUUGGUUGUAUUAUUUUGAUAUCUCUAUUAUCGUUCUAUUAUCGUAUUAUUUUGUUAUUGUUUACAGGUGAUAGAUGAGUAUCGGACGACUUUGAAAAUUUUUUUGUGUGUAAAGAUUAGAUUUAAUUGUAUUAUUUUGAUGUCUUUAUCAUUAUAUUAUUUUGUUGCAAUUUACAGAUGGUAGAUGGAUGUCGAUCUACUUUUAAAAAUAUUUUUAGUAAAGGUUAGGUUUAAUGAGCAAAUUCUCCAUCUUUACAUACUCAAAAGAUAUUAAAUUUAAUUAUUAUAUUCAUCUUUAUUAUUUAGAUAAAUAUUUUAUUUAGUGUAAUAUUUGAACUCAUUAAAGUGAGGUACACGCGCAAGACGCGUACACCUAAACUAGUAUUACUAAAUGCUUAAAUAAAGGAAGUACUUUAGGCUACGAAUAGUAGUUAUUGAAACAAUAGUUACCCUUGAUAAAUAACUUACUAAAAAGCAAAAUAGUUUGAUAGAUCCUUAUAUUUAUCUGAAUUUAUAAAGUGAAUGUUUCCACUUAGACUUUUGUCAUAUAAACGCUUAAACUCAUCAAAACUCAAUAUUUUUACCCCCUCUGACCGUUAAUCGAGUUUAUGUGAUACAAAAUCAGAUGAGUUAGAUGAAACGCUUGAUUGCACAUGCAUGGUGCACGUGAAGAUAUUUUUUUGAUCAAUUUUAUAUUAAAAUAAUUAAAAAAUAUAUCCCCACCCCACUGCAGACCCAAAGCUGCCAUGGCCAACACCAUUAGAGCCCACCACCGCCGCCAUUAGAGCCCACCACCACCACAGCAGCCCAAGGCUGCCAUCACCAUUGCCCAAAAAAAAAAAAACUCCCCCUUCUCAUUUGUAAAAAUGUUAGUAGCACAUUUAUUGGAAUCAAUUCAAGAAAAGAACAAGUUAAAAACAAAUUCAUUUUUGUCUCUCAUUUGAUUUCGUAGCCGCACCAAAACCCGGACUAAUCCAAAUUAAUGCUAACAAGGGUAAAUGUGAUGUGGCAAAGUGGGUCGGCACUAUUUUGCGAUAAUUAGCAAAUUCUUAGGCAAUGAAGCAUUCCAUAGUUCCAGAUAUGGCAUUCACGUACGUCCUUGUUCAAUUUUUUAACUUUUGAGCUACGAAUGGUUGUUGACCUUUUUAUAUAUGAUUCUUGACCCAAUAUCAGAUAUUCAGACAGAGUAAAAUUUUGGAAAAGGAGAACCACGCCCCCCAUCCCCCGCGUUUCCCCACCCCCCAGCUCACUUUUUAAAUUUAUUUUUUUAAAAUUCACUUUCUCAAUUUAAAAUUUUCAUAUAAUUUUCGGACUAAUUUUACAACUUUUAUAAAUAAACAACUUUUUAGGAAUUGUUAAAGAUAUUUGAAUUUAAAAAUUGAAAAUUCAUUAUAUUUGUGUACGUGUAUUUAUAGUUAAAAUUUUAAUAUUUAAUUUUUUAUGUGGCAUUUAAAAAAAGUUGUUGAUUUAAUUAAUUUUUUUAAUAUUUAAUUUCUUAUGUGACAUUUUAAAAAUGAUGUAAAAUUUAAUGCAACAUUUAAAAAUAACAUGGAAGCUGACGUGACAGUAAUUGUGUUACACACUGAAAUAGUGUUUAAAAUGUUGAGUUUUACUGAGUUCAGGGGUUCAGAUGACAAAAGUUUACGUAGAGACGUCCAUUUUACAAACUCAAACAAGUACAAAGGUCCACCGAGCUAUUUUGCCCUUAGUAAAAUAUAAUACUAAUUCAUAAAAUUUUCACAAUUACAAAAGUGUAAUAGAUCCAUGAUACAAAUAUAAAAGUUAAACUUUAACUUAGACUUUGAAUCUAUUUAUUCAUAACAGUAAAGCAGACUGUUAUGUACAACACUUUCGAUUUAAAAAAAAAAAUUAUUAUUUACAAAGACUCAAACUCGAUAUUUUUCAUUAUAGUGAAAGAAUUCAAUCUAUAUUAUCCCACCCGGCCAUCACAAUCCAUAUAAGUAUAUUCUACAUUCAAGUUAUUGUUCUUAACCAAUGAAAAAAAAAUCGAAGAGUACAAAUUAAGCCUGUUAAAUGGGCCGGUUUGACCCAGUCCGACUUGGCCCACCGAAAUGGCCCGGAUCGGUAUGACCCGGCCCGAUCAGCCCACGGGCUGUAGGGUUUCAGGCUUGGUUAUUUUUUUUGGGGCCUGGUUAAUUCGGCCUGGACCAAACCCGAUCCAGGCCCGCCGGUUAACCGACCCGGUAACUUUAAAAAAAAAUUAAAAAAAUAAUUUUUGACCGUUCGGGCCAUUAUAGCCGUUGGGCCCAACGGCUAUAUGAUCGUUUGGGCCCCAAAAACGGCUAUAUGCCCUUUUUAAUAGAAAAGAAAUUAAUUUUUUUUAAACCCAAAAAAAAUCGUAUAAAUACCCUACACUUUCAAAGCAUUUUCCACACAAUUUUCAUUCUCUCAAAUCUUAUUCUCUCUCAAAUCUCAAUUCUCAAAAUUCAAAUAUUCUAUAUAUUUCCUAAAGUGCUCAAUUUAAUUUUUUAAUUUUGCGAUUACAAAGUACGAGUGAAAGUUUCUAAAGUCGCAACCUUCGUAUACUUCCAAAAUUUGAUAUUUUCGUUCUAUCUCUUACUUUUAAUUUUUAACUAGUGUAUUAAUUGUUGAAUAUUUAAUUUUAUUAUAUUUGUGUAUUUUGAGUUUUUUUAAUUUGAUUUAUAUUAUGGAUAAAUUAAGAAACCUCGCCACAAAAAGUGUAAAAAAAUUCUGUUCCGGAAGUGGUAGUGGUAGUAAAAAGCGAAUUAUUGACGGUAGAGGUAGUUCAAGUAGUAAAUAUACCCGUGUGUCUUCGCCUCCGGUACCGCUUAGUCAACCUUUUGAGGAAGAAGUAGGUGUAGGUGCUCACGAUAUGGAUUAUGUAGAAGCUCAGAAAAAUUACGUAUAGAAGAAGAAAAUGAAGUAGAUGCGGUUGAUUUAGAUGAAGAUGAUGAAAAUAUUAGUGAGAUACCCGCAGUAGGAAAUGCUAAUAUUAGAUCUGAAUCGGUUAAUUGCCCUUCCUGUCCUCUCCAUCCACCAAGAGCUCGUAAAACAACUAGUAUUGCAUAACAAUUUUUUACUCAUAUAUUAGAUAUUGAGGUGCAAUGCAAUAUUUGUCAACAAAAAUAUAAGCAUAAAAGAAGAGGCAAGCAAGGGGGUACGGGUACAUUAAUGAGACAUAUACGUGAUAAUUACGAAAGAGAGUUAUUUAUUGCAAAAGGUGGUUAGGAUGUUGGUGGGCCAACACAAAUUAGAAUGGAUCCAGGAACCGGCAGGUAAUUAAAAAGUAUAAUAAAUUGAGGGAUCGAGAAGAAAUAACAAAAAUGGUAGUUAUGGGUUGUUUUCCUUUCAGUUUUCCUUCUCUAACGUUUUUAUUUAUUAUAUUCAAGAAAUUUAUAAUCCUAUGUUUAAUGGUAUUCCUAGAAGUACAUAUCGGGCCGAUAUUUUUAGACUUCAUUCACAAUAUUAUUUUUAUUUAUCUAAAUUAUUAAAAAAUAUUCAAUGUAGAAUGACUUUAACUUCUGAUCUUGGUCGUGCUGUUAAUAAAAAUGAUUAUUUAACCAUUACUUGCCACUAGAUAGAUAGUAAUUUUAUUAUGCAAAAACGAAUUCUAGCUUUUUUGUAUGAUGAAGAUCGUAAACAUACUGAAGAUUUUAUUGCUGAUUUGAUUGGUAAAGUUGCAGAAUUUUAUGGUAUUGAAAAUAAAAUCUUAUGUAUUGCUUUUGAUAAUGCUUCUAACAACAAGGCUGCUAUUACAAAGUUAAAAGCUAAGCUAUCUCCGUUGUUACCUGAAAUAUUUUAUGUUAAGUGUGCUUGUCAUAUAUAUAAUUUAAUUGUAACAGAUGGUCUUGAGUUUUUUGAGCUUUCUAUUGAAAAAAUCCAUCUUGCUGUUGGUUUUAUUUAAGGAAAUAAUUGAAGAAAAAAAAUUAGAGAAUUUAAAGUUAAAUGUGAAGAAAAUUGACUUGCACCGAUAUUGAUGCCUGAAGAAUGUGAUACUAGAUGAAAUGCUACAUAUAAUUUUUUUAAAAUUUGUCAUAAAUAUAGAGUUCCUAUUACACUAACUUUUAACCAACAUUGUGGUUCAUUUGCUCAUUCGACUGAAUGUAUGCUACAUGAUUCUGAUUGGGCUAUAAUUGAUGAUCUUGUUAAGUUUUUGAAAAAAAUUUAUAUAGAUACGGUUGAGUUUUUUGGUGCUUAUUAUCCUACUGUUUGAAAUAUUUUAACAUAUAUAAUCGAUACUUUUUGUUUGCUCAAAGAAUAUAAGAAUAAAGAAAGUUACAAAGAAACUGUUGGUGCUAUGUUUGCUAAAUUUAAAAAAUAUUUUUUUUCGAUUCCUCCUAUUUACUUGGUUGGUACUAUGCUAAAUUAGUGUAUGAAAUAUACUACUAUAUGCCACUUUAGUACUCUUAUUUAUUUUAACUUAGAGAUAAAUACUAAUAAUGAUUCUGAUGAUGAAGAACAAAAACAACCAGAUUUGUGGACGACUAUGGGUGAUGCGAACGCUUACAUAGAUAGAUUAUAUAACCAUUAUGCUGAUUUACUUGAUUUAGCUGUACCGACAAAUAUCACUCCAACUAUCGAUCCUCAUCCUUCCGAGGAGCCAUCAUCUUCUAAAAGGCUGACACAUAGUGAUUUUCCAGAUUACUUUUAUGAUUGAAAUUGUUGAAACAAUGUUGAGGCGGGAACUUACACAAUAACUUAUCGGGAAGAGUUUAAGUAUUAUCUUCGAACGCCGCUAGAGGAUCGCAGACGAUGGAUUAACUCGUUGGAUUGGUGGAAGAAUAAUGAAAUACAAUAUCCUGUGCUUUCAAGAUUAGCUAGAGAUAUAUUGAAUGUUUCAAUGUCAACCGUUGCAUCGGACAACGCUUUUAGUUAGAGACGACAACAACUUGGAGACAACCGACACUCAUUGGGAAGCAAUGCUAUAAAUGUUAUAGUUUGCGUUAGAGAUUGGAUUAGAGUGGAACAGAGAAAUCAAAGAAUGGAGGUGGAGCCGAACGACGAACAGAAACUUGAAGAAAUUAUGACUUCAAGGGAGAACUCAGCAGAAUCAAGUCCAAUUCAUGAUUUUAUUCCCAUUGACUUUGACUAUCCUAUGUAAUUUUCCAUUAAUAUUAACAUGGAUGAGUUGGAAAAAAGGAUGAAAACUUUGUAGAUUUUUCAUUCAUGUAGAUUAUAAAUUUUGAAUCAUUUUGCAAUCAAUAAAAUAUAACAUUCAUUCACUCCUUAGUCCUUACUUUGUAAUUUUUUUCCAUUUAAUGAUUUAAAUUGAAUUUCUAGUUUAAAUAAAUACUUAGUUUUAAUUUAUUACUAAUUUACUAUCAAGUAUUAUUAAUUCAUUAUAUUAAGUAGCAUAUUUUUUAAAGUAGUACAUAUAAUGUAUAGUACGUAUAUAUAUAUAUAUAGAGAGAGAGAGAUUUUCUAUAGACUAUAAAGUAUUAUAUAGUUAACGUAUACAUGUGUAUAUGCUUUAUAAAUUAGUAUAUAAAUAAUAAUAUUGUAGUAUAUAUCUUGUAGCAUAUUUUUUAAAGUAGUACAUAUAUUGAAUGGUACGUAUAUAUGUGUAUAUAUAGAAUAUAGACUCUAAAGUAGUAUAUAUUUAACGUAUACAUGUGUAUAUAUUUUAUAAAUUAGCAUAUAACUAUAUAUAUAGUGUGUGUGUAUAUAUUGUAGUAAAUGUUUUAUUUAAAGUAUUACAUAUAUAUUGAAUGGUACGUAUAUAUGUGUAUAUAUCUUCUAUAGACUCUAAAGUAGUAUAUAUUUAACGUAUACAUGUGUAUAUAUUUUAUGAAUUAGCAUAUAACUAUAUAUAUAGUGUGUGUAUAUAUUGUAGUAUAUGUUUUAUUUAAAUUAGUAUAUAUAUAUAUUGAAUGGUACGUAUAUAUGUGUAUAUAUCUUCUAUAGACUCUAAAGUAGUAUAUAUUUAACGUAUACAUGUGUAUAUAUUUUAUGAAUUAGCAUAUAACUAUAUAUAUAGUGUGUGUAUAUAUUGUAGUAUAUGUUUUAUUUAAAUUAGUAUAUAUAUAUAUUGAAUGGUACGUAUAUAUGUGUAUAUAUCUUCUAUAGACUCUAAAGUAGUAUAUAUUUAACGUAUACAUGUGUAUAUAUUUUAUGAAUUAGCAUAUAACUAUAUAUAUAGUGUGUGUAUAUAUUGUAGUAUAUGUUUUAUUUAAAUUAGUAUAUAUAUAUAUUGAAUGGUACGUAUAUAUGUGUAUAUAUCUUCUAUAGACUCUAAAGUAGUAUAUAUUUAACGUAUACAUGUGUAUAUAUUUUAUGAAUUAGCAUAUAACUAUAUAUAUAGUGUGUGUAUAUAUUGUAGUAUAUGUUUUAUUUAAAUUAGUAUAUAUAUAUAUUGAAUGGUACGUAUAUAUGUGUAUAUAUCUUCUAUAGACUCUAAAGUAGUAUAUAUUUAACGUAUACAUGUGUAUAUAUUUUAUGAAUUAGCAUAUAACUAUAUAUAUAGUGUGUGUAUAUAUUGUAGUAUAUGUUUUAUUUAAAUUAGUAUAUAUAUAUAUUGAAUGGUACGUAUAUAUGUGUAUAUAUCUUCUAUAGACUCUAAAGUAGUAUAUAUUUAACGUAUACAUGUGUAUAUAUUUUAUGAAUUAGCAUAUAACUAUAUAUAUAGUGUGUGUAUAUAUUGUAGUAUAUGUUUUAUUUAAAUUAGUAUAUAUAUAUAUUGAAUGGUACGUAUAUAUGUGUAUAUAUCUUCUAUAGACUCUAAAGUAGUAUAUAUUUAACGUAUACAUGUGUAUAUAUUUUAUGAAUUAGCAUAUAACUAUAUAUAUAGUGUGUGUAUAUAUUGUAGUAUAUGUUUUAUUUAAAUUAGUAUAUAUAUAUAUUGAAUGGUACGUAUAUAUGUGUAUAUAUCUUCUAUAGACUCUAAAGUAGUAUAUAUUUAACGUAUACAUGUGUAUAUAUUUUAUGAAUUAGCAUAUAACUAUAUAUAUAGUGUGUGUAUAUAUUGUAGUAUAUGUUUUAUUUAAAUUAGUAUAUAUAUAUAUUGAAUGGUACGUAUAUAUGUGUAUAUAUCUUCUAUAGACUCUAAAGUAGUAUAUAUUUAACGUAUACAUGUGUAUAUAUUUUAUGAAUUAGCAUAUAACUAUAUAUAUAGUGUGUGUAUAUAUUGUAGUAUAUGUUUUAUUUAAAUUAGUAUAUAUAUAUAUUGAAUGGUACGUAUAUAUGUGUAUAUAUCUUCUAUAGACUCUAAAGUAGUAUAUAUUUAACGUAUACAUGUGUAUAUAUUUUAUGAAUUAGCAUAUAACUAUAUAUAUAGUGUGUGUAUAUAUUGUAGUAUAUAUAUUAUAGUAUAUGUUUUAUUUAAAUUAGUAUAUAUAUAUAUUGAAUGGUACGUAUAUAUGUGUUUAUAUCUUCUAUAGACUCUAAAGAAGUAUAUAUUUAACGUAUACAUGUGUAUAGGUUUUAUAAAUUAGUAUAUAUCAUUAUAUUGCCGUAUAUAUCUUGUAGCCUAUUUUUUAAAGUAGUACAUAUAUUGAAUGGUACGCAUAUAUGUGUAUAAAUAGAAUGUAGACUCUAAAGUAGUAUAUAUUUAACGUAUACAUGUGUAUAUGUUUUAUAAAUUAGCAUAUAUAUCAUUAUAUUGUAGUAUAUAUCUUGGAGCAUAUUUUUUAAAGUAAUAGAUAUAUUGAAUGGUAAGUAUAGAUGUGUAUAUAUAGAAUAUGGACUCUAAAGUAGUAUAUAUUUAACGUAUACAUGUGUAUAUGUUUUAUAAAUUAGCAUAUAUAUCAUUAUAUUGUAGUAUAUAUCUUGGAGCAUAUUUUUUAAAGUAAUAGAUAUAUUGAAUGGUAAGUAUAGAUGUGUAUAUAUAGAAUAUGGACUCUAAAGUAGUAUAUAUUUAACGUAUACAUGUGUAUAUGUUUUAUAAAUUAGCAUAUAUAUCAUUAUAUUGUAGUAUAUAUCUUGGAGCAUAUUUUUUAAAGUAAUAGAUAUAUUGAAUGGUAAGUAUAGAUGUGUAUAUAUAGAAUAUGGACUCUAAAGUAGUAUAUAUUUAACGUAUACAUGUGUAUAUGUUUUAUAAAUUAGUAUAUAACUAUAUAUAUAGUGUGUGUAUAUAUUGUAGUAUAUAUAUCGUAGUAUAUGUUUUAUUUAAAGUAGUACAUAUAUAUUGAAUGGUAAGUAUAUAUGUGUAUAUAUCUUCUAUAGACCCUAAAGUAAUAUAUAUUUAACGUAUACAUGUGUAUAUGUUUUAUAAAUUAGUAUAUAUAUAUCAUUAUAUUGUAGUAUAUAUCUUGUAGUAUAUGUUUUUUUUAGAGUAGUAUAUAUAUCUAACUAACGUAAAGUCAUAUACACGAUUAUAUGUGUAAUUGUGUAUAUUUUUUUUUAAAUUCCAAUGUACUAUAUACUAUUUAUAUAGUGUAUAUAUAUAGUUUAACGUAUUUUAAAAGUAUAUAGGUGGUAUAUAUAAUAUAUAUUGGAGAAAAAACUUUUAAUUUUUUUUUUUUGCUUUUGACCGGUUUUGACCGGGUUUAGGUGGAUUGGAUCGGAUUAAAUUUAAUGGGCCAGUCUUGGAUUUUAUUUUAAAAAUUUACUGUUGGGCCCGAAAAUGAACCGGCCCGGAACCGGACCGACCCACAAACCCGCUAAAUGUGACAGGCCGGUUCCGAAUUGCCCCGGCGCGACCCAAUUAACAGCUCUAGUACAAAUUAAGUUGGUAAGACAAACUUGUAAAAAUGUUUUCCGUGUGGACAUUGUUUUAUCUUUUUCUUUUUUAAAACACAAUUAGCUGGAUAUAUGUAACAUGAGUCAUAUGGACAAAAAAAGAUUUUGUCUUAAUAAUCCAUUUUCUAAACUCUUAAUAAUACGUGUUCAUUAUUUAAAGUUGGUGAACGGUCGCCAAUCAUGCUUACGCUCAGAAUUAUAAAAGAUGAGUUUACUAUUAUGAAUCCAUGGAUUCUAUGUUUAUGUUAAUGUUUGACUUUUAUAUUUGUAUCAUGGACCUCUUACACUUUUGAAAUUGUGAAAAUUUCAGGAAUUACUAUAUUUUACUAAGCUAUUUACCAAGGACUACUAUUGUUUCAACAACUAUUAUUUGUAGCAAAACAUUCGUAGCCUAAAGUAGUUUCAGUGUUUAAGCAUUUGGUAAAUGAAAGUCCAGAUAAAAUUGCCUAUUGUUGUACAAGUCCUAAGAAAUUUAAAAAGACAAAACUAAGGAGAAAAACAGAAACACAAGUACAGAGAAAAUGGAGGAGAAAACAACAAAAGCAAAGAAUAAGCUAACUAUGGUGAUGCUAAAAAGAAAUUAAAGCUAGUAACAAACAACUAAAUAACAAGUAGUAUUGAUGGUGAACUAGUGAUCACCGUUACAAAAUAUUUAUCAACAUCCAUAGAUAGAGGAAAAAGUCUUUGACUAAUUCUAUGCCAACAAUCACGGUAGAACAAUGUACAACUAUUCAUCAAAAGGAUUAAAUGUAAACAACACACACAUUUAACCAUGAGUAUUUGUGUUGCGAAUGAAAGCGGAACUUGAGGGAACAUGAGAAGGAAGUACUUAUGUCAGAAAUUUUGAGAGCUUUGGAAAUGUCAAUUGUGAAAUUGAAUACGAAUGGAGGUAGCAGAUGUUAAAGAGGAAAGAUAGCGGGGGCACGUGGAACCUUUGUGAGAUGAGAACAUUUUAUAAAGGUGUACAUCAUUUGUGCUCAGUUAGUUGCUCUGUCCGUCUCAAUUUGUAGAUAUAGUUCGAUUGAGCAUGAAGUUAUUCCCUUUUUCAUUUUUACUUGUAACUUAUUUUUAGAAUGAUAUUUUAUUUUUACUUGUAACUUAUGACAUGAGUAUCAAGAAAAAAUAACUAUUUUUUCGAUUAUUUUAUUGUAGUAUUAGUGACUUCUCCGAAUUAUUUUUUGAUACCUAAUAUCAAAUAUUAAUUAAUAAGAGCAGUCAAUGAUGAAUCUAAGAUUUUCACUAAAUGAUUCAAGUGUAAUAUUGAUGGAGCCUCUAAAGGCAAUCCAAACGUUAGUUCCGCAAAAUUUUGCAUUAGAGAUUCAGCAGCGCAUUUUGAAGUAGCUAAAGGGAUCAGAAUUCAUGAUACAACCAAUAUGGUGGUUGGAGUUAGGGCUAUCAGGGAAUGCUUGGUAUAAUGCAAAGAUCACAGUAUCAUUCCCAUAAUUAUUAGUUAGACUCUUCGGUUAUGGUGUAGAUUUUGAAGGAUAGAUGGAAGCCCCUCUGGAGUAUGGUGAUGGAAGUGAAUGACAUUAACAGACUAAGGUGAAACAAUGACAGCAAGAGUACAAAAUUCCAUUCAGGAAGGAAAUACUCUUGUUGAUUUUUUCACUAACCUUGUUUUUUCUUUUGCAGAUGAUUUCUUAUUAGAAAAACUUUAAAACAUACCAAGCAAUAAAAUAAGUAUUUUGCAAUUAGACAAACAAGGCAUCCCACAAGUAGCUGACAUUUAGAAGUUUAAAAGUUAAUUUACUUGAAAUAAAUAAGCUUUUUAAGCUAACAAAACAACCUAUUAGUGAAGUAUAAUUCAUGAGAAGCAAUAAAUGUAGAGAAUUUUAUGUGGUUUGUGUAUUCACACCUGGUGAGAGCUUUGAGGUGGAACACAUAUCAAAU
rnacentral:lncRNA from 1 species